GGUGGCUUCUCUCCCUUAGGUGGUUUGCCAACUGGGGUUGGUGGCUUGUGUUCUGGGAGUGGCUUCUCCCCCUUGGGAGGUUUUUCCAAUGGGGUUGGUUUGUGUUCAGGAGGUGGCUUCUCCACUGGAGGCUUGUGUUCAGGAGGUGGCUUCUCCACCGGAGGCUUGUGUUCAGGAGGUGGCUUCUCCACCGGAGGCUUAUGCUCUGGUGGUGGCUUCUCCACCGGAGGCUUAUGCUCUGGUGGUGGCUUCUCGAAUGGGGGAUGCUUAGGGUAAUCAGCAAGUGAGGGGGCGGUGAGAACCACCAGGCCAAGCAAGACCACUAGCAAGUAUGUAGGAGACAUCUUUGGGUUUAGACUCAGAUGGUGCAAAACUAGGAGAAUUGUCUUUUAUAGCGGAUCGCACCCAAUAAUGAAAUGACACGUGUCUUUAUGACCCAUGUGUAAUGGGGUCGAUUUGGGUCCUACAGUGUUGAAAACUUCGACAUCCACUUUUGGCCUUUUGCUUUCUCUACAGCCGCCUUGCUUUUUCCCUCUUUCCUUUUGUUUUCCUCCUGCCCCAUUCUAUCAACUAAACACAAUUAUGUAGUUGUUUAAUUCUUAAAUGAGAUAUUAUCCGUCAAUCGUAUCAUAUUUUAUCAACAGAGAACGGAGUGCAAUGUGGCAAUCCAAAGAAAGAAGAUCCAUAAUGCAGCUGUAAUUUUAUCGUUUACUUUUAUCUCUUGGACCACUGCAUUUUUGUUAAGAGGUGCAAUAAUACACGUCUUUAUCUGCCAUUCAAUGUUUACAGUAAAGAGAGGGCACAAAACUCUUCACUGCUCUGCAUGUGUCCCAAAAAUGCAAUUGGACAAAUUAUGAUUUGCAUGCUAAAAAGAGGCAAAUGAGGUUAAUUCGCACCAUAAUUAUUUUGUUUUCUGGACCCCGGGGCCCUUUGGUUGGUUUGGGGGUCAGAAAAUGAACAUCAUAGGGGGUUUUUCCCUUAUGUGCAUUUGUAUCUGAUGGCUUUAACUCGCCUUGUUACUACAAAGAAAUUGUCACAUAUAGGAACUUAUUCCAGGCUGAGUAUCUCCGCAUAGACCCUAUAAAAGAAGACAAGUCAUAAUGAACAUCUAACCUUUGUUCAAUUUGAUUCAAUGCCCCAUUGUGUCCACCUCACAAAUCUGAAUUAUUAUAUCCAUUGAAUACAUAAAUUAAUGAAGAAAAUAUGAAACCCAAGAUACAUCUCUGCACAACCUCAACCCUGGUUGCUAUGUUUCCCUUCUAUUCACAUGAGGAUAUUGAUUACGGAAUAGGGAAACCUAGCAAGGGUUUACUCGGCUCUGGUUUGAUGCUAAUUGCCAAACUUGCAACAAGCCCUGAGUUUGAAGCUCACAGAAGAUGUUAUACAGGCAGGGAAAAACCUUCAGAGUUCGCUGCCAAAGAUAAUUAUUAAGGAGAUAUCACCAAGAGAAUUCCAAGGAGUCUGAAUCAAAGACAAAUUGGUCGUUCGUGGAGGUUCUUACUUUCUUUUGGGUAUAACUCACUGAGGGCACUGUCUUUUUUAUUUUCAUUUCACAUUUAGAGUUCUGUUCUGGAAACAUAUAAAAGGAGCAUCAGUUUGUUCUUGGGUAACCCAUAGUCGUGAGUGGGUCCAUUUGCAUGCUACUUAGUUGAAAAGUUGGACCAUUUGCUCCGACGCCUACCUCCUGGAUUCCAUGCUCGGAUAAAACAAGAAUAAAAAAAUAUUUAUAAUUUACAAAUGGGGGAAAGAAAAAAAUGUCAACAACAAACUAGGAAAAAAGAGUAGUAAAAUUCAUGUCACAUGCUAGUGAGAGAAGGGGUUGUUACACUCACUCGAAGUUCUUUUCAAAAUAUCGCAUGGUAUUUUAUUUUAUGUGUGAGCGCAGUUGUGAAUGGAACGUGCAAAAGUCCAAAUUGGUGACCUUUAAUAAAUAUUUAAAACAAAAAACGAAAAAAAGGAGGGAAAAGGGAUCAGAAAAGAUAAAACAAUGUGUACAAAAGCUCAAUUAGUUUGCAAAUUACUGUUUGGAUUUUGAUAGUAUUUUAUUUGAUGUAAAAGAGAAUUUAAGAUAUUUCCGAAACAAAAGCAUUAGUUUGCUCCAUGUCAAUUUCGGCAUUUCUCAUAUGUUUCACACAUACACAGAAGAGCAUCGUUUUUUAAAGCAUGCAUUUAUGUUGGAUUAAUUUGGAUUUUGUGGGAACUGGGGCAAGGAUCACAUGGAAGAGAGGUUGACUUUUUUCAGUACUUCAAUGGUUGAGACAGGUGAAGGCCUGAUUGAUACUGAAGCCUGAAAUUGCGACUCCGUCAUUUGUCAAAACAUAUGACAGCUUCCAUGCUCUCGUUUGGUUGCAUUGUUCUGUGGUCAUGCAUACAUGCCACUUAGUGAUCAGUCUGUAACUGUCAAUCAUUGGGCUUUGACUGAACAACAUCAGCCAUGUAUAAAUACUUGCAAAUCAAACGGUCUUCUUCCUCCCAUAAGGAAUUUCGGUUUAAUUAUGAAGCAUGCAUUUGGCUGACCAUCAUAAACCACUUCUUUAAAUUGAUGAAUGAUAGUUUUUCAUUCAUUCUUUCAUUCGUUCAUAUACAGAGUAUAUAUAGAGGGUAAUCAUCAUUCUAAGAAUGGGAAAGAAUGAUACAAGGAAAUAAUGAUAUAAAGAAAUAACAACUAAUAUUCUAAUAUCUCAACUUUCCUAAUAUCUAAACAUUCCUAAUAUCUCAACACUAAAUGAUAUAAAGAAAGAAUGAUAUAAGGAAAGCAUUCCUAAUAUCUCAACACUCCUCCUCAAGUUGGUGCAUAGAUGUCAAACAUGUCCAACUUGUCUAAAAAUUUUGAGAACAGUUGACUUGAGACAUCUUUGGUGAGGAUAUCGGUCAAUUGAUCUUCUGAUCGAAUCUUAGGCAAUUCCACAAUCUUAUCAUCCAACUUUUCCUUAAUGAAAAAUCUAUCCAUCUCGACAUGCUUUGUACGAUCAUGUUGUACUAGAUUAUGAGCAAUGUCACAUGCUGCUUUAUUGUCACAAAACAAUCGGAUUGGUUGCCUAGAUAGGUAACCUAAAUCCUAUAAGAGGAGUCUUAGCCAUAAUGCCUCACAAAGUCCUAAAGUCAUACCUCUAAAUUCCGCUUCUGCACUUGAACGAGCGACGACAUUUUGCUUCUUACUUUUCCAUGUCACAAGAUUACCACCUACAAAGGUAAAGUAACCAGAUGUAGAUCGCCUAUCAUCCACUGCACCGACCCAAACAGCAUUAUACUUCUAUACUCUGAUGAUCAACAUUUUUAGCGAACAAAAUUCCCUUCCUAGGAGCAUUCUUCAAAUACCUCAAAAUACGCAUGACUACAUUCAUAUGUUGCUCUCCAGGAUUAUGCAUGUAUUGACUCACUACACUCAAUGUAUAAGCAAGAUCUAGUCUUGUAUGAGCUAAGUACAUUAAUCUCCCCACAAGUCUCUGGUAUCUUCCCUUAUCGAUUGAUACUUGAUUAGGCUCAACACACAAUUUCAGACCUUCUUCUAUUGGUGUAUUAAUAGGUUGACAUCCCGACAUUCCAGUUUCCUGUAGAAGAUCUAAGGCAUACUUUCUUUGAGACAGAAAAAUUCCUUCACUUGAUCGAGAAACUUCAAUCCCAAGAAAGUAUUUCAGACGACCAAGAUCUUUCAUUUCAAAUUCUCUAGAUAGAUACUUUUGCAAAGCUUUUCUUUCUUCAGGAUCAUUUCCUGUAACUACAUGUCAUCCACAUAUAUCAUAAGUGUCGUAAUCUUACCAUGUUGCUUUUUCAAGAACAAAGUGUGAUUUGAAUUACUUUGAUGAUAGCCAAAAGCUCUCAUUGAUUUUGUGAACCUUCCAAACCAUGCUCUCGGGGAUUGCUUCAACCCAUACAAUGACUUCUUCAAUUCGCACACCUUCUGACAUUGCUUUUCUGACACCAUGCAUCCUGGUGGAAGAUCCAUAUAUACUUCUUCAGAUAAAUCGCCAUGCAGAAAGACAUUUUUUACAUCGAACUAUUGUAAUGGCCAAUCUAGGUUUGCAGCUAAAGACAAUAAUACUCGAACUGUGUUGAUCUUAGCUACAGGUGCAAAUGUCUCUGUGUAGUCAAUUCCAUAAGUUUGAAUGUACCCACUAGUCUUGCUUUAAAUCGUUCAAUACUACCAUCUGCCUUGUACUUCACAGUAUAGAUCCAACGACACCCAACUAGCUUCUUUCCUGGUGGACAUUCUACGAGUUCCCAUGUUUCAUUUUUCUGCAAUGAUUUCAUCUCUUCAUUCAUGGUUGCUUUCCACUUUGGAUCAGCUAAAGCUUCCUGCACACUAUUAGGAAUAGCUACAGUAGAUAAUUGAUUUACAAAUGACUUAUUUGAUUCAGACAAACCAUGGUGUGGACCCGCAUUUUUCACGUGCGCCUCUACUCGAUCGGCGAGACUCGCUUUCUAUUUGUGAAAAAUUAAUUUUAGAAAAGUUGGAGUCGCCACCUAUUUUAUUUUUAUUUUGAAGGGAAAAUAAAACAAGAAAGAAAAACCCUAAAAAGUGACUCCAUAGUUUUGGAAAAAGCAUGUCUUUGGGAAACCUGAGUCUAGGUCCGGGGAUCAUGUUACUUAUUGGGAAGGUACCUCUAGGAGGUAGCACCCCUCUAAGCCUUAUGAAGGUCUCUACUAACUAAAUUAAGGGAAGUGUGGCAAUAAAUCGAUUGAUCAUAGAUACCUAAGUAGACUAGGUGAUUUUAAAGUGUGGCAUGUCAAACACAAUCAAAUUGCAAUAAAGGAGAGUUAGGGCGCGUACCUGAACCGCUUCUCAAGCGCUAUCAUAAAACAUCAAUGGUUAAUUUAAAUAAUAUAUCAUCCAGCAUGUAUUUUAUUAGAAAUAAUCAAACAAUGAAACAUGUAUAUCAGAACACUCAAGCAUUAUUAGACAUAAGCAUUAUUUCACUAUUCACAGAAUUCAGAAAGUAGGUGAUAGAGGACAUACCUGGAUAGCAUAGAUAAUUUGUAAUGUGCUUCCUCAAGUUGUAAGGGGUUAGAUAACAAAUAAUAAAAUAUAGAAAUCCUAGCAUGCUCGUUAUCUAAUUAGCAUAGCAAAAGUGAUCACAGUAUACAGAAUCAUCAAUUAUCACAUACAUCUUGUAUAUAAUUCCUAAAAAAAAUAGAUAGACAUGAUUUCAACAAGUGUCAAAUGUGGCAACAAAAAUAAAUUUUGAAAAGAUUUUCUUAUGUAGGGGUUUCACCAAUUCCCCAAAUUAAUAUACACGAAUUUAGCUUAGAAUUAUCCCAUUUAUUUGGGACUACAAGCUUUGAUUCGUGUUUUUGUUCAAAACCAAAAAUUUUUGUUGAAAAUCAAGAAGGAUGCGAACCGAACAAGAUAUGGUUGCAUAUUAUUUUUAAAUAAAUAAAUAAAUAAAUAAAGGAGAUUUUGAUCCUGAGGACUUUAAUGAGUUUUUUUUUUUAAAAUAGAUUUUUAAAAUGAUUUUUUUGAGAAAAGUAUUUUAUUUUAAAAUAAAAGGGAUUAAUUUGGGAAAAAAAUAAAAUAUAAGAAAUAAAAUACCAAACAAAACAAAAAUGAAACCUCAAAGUAAAAUUUUUUUAGUAAUUAACAAAAAUGAUAAUGGUGAUGGUAGAGGGCAAUCUUCAUGAUUUUCCAAUGGCCUCAGAAAGAAAAUCAAAUUAAAUGAAGGAUCACUAACAGGCAAGACAUUCUAAAUUAGACAAACUAACAAAGUAUCAAUUCAUGAACUAACCGCUAGGAUUUUGAAAGCAUAUAAGCUAAGAUAAGGGUGAUCAGGAACUAAUAUUAAUGAUUUUGAAAUAAAAACUAAAAAAAAGGAUCAAUUCGGGUAAGGAACUAAAAUUAUAAAAGUACCUAAACUAAUUAUGACGAGUUUGACUAAAUUAAACUAAAAACAUGAACUUUCAAACAUAGAAUUAAUUUUACUAAUGAACCAAAGCAAACUAAAAAUAUGUACUUUCAAGCAUAGAAUUAAUUUUAUUGAUGAACUAAACUAUAACAAAUAUCUAAACUAAAUAUAAUGAAUCAAAUUAAAUUAAAGCAACUUAAAAACGCAAACUUUCAAACAUAGAAUCAAUUUUAUCAAUGAAUUAAAACUAUAAAUGUAUUUGAACUAAAUAGAUGAAUCAAACUAAAUCAGAGCAAAAUUAAAAAAAAAAAAGAACUUUCUAACAUGAAAUCAAUUUUAUCAACAAAUAAAUGAAUGAAUAACAAGUAAUUAAAAGAAUAGCUACUACAUGAAUAACUGAAUGAAUAAAAUUCAAAUGUUUUCAAUCUGAAGCAAUCAAUCAAAAUUAAAUAGGGAUCAAAUCAAAAUAAUCGAAAUCGGAAAAACAAUAUGCAAUCUUUCUAAAGGUUUAACCAGACAAUUGAAUUAAAAUUAUGAAUAGAAUAAAUUAAUAAACCAAAUCGAAACCUAAAUUGUACCUAAAAAGAUUAAUUAAUUAAACUAAGAAAUCAAAAUCAAUAACAAAACUAAACUAAGGAGUAAAUUAAGACAAGACUAAUUAAAUUAAACUCACAAACACGUUUUAACUAUCAUAUGGAUUAAAACAAAAUUAGCAUGGACUUAUGAAUUACGAACAAAAAUAAUCAAAACUAUUUUAAAAAACUCACCUCUAUUAUAAGAAAAAAUCUGCCUUUGAUGCGUUGAGGUGGCUCCCCUCUCUGUGUGGAUCUCUCUGCUCCCCAGAAAAAAAAUGUCUCUUCCUCCGUUCUCUUUUGUUUCAGCAAAAUAAUAUAUCCCCUGCUGUGGAUCUCUCUACUCCCAGAAAAUAAUAUAUUCUCUCCGUGUCCUAAAGUGGACCUAGGGUGCCUAAGUGGACCUAGGGUGCCUAAAUGGGCCUAGGGUGCCUAAAUGGGCCAAGUGUAUCUAAAUAGGCUUAGGGUGCCUAAGUGGGCCUAAGUCUAAGUGAGCCUAAGUCUAAAUCAAGACUACCAAGGAUCAUAAUAAGGGGUUAGGCAAUCCCUUAACCAAAGUCUCCAAGGUGGCUAAAAAAAAGUAAGUAGUAUGAGUAGCUAUGGGUCACCAAGGAACUACUGUGGAGCAUUGAAAACGAAUUUAAAGACAUGUGCCAAAGGGACAAAAUUGAGGGUCUACAGAUGGUUAGACACAUAGUUGCUCAUGGGAUAUUUGACUUUGGUAAACAAUUCAGAUUCAUAUGUGGGUUUAGGAAUACCUUUAUUAUGACGGUGUGGUAAUCGUUUCAUGAAUGGAUCAGGUUGCAAAUUAAGAACACCCUCAGCAAACAACGAUUGGUUUGGUAUUUCAGUGAAGACAUCUUCGAACCCAAAUUGUUGACCACUCAUAUCCAACUCACCCGCUUCCUGGUUCACUAGUUCAGAUUGUCCAAAUUCAUCAUUCUCAUAGAUAUGAUAAUCAUAAUCGAGAGUCUGAAUUUCCUUAUGGUACUCCCCCUGAAGUUCAGACUUAGAUGAAAAAUACAUCGAAUAUUCAUGAAACAGCNNNNNNNNNNNNNNNNNNNNNNNNNNNNNNNNNNNNNNNNNNNNNNNNNNNNNNNNNNNNNNNNNNNNNNNNNNNNNNNNNNNNNNNNNNNNNNNNNNNNNNNNNNNNNNNNNNNNNNNNNNNNNNNNNNNNNNNNNNNNNNNNNNNNNNNNNNNNNNNNNNNNNNNNNNNNNNNNNNNNNNNNNNNNNNNNNNNNNNNNNNNNNNNNNNNNNNNNNNNNNNNNNNNNNNNNNNNNNNNNNNNNNNNNNNNNNNNNNNNNNNNNNNNNNNNNNNNNNNNNNNNNNNNNNNNNNNNNNNNNNNNNNNNNNNNNNNNNNNNNNNNNNNNNNNNNNNNNNNNNNNNNNNNNNNNNNNNNNNNNNNNNNNNNNNNNNNNNNNNNNNNNNNNNNNNNNNNNNNNNNNNNNNNNNNNNNNNNNNNNNNNNNNNNNNNNNNNNNNNNNNNNNNNNNNNNNNNNNNNNNNNNNNNNNNNNNNNNNNNNNNNNNNNNNNNNNNNNNNNNNNNNNNNNNNNNNNNNNNNNNNNNNNNNNNNNNNNNNNNNNNNNNNNNNNNNNNNNNNNNNNNNNNNNNNNNNNNNNNNNNNNNNNNNNNNNNNNNNNNNNNNNNNNNNNNNNNNNNNNNNNNNNNNNNNNNNNNNNNNNNNNNNNNNNNNNNNNNNNNNNNNNNNNNNNNNNNNNNNNNNNNNNNNNNNNNNNNNNNNNNNNNNNNNNNNNNNNNNNNNNNNNNNNNNNNNNNNNNNNNNNNNNNNNNNNNNNNNNNNNNNNNNNNNNNNNNNNNNNNNNNNNNNNNNNNNNNNNNNNNNNNNNNNNNNNNNNNNNNNNNNNNNNNNNNNNNNNNNNNNNNNNNNNNNNNNNNNNNNNNNNNNNNNNNNNNNNNNNNNNNNNNNNNNNNNNNNNNNNNNNNNNNNNNNNNNNNNNNNNNNNNNNNNNNNNNNNNNNNNNNNNNNNNNNNNNNNNNNNNNNNNNNNNNNNNNNNNNNNNNNNNNNNNNNNNNNNNNNNNNNNNNNNNNNNNNNNNNNNNNNNNNNNNNNNNNNNNNNNNNNNNNNNNNNNNNNNNNNNNNNNNNNNNNNNNNNNNNNNNNNNNNNNNNNNNNNNNNNNNNNNNNNNNNNNNNNNNNNNNNNNNNNNNNNNNNNNNNNNNNNNNNNNNNNNNNNNNNNNNNNNNNNNNNNNNNNNNNNNNNNNNNNNNNNNNNNNNNNNNNNNNNNNNNNNNNNNNNNNNNNNNNNNNNNNNNNNNNNNNNNNNNNNNNNNNNNNNNNNNNNNNNNNNNNNNNNNNNNNNNNNNNNNNNNNNNNNNNNNNNNNNNNNNNNNNNNNNNNNNNNNNNNNNNNNNNNNNNNNNNNNNNNNNNNNNNNNNNNNNNNNNNNNNNNNNNNNNNNNNNNNNNNNNNNNNNNNNNNNNNNNNNNNNNNNNNNNNNNNNNNNNNNNNNNNNNNNNNNNNNNNNNNNNNNNNNNNNNNNNNNNNNNNNNNNNNNNNNNNNNNNNNNNNNNNNNNNNNNNNNNNNNNNNNNNNNNNNNNAACCAAAGGAAGCAUGUUCCAGACGUCGAUGCCACAACCAAAUUUCAGACUUUUUCUUCUCCUCCUUAGAUCCAUCUGCCAUCAAGGCUUGUUGCAACUUAUUUGAAUCCUUUGAUUGCAAGUCCAAGUAUAGAGUUUCCCCCGCUUAAUACGACAACCAAUCGUCUGUCUUGUUUGAAUGUCCUUAAUCACACAAAAUUCAGGCCAAAAAAUGACAAUACAAGAUAAGGCUGCAGUGAUUUGAGAAACUAACAAAAGAUUGUAAUCUAAAGAUGGAACAACUAAAACAGAAUCCAAAUUCAAAGUAUCAGUAAGAGUUAAGGAUCCUUCCCCAAUGACUGGGGUUGUGUUACCAUUGGCUGUGGAAACAAUUUUUUGUGAGGAAGGUCUAAGGGGUGAAACCUGUCUAGAAUCAAAAGUCAUAUGAUCUGUAGCACCAGAAUCAAUUAUCCAUGCACUAUUAAUAACAGGUGUAAAAGUAUUUAAAAACUUACCACAAUGAUCUGUAGCGGCUACUAAUGCAGAGACUUUCUCAACAACAUUAGUCUUUGUUUUUAUUUCGGUAACAGUUGCAAUCAAGGUUUUCUUGGAAUUCUUCUUCCGUUGAUCACGAUUAUUAUCAUUAAUAACAAAGUGUUGAUAGCCUAAACAUGAUCUAAAGGUCCAUGGUGCAAACCCUCGGUUCCUCAUUGUUUUCCUGGUCAUACCAAGAGUUGUUGCUUUGAAAUUGUGGGAUAUCCAGACUGGUGGGAUCAGUUUUAUUGCAGUGAGUGCAUUUGAAUGUUGACUUAUCAAUAUUAGGGCUUGUCUUCGGAUGGUUGAUUGCUGUUGGACUACCAUAGCGACAAAAUAUCCAGGAUUUCAAUUCCAGGGCUCUGAUACCAUCUUCAAAUUGAUGAAUGAUAGUUUUUCAUUCAUUCUUUCAUGUACAGAGUAUAUAUAGAGGGUAAUCACCAUUCUAAGAAUGGGAAAGAAUGAUACGAGGAAAUAAUGAUAUAAGGAAAUAAUAACUAAUAUCCUAAUAUCUCAACUUUCCUAAUAUCUCAAUAUUCCUAAUAUCUCAACUUUCCUAAUAUCUAAACAUUCAUAAUAUCUCAACACUAAAUGAUACAAGGAAAGAAUGAUAUAAGGAAAACAUUCCUAAUAUCUCAACACCACUUCAUGAUAUAUAUAGUUUCUUACCCUUAAUCAAUGGUUUCUAAGUGAAUUUAUAUAGAAAGAAAUCCAAACUGUAGACAGCAGUAUUGGUAACACUCAAUAUUCUGUAUAUAAUAGAAUAAAUAGCGUCACAGUGAUCGUCGCCUACAAGCAAGGUACAAAUACCACAAAGAGUGACCCACAUAGACAUUCCCCAACAAGAUGUAGUAGUGACUGACACAUAGCCACAAUUAACACGUAGAAAAGGAUAAGACCGGUGCACAGUAGCUCUUAUUUUACAUACUACUUAUGCCAACCAAAGUCACUCAGUUGGGAUGGGAGGGAGAUGGAGGUUUGUGCGGUGGCUUGUGGGGCGGAGUUGAUGGCUUCUUUCCAGGAGCUUCUGGCUUUUUCAUCGGAGCUGAAGGAGGCUCAAUCUUAUGAGGCGGCUUGUACGAGUCUUCUUUGCUCUCGAAAGGAGGGUGGCCAGGGUUGUGACCAUAAUGUGGUGGUUUCUCUCCCUUGGGAGGUUUACCAAUUGGGGUUGGUGGCUUGUGUUCUGGGAGUGGUUUCUCUCCCUUGGGAGGUUUAGUGGGUGACUUGUGUUCUGGAGGUGGCUUCUCCACCGAAGGCUUGUGCUCCGGUGGUGGCUUUUUGGUUGGAGGGGGCUUGGGGUAAUCAGCAAGAGAUGGGGUGGUGAGAACCACCAGUCCAAGGAACAACACUAGCAAGUAUGUGGGAGACAUUUUUGAGUUUGGGCUGAUCAGAUGAUGCAAAACUAAAGCAUUACGUGACCUUUUAUAGCAAGUAGCUCCCAAUACCUACUUGACACGUGUUACUGUGACCCAUAAAUAUUAUGGGGUCUAUUUGUGCCCUACCGGGUUGAAAACUUGGACAAUUGGGCAAGGACCCGCCUGACUAUGGAGGACUACUGAGGUGUGAUCACAGCUUUAGGAUUUUUCUUCCUCUGCAGCCGUCUUGCCGUUGGCAUGAUUUUCUUAAUCUCAAAUAAAGGCAUAGUUAUAGAGUUGUUUAAUCUCUAAAUGGGAUUUUAUAUAUCUUCAGAUAGCCAUUAAUACAUUUGAUGAAGAAAGAAAGACAAGUGCAUACAACAUGUAUACGACUAGCUUUCAUGGAGUUCAUUUAUGAUCAGUUUUCCUGUACAUGUAAACCAAGAUCAUAUAUGUUUUUGUUCCACAACAAUUUUGGAAUCUUGUUUAUCCGUUUUUAUCAUUAUAAUGUCACAUAGGCUGCCAACUUGGGCGCUAAAUUAAAGAUCCAGUUGGGCAAGUUCGUUUCAGAAUUUCAAUGGUGGAUUCAGGAAUUGUUUUAUAAGAUAUGCAAAAUAGUAGAGGGAUGAAUAGUGUUUCAUUAAGAAAAGAGCCCUGUAAAAAUAUUGUUUAAAGGUGCCAUAGAAACUAUAAUCAAUAAAUAACUUUUUUUCCCCAUGGGUGGUGUUUCUUGUGGGGAUCAGUGACUGGUUUGAGUCAACGCCGUGUCUCUUUAGUCCAGAAAUCAACUAUUUUAUGCAUUGAAUACAUCAACAAAGAAAAUAUGAAAGCCAAAUGACACCUCCCCCGCAAAAACUAAACCCUGGUUGCUAACUUUCUAUGUUUCAGUUCCAUUCACACAAGAAUAUUAGUUCAAGUUUGAGAAAAAUGGCGACUUACCUAGUGAUAACUCGGUCUUGGUUUGCGAUUUGACUUUAACGUCAUGGGUUGAAGCCUCCUACAAUCAUCGUGUAUGCUAGUUCAAAGCUCGUGGAAGAAGUUAUACAGGGAGGGAGAAACCUCCACAGCAAGCUCCAAAAGAGAAUUAUCACAUUGAAAGCUCCAGUUGAACACUGGGUGAAAGCCAUAACAAGAUUGGUUUUCUAUCGCUCUUUUAAGUAAUGGAAGAUUAUUAUCUCUGCUUGUCACUACAACCGUGCAUGCUGCUAGAUCUUUCUAGACACUUCAAACAGUGAAACCAAGUAUGAUUCUUUUUCUCUUGAGUGGGUCCACUUGCAUGCCAAUGAACGAGUUGAAAAGUUGGACAAUUGGCCACAGCGCGCACUUACCUUCUGGAACCGAAGGUCAGUGAAGUGGGGUUCCUUUUGGCCCCUUGUGUUUCUGUUCCAACCUACUCCAGGAACCGAAGUUCAGUGAAGUGGGGCUACUUUUGGCCUCUUGUGUUUCUGUUCCAACCAAACAAAAAUGGGAGGGAAAAAUAGCAUUAUGCUUGUGCUAAAGAUCAACGCAUGAUAGCUGAAUAAGGGAGAAAAAGGCAUUGCUAUCUCAAUUUCAUAAACUUGAUAAGUAGUGACAUUAAUAGUCUUCCUCAUAGAUGGAUACAUGGUUUUAUUUUAUUUAUUUAUUUUUAUUUUUUUGUUUUAUGUCAAUGCUAAUGAAUGAAGUGCAUUAGCUUGUUUUGUGACUAGAACUACAAAUGUCCAAAUUGGAGCUUCUCCAAUAUAUUUCUCAGUGAGUUAUUGAUUAGAACUCUUGGAUUGAGUUCCAAGAUUUGAAUCAGACCCCUCUAGCAGCUUCAGGGGUACGUAGCAACCUAUAGCAUAUUAAUGAAGACUUAGGAUUUAGACUUAGGAAUACAAAUUAAUAUGUACCUCAUGCUCUGACUAGCUUCCCUGCGUAUGCACAAAAUGGAGAUGACUCCCAAAAAAAUAGCAGAAUCGCCUUAGUAUGUUUUUGUGGUUAAGAUGAUUCUCCACUUUAUAUAUCCACAUUGGUUCAUUAUGCAAAUUAAUCAACUAAGCUAUUUUUAUUUUUUCUUAAAUGUGAAAUAGGAGCUCCAAAUUAACCUAACCAUUGGCCUGAUUGAAUUGAUUUCACUUGCAUAAUGUUAUAGUAGAAGUCCGUAAUUUGAAUUUUAUUUUUGCAAAAGGUAACGUAAAUGAAGCAUUGUAAUUAAAUUUAUUUGUAAUUACAAACUAAUUUUAUUUUAUUAAGAAUUAAUUUAAUUACUCAUUUAAAAUAAAAAUCAGUUAUACUUUUACCAAGAUGAUAAUAUUCAUAUUUUUCUAGUUAACAUAUAUAAAAUAGUACACUUUUUCAUAUAAAAAAAUAAUUUAUGAUUUAUUAUAAUGUUACUAUUCACAUUUUACUAAAUUGAUGGUACAUGAUAGUGAGAGAAGGGGGUGUCACACUCAGCUAAAGUUCUUUUCAAAAUAUUGCAUGGUGUUUAAUUUUAUGUGUCGGCGCGCGUGUGAAUGGAACCUGCAAAAGUCCAAAUUGGCGUUUCUCCAUUUUCCACAUAGGAUGGUGACGUUAAUAGACAAAGAUACAAUAUCUGUAGACAUUGCUUAAAAAUCGAUGUGAAGUAUUAGAAAUUACAGGGCACUGUACUGGGGGAGCGGCUGCCCCGCCAAAGGAGGAAGAAUGUAGCAAUUUCUUCUGUUAGCCAGGCCUUAGGAUUUAUGCAUGGGAUGCCUAAUAACAAACAGAGAAAAUAUACUUUUGGGGAAGGUAUCCAACAACAGACACCAUCAUUCAGAUGGUGGGAAGGUAUCCAACAGAUGCCAUCAUUCAGAUGGUAACAUAUAUAUACAUUUAUUAGUGAGUUUUUUUAAUACCUAUAAAAAAAAAUAUACACUUUGAUAUUGUGGCUGAAUCCAUUACAUACUCAACUAACCUUGCUCAUUAGGGAUUUGACUUAACAAGGGCAACGUUGCAGUACAAGCUCAAAACUUUAUGCAGGUGACAUUACAUUUGGUAAAGAAGAGGAAAAUAACGAAAGCCAUCCAUAAAAGCAAAAUUCCACAUGGGAUGAAAUUCACAAGCUUCAUUUACGAUAGAGUCGCAUCCAGGCAAUUAAUUCCACAUUAGACCGCCUGUUGACAUGUGUACCAAUCUUUUUUCAAAAAAUAUUUAUAAAUAAUUGAUACUCACAAAAAUAAUUUAAUAUUUAUAAAGGAUAAAAAAAUAUUUUCAAAUCUAUAACAAUUUAUAAAAUAUUAAUAAAAAAUUAUCUCUUAAACUUAGUAUAGUUUUAUCAGAUUAAACUUUUAUUUUGAACAAAUAAUUUUAAUCUAAGUUUUAAAUUCUAAAAUUAUUUCCUUAAAAUAAAAUUUUAAAAUUCAACACUUCAAUUGAAAUUGUCUUUUUAAAAAAUAUCUUCUUAUUUUAAUCCUUAUAAACUAUAGUUGAUUGAAAAUACUAUUGAAGUUCUCUCUUAAAAAAAAGUCUUAUUUUAAUCUUCAUAAAUUGCCCUUGAUUUGAAAAUAAAUUUUCAGUUAUCAUAUUUUAAAUAAUAUCUAUAUUUAAAAUACUCUAUUUAAAAAAAAAUGAACUAAUUUUAAUUAUAUUAUAUUUUAUUUUUUUAUAUAUUUUUAAUGAUAAACCAAACAUAGAAAAUCAUUUUUCUAAAUAUUUUAAAAUUUCUAAGCAACCAAACAUAAUCUUCAAAAUAAAAGGAAAAUAAGGAGGGACAUUUGAGAAAUGGCGAUUAAAAAAAAGUGUACAAAAGCUCAAUUAAUUUUCUUCUAGUCUUUUAUAUAAAAAAGUAAAGGAAUUGAAAAGUAUUGAUAUGUAAAUUAAUAUUUGGAUUUUAAUAGUAUUUUAUUUGUCUUUCUCUAUCUCAUGUAAAAGAGAAUUUAAGAUAUUUCCUAAAGCAAAGCAUUAGUUAUCUGCAAUCAGUGGUGAUCAUGCCCCAUGUCAAUUUCGGACCCAUAUCUUAAAACUGUAUAAUUUGCAUUCAAACAUUACUGAUUUCUCAGAUGUUUCAUACUCCACAGAAGAGCAUUGUUUGUGAAAGCAUGCAUUUAUGUUGGAUUUUGGAUGAUGUGGGAACUGGGGCAAGGAUCAUAUGGAAGAGUGGUCGAUUUUGUUCUGUACUUUAACAUUUGAAAUAGGAGAAGCUCGGGCAUUUGUGGGGCUUAAUUGAUUUUGAAGCCUGAAAUUGCGUUUCUGUCAUUUUGUAAAAAAUAUGGCAGAUUCCAUGCUCUCAUAUGUUUGGUCUGUGGCCAUGUAUAGAUGCCCCUUAGUGACCAGUUUGUAACUGUCAAUCAUAGUGUUUUGACUCUGGCUCAACAACAUCAGCCAUUGACGGAUUUUCAUACUUGCAAAUCAAAUAGUCUUCUUCCUCCCUUAGGAAUUUCGGUUUAAAUGUUAUUAAGCAUACAUUUGGCUGACAAUUAUUAACCACUUCAUGAUAUGGUUUCUUACCCUUAAUCAAUGGUUUCUAAGUGAAUAUAUGCAGAAGGAAAUCUGAACUGUAGACAGCAGUAUUGAUAACUCUCAAUAUUCUUUAUAUAAGAGAAUAAACAACGUCAUAGUGAUCGUCGCCUACAAGAAAGGUACAUUUCCCAACAAGAUGUAGUUGUGACUGGUACAUGGACGCAAUUAACUCGUACAAAAGAAUAAGACCAGUGCACGGCAGCUCUUAUUUUACAUGCUAAUUAUGCUAACCAAAGUCACUCAGUUGGGAUGGGAGGGAGAUGGAGGUUUGUGCGGUGGCUUGUGGGGCGGAGUUGGUGGCUUCUUUUCAGGAGCUUGUGGCUUUUUCGGAGCUGAAGGAGGCUCAAUCUUAUGAGGCGGCUUGUACGAGUCUUCUUUACUCUCGACAGGAGGGUGGCCAGGGUUGUGACCAUAAUGUGGUGGCUUCUCUCCCUUAGGUGGCUUGCCAACUGGGGUUGGUGGCUUGUGUUCAGGAAGUGGUUUCUCUCCCUUGGGAGGUUUACCAAUUGGGGUUGGUGGCUUGUGUUCUGGGAGUGGUUUCUCUCCCUUGGGAGGUUUAGUGGGUGACUUGUGUUCUGGAGGUGGCUUCUCCACCGGAGGCUUGUGCUCCGGUGGUGGCUUCUCCACCGGAGGCUUGUGCUCCGGUGGUGGCUUCUUGAUUGGAGGGGGCUUGGGGUAAUCAGCAAGAGAUGGGAUGGUGAGAACCACCACUCCAAGGAACAACACUAGCAAGUAUGUGGGAGACAUUUCUGAGUUUGAGCUGAUCAGAUGAUGCAAAACUAGAAGAAUUACGGGACCUUUUAUAGCAAGUAUCUCCCAAUACCCACAUGACACGUGUUACUAUGACCAUAAAUAUUAUAGGGUCCAUUUGUGCCCUACCGGGUUGAAAACUUGGACGCUUGGCCGAGGACACACCUGACUAUGGAGGACUAUUGACGUGUGAUCACAGCUUUUGGAUUUUUCUUCCUGUGCAGCUGUCUAGCGGUUGGCAUUAUUUUCUUAAUCUUAAAUAAAGGCAUAGUUAUAGAGUUGUUUAAUCUCUAAAUGGGAUUUUAUAUAUCUUCAGAUAGCCAUUAAUAUAUUUGAUGAAGAAAGACAAGUGCAUACAACAUGUAUACGGCUUGCUUCAAUCGAGUACAUUUAUGAUCAGUUUUCCUGUGCAAGUAAACCAGUUUUUUGUUCCACAACUAUUUUGGAAUCUUGUUUAUCAGUUUCUAUCAUUAUAAUGUCACAUAGGCUGCAAACUUGGGCACCCAAAGAUCUAGGUGGGCAAAUUUGUUUCAGACUUUCAAUGGUGGAUUCAGUAAUUGUUAAAAGGUGUUUCUUCAUUAAGGAAAGAGUCCGGUAAAAAUAUUGUUAAAAGGUGUCAUAGAAACUAUAAUAAAUAAAUAACUUCUUUUCCCCAUGGGUGGUGUUUCUUCUGGGGAUCAGUGACUGGUUAGGGUCACCCAAAAUGAGUCCAGAUUAAAAUUGGUUCGAGUCAAAGCAGUCUCUUUUGUCCAGAAAUCAACUAUUUUGCGCAUUGAAUGAAUCGAUAAAGAAAAAAUGAAAGCCAAAUCACACCUCCCCUGCAAAACCUAAACCCCGGUUGCUAACUUUCUAUGUUUCAGUCCUAUUCAUAUAGGAAUAUUGGUUCAAGUUUGAGAAAAAUGGCAACUUACCUAGGGUUUACUUGGUUUUGGUUUGCGACUAUUUACGCAACCAACCAUGAGUUUGACUUUAACGUCAUGGGUUGAAGCCUCCUACAAUCAUGUAUGAUAGUUCAAAGCUCGUGGAAGAAAUUAUACAGGAAGGAAGAAACCUCCAAAGCUAGCUCCAAAAGAGAAUUAUCACAUCGAUAGCUCCAGAGAUUCCCAAGGGAACUGAAUCAAAGACAAGUUCCUCACUUUUUCUUCUUUUGAGGCCAAAUAUGAACCAAGGAUCACACGACCUCAUUCAACUUCAUAAGUUUGAUUUCAUGCAGUUGAACACUGGGUGAAGGCCAUGACAAGAAUUGAUUAAAAAAUUCUACCACUCUUUUAAGUAAUGGAAGAUUAUUAUCUCUGAUUGGCACCACAACAGCACAUGCUGCUAGAUCUUUCUAGACACUCCAUGCAAUGAAAGCACAAUGGAUCUUGUAAUGAUAGAAACUAAGCCAUGCUACAGUACUAGAUGAGGGGGUAAAACUAGUAGACAUCUUUCUAGACACUCCAUGCAAUGAAAGCACAAUGGAUCUUGUAAUGAUAGAAACUAAGCCAUGCUACAGUACUAGAUGAGGUGGUAAAACUAGUAGACAUGGCUGGCAGUUGAUUACUACUCAAAAAGUACUCUUUUAUAGCUUGAAACUAACUGUUUUAAACACUUUUGAGUAGUAGUUAAUACCUUUUAACUUAAUUGGCACAUUAAGGAACCUAGCAAGGGUUACUAAUCAACAUUUGGCAAGUUUUGAUGUUUUUGGUAGCUAUUUGAUCAUUGAAACAAGCCAAGAAUGAGGGGGAAUUUUGUGAAGUCCAUGGCAAUGCAAGUUAAAGCUCAAAUACAUGAAGAAUCCAAGCUUUGGAGCACUUCAUAGCCCUUUGCCAAGCCAAUCAAAGAUGCAAGGAAGAAAACCAAAGGAAGAAAUCCAACAAUCAGCAUUUUGGCAUGGCUAUGUGAAAUUUCGCACACCAUGCGAAACCACAAGAGGCAGCCAAAGAAUUUCGCAUGGUAUGCGAAAUCUUCUUGUGCACUGACUCUGUUAGAUUUUUAUCUUCAGAUAUUUUGUGUAAUUUCCUAGUUUCUCCUUGUAACCAACUUAGAUAUUUUCUUUUAUAUCUUUUUUUAUAUUUUUUAGGUAACAUCAUAUAUAAGAGGAGAGACAUAAGGAGGAUAUGGAUGUUUUUCAUAGAACACUUGUAAAUUUUUGGUAGUAAGAAAUAUACAAAGCUUUUUGCUCUGCCUUACCUUCUCAAGGGAUGAGUGGCUAGGUUUUCUUGGAGUGAGGGAAGCUAGGUGAAGGACCUGAAUGCAAAGGUGGGAGUUUUCCUUACUUUAAAUGAAAGUAGUUGUUAAACAUUAAUGGUUUUUAUUUUAAGGUUUAGCUUUAAAUCCCUGAAAAACACCUUGAAUGGCCAAUACUUGGUAAGCUUUUUAGAUUCUAUGGAUGCUUAUUGCUAGAUCCAUGGAUGUCUAUUAGUUAUCAUUUACGAGCCAUUGGAAGGUGAUUCAAGGUGAGGGUCUUUAGUGUUUGAAGCCAUUAAUGGGAAGCAAUUACCAUUUUUUCAUGAAUCCUUUGGAUCAAAUCUUAAUUGCUAAAUAUAAAACCGGUUUCGAGAGAUAACCACCAUCCUUUAUGUUAUUAUCCCCAACGCGAGGAGAAGAUCCGAAAUCUUCCUUUUUAUCUAAGGAACCCGAUCCUAGUGACCUAAAGCUCCAAGAUACCUUUUCUUUGUAGUUAACUUCAUUUAUUGUUUUUGCUUAACUUAAAAUCAAUCUUUGCAACCACAAUUCCAUUUUCUUUAAAAGCUAAUUUUUAUAAGGAAAAACACCAUUUUAUUUCCUUCACUAAGUCAACUGUACGAUGAAAACCCAUCCCUGUGGACGAUCCUAGAGCCACUAUACUAUGUUAGCUAUGCUACCCUAGUGUGAGGUGAUUUAGGUUUUAUAAAUUUUUUUGAUAACACCCAUCUGAGCCAGAAUCAAAUGGCACGACUGAACCAGGGACGAAUCAAAUGACGCCGCUACCAAGGAUGGUGCCAAAGUACAUUGACAUGACUUUUGGUGAACACUUGUGAUCUUCACCACAAGUUUGGUGAUUUUUCUUUUACUAAUUUUUUUUAUUUUAGCUUAUCUUUUAUUUAGUUUUUAGUUAACCUUAAAUUUUUCCUAGAAUUGUAUUUCUUUUGUUUUCUUUGUUUUUGUUUCAGUGAUCUUUAGUUGUGCAUGCCCUAUUGGAUAAGAGAUAUUGAGGGAAUACUUGUGAAGAUUGAAACUCCUCGAGAAACUGAGUUAGAAGUGUGCUUGAACAUCAUGGAUGUUCCACCUGAAGACCAGAAUAGCCAACAUGGUUAAGAGGAUAAUUUCAACACAUACCGAUCCAUGAGGAACCGCAUACAUCCACCUUGUAUGAGUGCACCGUCAGGCAUAAUGCCUCCCACUGAGCAGCUAGUAAUCUGACCUCACAUUGUGCCACUCCUACCUACUUUCCAUGGGAUGGAGAGUGAGAAUCCCUACUCGCAUAUUAAGGAAUUCGAGGAGGUUUGUAAUACAUUCCAAGAAGGAGGAGCUUCAAUUGACUUGAUGAGGCUCAAGCUAUUUCCUUUCACUUUGAAGGAUAAGGCCAAGAUUUGGCUUAAUUCUUUAAGGCCAAGAAGUAUCCAAACUUGGAUUGAUUUGUAAGCCGAGUUUCUUAAGAAGUUCUUCCCUACCCAUAGGACCAAUGGUUUGAAAAGGCAAAAUUUGAACUUCUCAGUUAAAGAGAAUGAGAAAUUCUAUGAGUGUUGGGAGAGCUACAUGGAAGCUAUUAACGUUUGUCCUCACCAUGGCUUUGACACAUGGCUCUUAGUGAGCUAUUUUUACAAUGGUAUGUCUUCUUCAAUGAAGCAACUCCUAGAAACUAUGUGUGGAGGAGACUUCAUGAGUAAGAAUCCGGAGGAAGCCAUGGACUUUUUGAGUUAUGUGGCUGAAGUUUCAAGAGGAUGGGAUGAACCAAAUGCUAGAGAGGUGGGAAGAAUGAAGUCUCAACCUAAUGCUAAGGGUGAGAUGUAUGUUUUGAAUGAAGACAUUGACAUGAAAGCAAAGGUUGCAGCUAUGGCAAGGAGAUUGGAAGAGCUAGAAAUGAAGAACAUACAAAAAGUGCAAGCCAUUUCUGAGACAUCAAUGAAAGCUAUGCCUUGUUCCAUUUGUCAAUCUUAUAAGCACCUAGUGGAGGAGUGUCCUACAAUUCCAGCAGUGAGAGAGAUGUUUGGUGAUCAAGCAAAUGUUAUUGAUCAAUUCAAGCCUAAUAACAAUGCUUCAUAUGGCAACACCUACAAUUCAAAUUGGAGGAACCAUUCAAAUUUCUCUUGGAAACGAAAGCCACCUCAAUACACACAACCUACUCAAGCACCUUAGCAAUCCUCGAAUCUUGAACAAGCUAUUGUGAACCUUAGCAAGGUUGUGGGAGACUUUGUGGGAGAUCAGAAGUCCAUCAAUGCUCAACUGAAUCGGAGAAUUGACAGUGUGGAGAGUACAUUGAACAAAAGGAUGGAUGAGAUGUAAAAUGAUCUGUCUCAAAAGAUAGACAAUGUCCAAUACGUAAUCUCAAGGCUUACCAACCUCAACACAGUGUAAGAGAAAGGAAAGUUUCCUUCUCAACCUCAUCAAAAUCCUAAGGGUAUCCAUGAAGUAGAGGCUCAAGAGGGAGAAUCUUCAAAGGUGAGGGAAGUCAAAGUAGUUAUCACCUUGAAGAGUGGUAAAGAGGUUGAUCAACCCACAUCCAAGCCAAAGCAUAAUGAAGAGAGUGUAGCAGAAAAAGAAAAGAGAGGAAAAUAAAGGAAUUAGAAUAGAGAAAAAUACAAAGAAAGAUGACCAUGAGUCUAGUGUGGAUGAAGAGCCCGAGAGGAUGGUGAUCAAGGAAGAUAUGAUGAAGAAACACAUGCCUCCACCUUUCCCCUAAGCUUUGCAUGACAAAAAAAGAACCAAUAAUACAUCAGAAAAUUUUGAAGUAUUGAGGCAAGUGAAGGUCAAUAUCCCUUUGCUAGACAUGAUCAAACAAGUGUCGACAUAUGAAAAAUUCUUGAAGGACUUGUGCACUGUAAAGAGAGGGUUGAAUGUGAACAAGAAAGCUUUAUUGACCGAGCAAGUGAGUUCCAUCAUACAGUGCAAGUCCUAGUGAAGUACAAAGAUCCGGGUUGCCGUACCAUCUCAGUGAGUAUUGGAAGGACUUGUGUGGAGAAAGCUUUGUUGGACUUGGGAGCAAGUGUGAAUUUGCUAUCCUACUCUGUCUAUAAGCAGUUGGGAUUUGGAGAGUUGAAGCCAAUAUCCAUCACUCUAUCUCUAGCGGAUAGAUCAAUGAAGAUUCCAAGAGGGAUGAUCGAAGAUGUCCUGGUUCAAGUUAACAAAUUCUACUAUCCAGUAGAUUUUGUUGUUCUUGAUAUGGAUCCGGUUGUCAAAUGAACUAAUUAUGUUCCUAUCAUACUUGGAAGACCCUUCCUAGCUACAUCAAAUGCAAUCAUCAAUUGUAGGAAUGGAGUCAUGCAACUCACAUUUGUCAACAUGACAUUAGAGCUCAACAUCUUCCAUUUGUACAAGAAGCAUAUCCAUCAGGAGGAAAAAGAAGGUCUAGAGGAAGUGUGAAUGAUUGACACUUUAGUGGAAGAGCAUUGUGAUCGAGAAUGCAAAAAGAUUUAGUUGAGAAUUUUGGGGAUCUUGAUGAAAGGUUACUUGAACCCUCAGAUUUGCUUGCUACCCUACUCCAUUGGAAGAGAAGAGAAGAAAUUCUACCCUUAUUCAAUGAGGAGGAGACGCAAAGAGCUGCAAAGGAGAAACCCCCAAAACUUAUUCUUAAGCCACUACCCACAGAGUUGAAGUAUGUAUACUUGGAAGAAGACAAGAAGUGCCCUAUUGUUAUAUCUUCAACUCUUACCAUUCAUCAGGAGGAUUGUCUACUUGAAGUCCUUAGAAGAUGUAAGAAGACAAUAAGGUGGCUAAUUUCUUAUUUGAAAGGGAUCAGCCCUUUAGUCUGCACCCAUCAUAUUUACAUGGAGGAUGAAGCUAAGCUAAUUCAUCAACCUCAGAGAAGGUUGAACCCUCACAUGCAAGAGGUGGUUCGAGCUGAAGUUCUGAAGCUACUUCAGACCAGUAUUAUUUACCCCAUAUCAAAUAGCCCAUGGGUGAGUCCUACUCAAGUUGCGCCAAAGAAGUCUGGGAUCAUGGUGGUGCAAAAUGAUAAGGGAGAAGAUGUCUCUACACGCCUCACUACAGGUUGGAGGGUGUGUAUCAAUUACAGGAGGUUGAAUGCAGUGAUAAGAAAGGACCAUUUCUCAUUGCCCUUUAUUGAUCAGGUGCUUGAGAGGGUCUCUGGGCUUUUUUUUUUAUUGUUUCUUGGAUGGCUACUCCGGGUACUUUCAGAUAGAAAUUGAUGUUGAAAACCAAGAUAAGACCAUUUUCACAUGCCCAUUUGGAACCUAUGCAUAAAGGAGAAUGCCUUUCGGCUUAUGCAAUGCACCCGCAACUUUCCAAAGAUGCAUGUUAAGCAUUUUCAGUGAUAUGGUGGAGCGUAUUAUGGAAGUCUUUAUGGAUGAUAUCACCAUUUAUGGAAGUGCAUUUGAUGAAUGCUUGGUCAACUUAGAAGCUGUUCUGAACCGAUACAUUGAGAAAGACUUAGUGCUUAACUGGGAGAAGUGCCAUUUCAUGGUACACCAAGGGAUUGUCCUUGGGCACAUUAUCUCCAAGCAAGGCAUUGAAGUUGACAAAGCAAAGGUUGAACUCAUUGUUAAGUUGCCAUCCUCAACAAAUGUCAAAGGAGUAAGGCAAUUCUUUGGCCAUGUCGGGUUCUAUAGGAGGUUUAUCAAGGAUUUCUCUAAGCUUGCAAGGCCUCUUUGUGAAAUAUUGGUGAAUGAUGUUAAAUUCAUAUGGGAUGAUGGAUUUGAAAGGAGUUUUGAAGAAUUGAAGCUAUUUUUGACAACCGUACCAAUAGUGAGGGCUCCCAACUGGCAACUGCCCUUUGAAGUAAUGUGUGAUGUCAAUGAUUUUGCUAUAGGAUUUUUUCUUGGGCAAAGAGAAAAUGGAAAACCUUAUGUGAUCUACUAUGCGAGGAAGGCAUUGAAUGAGGCACAAAGAAACUACACAACCACCGAGAAAGAAUUGUUAGCUGUAGUUUUUGCCUUGGAUAAGUUUCGCGCUUACUUGGUGGGGUCCUUCAUCAUGGUUUUUACUGAUCACUUUGCUUUGAAGUAUCUGUUGACUAAGCAAGAUGCUAAAGCAAGGCUGAUUAGAUGGAUUCUCUUACUUCAAGAGUUCAAUCUCCAUAUCAAAGAUAAGAAAGGAGUGGAGAAUGUGGUAGCAGACCACAUUUCAAGGCUAGCUAUCGCACAUAAUUCCCAUGCUUUGCCCAUUAAUGACGAUUUUCUAGAGGGGUCUCUCAUGUUGGUGGAAGUUGUCCCUUGGUACGCUCACAUUGCUAACUACCUGGUCACGGGAAAAGUUCCAAGUGAGUGGAAAGCACAAGAUAAGAAGCACUUCUUUGCAAAAAUUCAUGCCUACUAUUGGGAAGAGCCAUUUCUAUUCAAGUAUUGUAUGGAUCAGAUAAUAAGGAAGUGCGUUCCUGAAGAAGAGCAACAGGGGAUCCUUAGUCAUUACCAUGAAAAUGCAUGUGGAGGCCACUUUGCUUAUCAAAAGACAGCCAUGAGGGUGUUGCAAUCGGGUUUCUGUUGGCCAUCACUUUUCAAAGAUGCCCACACCAUGUGCAAGAGUUGUGAUCGAUGCCAGAGGCUUGGGAAGUUGACACGCAGGAACAUGAUGCCUUUGAACCCCACUUUAAUAGUUGAUAUUUUUUAUGUUUGGGGCACUAACUUCAUGGGACCUUUCCCUAUGUCUUUUGGCUACUCUUACAUCUUGGUAGGAGUAGAUUAUGUUUCUAAGUGGGUUGAGGCAGUCCCAUGCAAACACAAUGACCAUAGAGUGGUUCUCAAGUUUCUUAAAGAGAAUAUCUUCUCAAGAUUUGGGGUGCCCAAAGCCAUAAUUAGUGAUGGGGGUACUCAUUUUUGCAACAAGCCUUUUGAAACUCUCCUAGCCAAGUAUGGGGUGAAGCAUAAGGUAGCUACACCUUACCACCCUCAAACUCAUGGACAAGUUGAGUUAGCAAACAGGGAGAUUAAAAACAUAUUGAUGAAGGUGGUGAACACAAACAGAAAAGAUUGGUCAGUCAAGCUUCUUAAUUCACUAUGGGCAUAUAGAACAACUUACAAGACCAUUCUCGGGAUGUCUCCUUAUCGCCUAGUUUAUGGCAAAGCAUGCCAUCUCCCUGUGGAAUUGGAAUACAAAGCUUGGUGGGCAAUCAAGAAGCUCAACAUGGAUUUGAGCAGAGCUGGGUUGAAGAGGUUCUUAGACCUUAAUGAGAUGGAGAAAUUGAGAAAUGAUGCCUACAUCAAUUCAAAAAUUGCAAAAGAAAAAUUGAAGAGGUGGCAUGAUCAGUUGAUUUCCCGCAAGGAUUUUCAAAAUGGACAAAGAGUCUUACUUUAUGACUCUAAACUCCACAUCUUUCCGGGCAAGCUGAAAUCAAGGUGGAUAGGUCAUUUUACCAUUCACCAAGUGCAUUCAAAUGGAGUAGUGGAACUACUCAACUCCAACAAUAUCGAGAACUUCAAAGUGAAUGGCCACCGUCUCAAGCCCUUUGUGGAGUCUUUUUCUCACAACAAGGAGAAAUUCAUCCUCCUUGAUCCACAUCAAGCUUAACAAGACCAAUUUUCUUGAUGGACUUAGUCUUUCUAAAGACUAUCGAGUCCAUAACUUUUUGUUUUAUUUUUUAUUUGAGAUUUUUUCGGUAUUGUUACUUGUUUUGUUUUUUAUUUUUCGUUUUAAUUUUAUUUGGUUUGAUUUAACUUAGGUUUUUGAUGAUCAAUUACAGGGGGGAUUUCAAAUAGAGGAAAAACCAAGAUAAUUCGCACACCCUACGAAAAUUUCGCAAGGCAUGCGAAAUUUAUGGCUUAUUUUGCAUGGGGUGAAAAUUUUCGUACAUCUUACGAACCAAUUUCGAACACUUUGCGAAAAUAAACCAACCCUGCGAAAUCAUUUCGAUUACUCUACGAAAUUUUCGUAGAGCAUGCGAAAAAUUUAGCACACCAAACACCAUUUCGCAUACUAUGCAAAAACCUAAGGGGUCUGCGAAACCAUUUCGCACCUCCAAAUCCAUUUCGCACAUUGUGCGAAAACCAAGAGGCGCUGUGCGAAAAUGAAAAGUCGCCCUGUCAUCCCUUUUUAAACCCCUCGAGCCCUAAAAUCUCCAUUUCGCAAGCACCCCUGUCCUUGCGAAUCCCUCAUUUUCCUCUACUACCUUGCAACCUCGUCCCUUUCCAUUUGAUAUUGUGCCCCGCGCACAUCUCAUUUCAGAGACUCGCACUCCGCGCCCCCUCAAAGCAUGGACUCGAGACCCACCUUCCAUUUCCGACGUGGCACGGACCCAAGGAGCCCUUUCUGCCCCUUCACUAAGACACACACCAAGGCAGAAAGCCUCCUUUGCUCAAGUGCCUAGUGAUUCUCCAUCUUAGGCCUCAGAGGCCUCGGAGGCCCCGUGGAUUCCACCUUCCGAGGGUAGAGCAGCCAUUGGUCCUUCCUCUUCUACUCCUUAGCGUAGAUACGAGACGAGGAGACCACCUACUACACAAGGGGCGACUACUUCGAGCCUUGAGAAUUCAGUACGAUGCCUUCCUGCCAAGAGGGUCAAGACUUCAGGUCCAAGUGAGUCAUCCAGAGCUUCAUAGCCUAAGCCUCCUGUAGAUUCCAAGGUUCCUACUGACAUAUCACCGGAGUCUAUUAUCAGAAGCCCGAUGCUCAUAGCACCGCCCAUUGAGGGCAACUCAGAUUAUAGAGCGAGAUCUUUCCACUUGGAGCUAUAUUUUGAUCAGGAGGCCAUACGACAGCAGCCUGAGCUCCGAGACUCUUAUGGCUUACUGCAGAGGUACCAUCUUGAGGAACUUAUGACUCCUCGUGAGUUUUUUUAUCCCAGAGUAGCACUAAACUUUUACCAGUCCAUGACUACUCGUGGCGUCCCGAGUCCUACCACGAUUCACUUCACCAUUGAUAGACGUCAUGGUAUCCUCAAGGCCAGACAUAUUACAGAGGCUCUACAAAUUCCUUUCGAGCUAGAGGAUCCAUCUGUUUUUCGCUAAUGGUCCCCAGUAUCUCAGAGGGACAUGGUCCGUAUUUUAUCUAGGGGAACAUCUACAGAUUCGAUCUUUCUACGGAAGGAGCUUCGACCUGGGAUGCUCCUCUUAGAUGUGGUGCUAUGCUCCAACCUCUUUCCCUUACAACAUUCGGUACAUAGGUGAUGAGCUAUUUUGGACGCUUUAUUCCGUAUAUCAGAGGGCUUCUACUUUGGCCCGCACCACUUGAUCAUGGUCUCCCUCAUCCACUUUGAGGAGAAGGUUCAUAGGAAGAAGCUUCAGAGGGUGGACACCAUUCCAUUACUAUUCCUGAGGUUACUUUGCCAGGUCUUGGAGUACAUGGGCUUUCCUACUGAGCCUCGGCUCGAGCUUUGCCGCCUUUGUCGAGAGUGAUCCACUCUCGACAAAUGGAAUUAGUUGGCGGGCUAUUCUGCACCUCCAGGAGCCCCUCCCAUGGUAGCACCUCCAAUGUCCCCACAGGCAAAGUAGGGCGAGCUCCCGGCAAAGACUGUACCACCAAUGCCCACACUUGAGGCUAUUUCUGCUGCUCUGCCUAUGACUCCUACUGUUCCACCAGUUGGUCCUUUUACAUCCGAGCCUUCCAUCACCAUCUCGGCUUCGGAGUUUCGCGCCCUUGUGCAUACCUUUCAGACACUCACCACCACACAUACUCCUCUCUUCUAGCAAAUGGUUGAGAUGUGUGCCCAUCAGGACCGGAAGACUACUAUACUCUGCCAAAUUCAGCAGCACCUAAGACUUUUGCCUCAACCUCAACCUAACCAUCCCAUAUCAUCAGAGCCUCUAGCUCCAACUGAGGAUACUAUUCCACCUGAGAACACUACCACAGUAGAGGUCCGGUUUCCACCACCUUAAGAGGCCACCACAGCUACAUCAGAGGAUGUGUCAUCUCCACUUGAGGCUCCCACUACUUGAUCAUAGGACAUAUCUUUAUCUUAUUGUAUUUACAUAUUAUAUUACUAGAGAUUUGUCCUUGUUUUGAUACUUUAUAUUCUGGGAUUGGAUGUAUUGCCUGAUGAUAUCUCAAUUGUACUUUCUCAUAUUAAUAUAUAGACAUCAAUUUUUUUUAGUAUACUUAGCAUUUUUCUAUUUCCUCUACUCAUUACUCUUUUGUUUUUUUUUACUCAUGUGGUUUCUCUUAUACAACUCAGACUCCAUUUCACUCAGGAGGUACCACUUCCUCCCUUUAUUUUCAAUUGCUCUUGAAAUAUUGAGUGCAAUGUUGAUCUUGGUUGGGGGGAGAGUUGAGGAAGGAAGUUUUGUUAAUAAUGCUAGGUUAAUUUGUUAAUUUAGUUACUUUCUGCUUAAUUUUAAAAGUUUUCACUCUACUUUCCAUGGUUAUUAAGGAAAAAUUCUCAAAAUGAAAUGGGAGAAAUCGAAUUCUUGCAUUUUUACUUGAAUCUUAGAAUUUGUAUCAUGCUUAUUAAAGUUGAUGAAUUAUUGAAACUCCUAUUGAAUUCAACCUUAUUUUUUCCACUUUAAUCUUACCACACACGGUGCACAUUAGGUUCCAGUUAUAAGAUAAAAAACUAUCUCACCCCCUAAACUUAGAAAAAUUUACACUUGGUACCUUUGACAUCGUUUUAAUAGUGUUGGGACACCUUAUAAAAGGCCAAUGAGCCUUUAAAAAAAAAAAAAAAAAAAAAAAGAGAAAGAACAAAGUAUUGCACUUGCCUUGAAACCUGAGCAAGAUCCGAGGGGUAUACAGUGAAAGUCUUUAAAACCUGGUGCCCUAAGCCUUGAUUGGUUGGGAGUCACCGACCUCAAUGCUCGUUAUAAGGGUGAAUAGGUGGAGUUUAACAUAUUGUAGGUGCUUGGGUAUUGAAUUUCAAUCUCAAAAGUCCGGGAAAAAAUCUAAGGAGUUAGUGGUCAAAAGAUCCUUAAAGCUUGAUGCCCUAAACCUUGAUUGGUUGAGAGUCAUUGAUGGAUCCCCGCUACAUGGACAUUUUAGAAAACAAUACCUUUAGCAUUGCACGCCUACAAUGAAAAAAAAAUGUGAAAUAAAAGAGGUGCGUUCUUAGCCUAUUGGAGGUUGGUCAGUUUGCUAAAGUUUGAGAAAUCUAGGUUGGGGGGAGAGAAUAGUCCGACAUACUAUAAUAAAAAACUAAUAACCUUAACACUUAGAUUUUUGUGGAAGAGUAAGGAUUGGACCUUUAGGGGUGGAAAUUCUUUUGAUGCUUAAAUUUGCAUAAUGCCUACUCUUUAUAAAUUAUGAUUAGGCAAGAGAUUUGAUGACUCUUGUUCAAAGUUGGGUUUUUCCUCUUUGAUGUUCCAUGAGAGAGUAUAAUCCUCAUCAUGCCACUUGAAAUCUUUUUGGAGUGAUUAACAUGAUUUUGUAAAUUAUUUUACUGUCUAUUUUUCUUUAUCUCUCUUUUAUUGCUAAUGGACUAGCAAUAUGUCAGUUGGGGGGAGUGAUUACUACUCAAAAAGUACUCUUUUAUAGCUUGAAACUAACUGUUUUAAACACUUUUGAGUAGGUGUUAAUACAUUUUAACUCAAUUGGCACAUUAAGGAACCUAACAAGGGUUACUAAUAAGUUUUUGGCAAGUUUUGGUGUUUUUGGUAGCUAUUUGAUCAUUGAAACAAGCCAAGAAUGAGGGAGAAUUUUGUGAAGUCCAUAGCAAUGCAAGUUAAAGCUCAAAUACAUGAAGAAUCCAAGCUUUGAAGCACUUCAUAGCCCUUUGCGAAGCCAAUCAGAGAUGCAAGGAAGAAAACCAGAGGAAAAAAUCCAACAACCAGCAUUUUCGCAUGGCUGUGCGAAAUUUUGCACACCAUGCGAAACCACAAGAAGUAGCCAAAGAAUUUUGCACACCAUGCGAAAUUUCGCAUGGUAUACGAAAUCUUCCUAUGCACCAACUCCGUUAUAUUUUUAUCUUCAGAUAUUUUGUGUAAUUUCCUAGUUUCUCCUUGUAACCAACCUAGAUAUUUUCUUUUAUAUCUUUUUUUUAUAUUUUUUAGGUAACAUCAUAUAUAGGGGGAGAGACAUAAGGAGGAUAUGGAUGUUUUUCAUAAAACACUUUUAAUUUUCUGGUAGUAAGAAAUAUACAAAGUUUUUUGCUCUGCCUUACCUUCUCAUUUUGUUUUCACCUAUCUUUCUAGCCAAACAACCUCUGAGAAUGAUUUCUCAGGGGAUGAGUAGUUAGGUUUUACGUUUCUUGGAGUGAGAGAAGCUAGGUGAAAGACCCAAAUGCUAAGGUGGGAGUUGUCCUUGCUUUAAAUGAAAGUAGUUGUUAAAUAUUAAUGGUUUUUAUUUUAAGGUUUAGCUUUAAAUCCCUUAAAAACACCUUGAAUGGCCAAUACUUGGUAAGCUUUUCGGAUUCUAUGGAUGCUUAUUGCUAGAUCCAUGGAUGUCAUUAGUUAUCAUUUAUGAGCCAUUGGAAGGUGGUUCAAGAUGAGAGUCUUUAGUGUUUGAAGCCAUUAAUGGGAAACAAUUACCAUUUUUUCAUGAAUCCUUUGGAUAAAAUCUUAAUUGCUAAAUAUAAAACUGGUUCGGGAGAUAACCAUCCUUUAUGUUAUUAUGCCCAAUGCAAGGAGAAGAUUUCGAAUCUUCUCAUUUGUCUAAGGAACCCGAUCCUAGUGACCUAAAGCUCCUAGAGACCUUUUCUUUGUAGUUAACUUCAUUUAUUGUUUUUGCUUAACUUAAAAUCAAUCUUUGCAACCACAAUUCCAUUUUCUUUAAAAGCUAAUUUUUAUAAGGAAAAGCACCAUUUUAUUUCCUUCACUAAGUCAACUGUAUGAUGAAAACCCAUCCCUGUGGACGAUCUUAGAGCCACUAUACUAUGUUAUCUAUGCUAUCCUAGUGUGAGGUGAUUUAGGUUUUAUAAAUUUUGUUGAUAACACCCGUCUGAGCCAGAAUCAAAUGGAACCACUGAACCAGGGACAAAUCAACAGCCUAUAUGGGAGGGACACAAGUUUAAUUGAUUUGCAUUUCAGCGUUAUAGAUAAGUAUGUUUUGGAAGAUUUGUUCUGGAAAUACUGCACCAAGUACGAUUCUUUUUCUCUUGAGUGAGUCCAUUUGCAUGCCAAUUAACGAGUUGAAAAGUAGGAGCACCUACCUCGUGCUCAUGGAACCGAAUGUCAGUGAAGUGGGGCUCCUUUUAGCCUCUUGUGUUUCUGUUCCAACCAAGGCGGCGUAGGGAAAAACAACAAUAUGUCUGUGCUAAAUAUCAACGCAUGAUAGAUGUUUUUUUUUUUUUUUUUGGUAUGUCAAGGCUAACGAAUGAAAUGCAUUAGCUUGUUUUGUGACUAUAACUGCAAAUGUCCAAAUUGGAGUAUCUCCAUUUCUCACUUCGGAUGGUUAACUUUAUAAACAAGAUAUAGGAAACAUGUGAACAUCUUGAGGAACAAUUCAAAUUAUUCAUUAGAAGUCCUGGGUUAAGUUCCAAGAUUUAAAUCAGACCCUUCUAGCAGCUUCAAGGGUACUUAGCAACCUAUAACAUAUUAAUGAAGAUUUAGGAUUUAGACUCCGGAAUACAAAUAAAUAUGUAUCUCAUGCUUUGACUAGCUUCCCUACAUAUGCAUAAAAUGGAGAUGACCCAAAAAAAAUAGCAGAAUCUAGCUUCCCUACAUAUGCACAAAAUGGAGAUGACCCAAAAAAUAGCAUAAUCGCCUUAGUUUCUGUGGUUAAGGUGAUUCUCCGCUUAAUAUCCACAUUGACUCAUUAUGCAAAAUCAACUGAGCUAAUUUUAUUUAUUUAUUUAAUGUCAAAUAGGAACUCCUAAUUAACUGAUUACUGUCGAAAAGUGCUAUUUUGUAGACCUAAUUAUAAGGGUUUUAAGCACCUUUGAGUAGUAAUCAUAUUCAUUUAACCUAAUUAAUUCAUUAAGCUCCUUAGUAAUUAGUUCUAACCAUUUUUAGUGGCAAGUUUACAUGUUUUUCAUCAGCUUAUGAACCAAUUCAAGCAUGCCAAUUGAUGGAGGAGCUACUUGGGCGAGUUAAGCAAGGAUUUUGGACGUUUACAGGCUUGAAUUUCAAGUGGAAACACGAGCACAAGCAAUGGGAACACCAUUUCGCAAGGGGAGGCAAUUCACCUUGCCAAAUGACCAAUUUCGCAAGGGGAUUUUCCUCAUGGUGCAAAAUUUGGUCAUUUCGCACCAUGAAGAAACCACCUUGCAAAAUUUCGCAAGGUGGAUUUAGGCACCUUGCGAAAUGCCAAAUUUCACAAGGUGGCUUUUCACCUUGCGAAAUUUGGACCUUUCAUCUUCCCCCCUUGCGAAAUGCCUUUGAAAUCCCCUGUUUUGAGACGCUGUUGAUGAUAUUCCACUGCCGGUUCUCCAAGAUAUUUUGCUUGACUUUUAGCUUUAUAAAUACCUAUUUUACCCUUGUAAUCAACCAAUGAAAAGGUUGCUUUUGUAAUAGCUCUUGUAAUUUAGCUUUUUAUUGUCUUUAAAUAGAGGUGAAGAGCCUCAGACACGAUCAUCUUGUAACCUGUAACUUUAUAAGUUAUAAGAGCACUUUUGUUCAUACGCUUCUUUUCUCUUUUCUUUCUCAUUUUCUUAGUAGCCAAACAUCCUUGGAGGAUGAAAUCCCCAAGGAUGAGAGGCUAAAACCUUUUAGUUUCUUGAAGUAAUGGAUGCCAUGUGAAGCUCCCGUGUCAGGAUGGAGAUUUCCAAGCCAUAAAUGUAAGUAGCUGAGCGUCAUAAAUGUUUUCAUUCAAAGUAAAGCUUUUAAUCCCUCUGACUUGCUUUGAAUGGCCAAUACUUGAUAACCUUUUGGUCUCAAUGGAUUCUUAUUGUUAGAUCCACUGACGUUCAUUAGUUAUCUCCUACGAGCCAUUGUAUUGCAAGUCGAGGAGAUGACCUAUACCAAUAAAAGAGCAUUUAUGAGGUUCAACUACCCUUUUUGUAAGUUUUCAAGGACUAAAACUCAGUUGUUAAACUCAUACCGGUUCGAGAAGUAAGCAUCACCUUAGUUGCUUCCCCAACUCGAGGUGAAAAGUCCCAAAAUCUCCAUUUUUACACAGUGAGUUAAGCAUGGCUAUCCAAAGCUUUAAGAAACUUCUUUUUCCAUCUUUUAACCUAUUUUCAUGUUAGUUUAGUUUACAACACCUUCAUCUUUUUAUGUUUUCAUCUUAACCUAAUUUUUAUUAAGAAAAGUUCACUCCAUCCUCCGAACUUCACCAGUUAAAGUAAAAACCCUUCCCAGUGUUCGAUCCUAGAGCCACUAUGCUAUAGUAGCUUUGCUACUUUAGUGUAAGGACCUUAGGUAUAAAUUUUGUUGAUACCCUUACAUGCCAAGCUACCAAGAGUCGGGUUAUCAUUAACCUAACCAUUGGCCUGUGUAAAUUGAUUUCACAUGCACAAUGUUGUAGUAGAAGUCCAUAUUUUGAAUUUUAUUUUUGUAAAGGUAAGGAAAAUGAAGCAUUGUGUAAUUAUAAAAAUAACUUCAUUGGAAUUCACAAGGUUCACCCAAAAUGGAGCUACAUCUGUAUUCUAUCCUACAGUAGACUAUAUAGAUUGUACAAUAGUAAAUUGCAAAUACAAUUAAUAAGUCUUGUGCUUCCUUACUAAUAAUCCUUUGACAUGAACAUUGCAGCACUAAGGUCCUCUUGGGAAGACACCUUGCACCCAUGAGAGCACUAAGAGGAAGCAAGGCAGAGUCAUGGGUGCAAUGUCAUGACUUGUUGUUGCACCAAGAGAGGCUUGGUGAUGCCAUGGUGUUGCAGUAGCAAGAAUGUUGCCUUGGCAGGGACACGAUCUAGGGAUAGAUGCCAAGAAAGGCUUAGCACUCACAUGAGUUGCACAAAGAUGAAUGUAAUAGAGCAUCAGAGAGACGUCUUGGCAAGUAAAUGAAUGGAUCCAAGAGACAACAACAUGAGGAGUUUCAAAUGGAUAAGGAAUGACUCAAAGACAUUUGAAAGCUACAAGUUGGAUUCUAAUUACGAUUGCAAUUUGAGUUUGAGUAGGAGUUUAGAUUUUGAUUGUAAUUGUAGUAUGAGUUGGACUAGGAUUGCUUAUCCUUAGUCAAUAUAGGAGCGGUUCGUGUCACCCUAUGAAAAGAGUUUGAGUAGGGACUAGGAUUGCUUACUCCUAGUCAAAUAUGGAGUAGGUGGUGCCACACCUAUAAAAAAAAGGGACAACAUGAGAGAGAGAGAGAGAGAGAAAGAGAGAGUGAAUUCACUAAAGAUAUUGUGGGAGUUUUGCUUUGUUACGUCUUGUAUUAUUACUUAGAAUAGGAAUAAAAUACAAGUUGGGGCUAGAGCCCCAUAAUUAAUCUCGUGUGCCUUUGUGGUUAUUCUUUAUUUGUCAUCUCGUGUGGAUUGGAUUAGGUUGACUUAGAGGGCUUCUAAGCACCACCUUUGUGGGUUAUUAUUUAUUUUCCAUCUCUUGUGGAUUAGAUUAGGUUGACUUAGAGGGCUUCUGAGCACCACCUUUGUGGGUUAUUAUUUAUUUUCCAUCUAUUGUGGAUUAGAUUAGGUUGACUUAGAGGGCUUUUAAGCACCACAUUUGUGGGUUAUUCUUUAUUUUCCAUAUCGUGUGGGUUGGAUUAGGUUGACAAGGAGAAAAAUUAUGUGGGAAAUUUGUGUUGGGACACUUACCAUAACCAAGUAAAAUCUACCAAGUCCUUUGUAAUAUCUUCAACAAAUAUUUUAGACUAGUUCUUUCAGUUAGUGUAAAGGAGGAAGAAGUGGUAUUGAUUCUAGAAAUAGGGUGUGUGUAUUUGAACUACAAUCCUUAUGAUCCUUAGGUCUCUAAACCUUCGUGAUGGGCUCCCUGACAUUUCAUAGGUUGUGCUACACAUGCGUUUGAAAUUUAGAGUGCGUUUGACAGUGAUUCCGGGAAGUGUUUUUGGCCUUUCUUACACUUGAAAAUUUUUAUUUUUCAAGUAUUAGAAAUGCUACAAACACUUUUGAAAAUUACUGUCAAACACACUCUUAGGAGCGCACAUAUAUAGUAGAAAACUAGAAAUUGUGGUUUUUUUAGGAUUUACUGUAAUGUCAUUAGGAGGGUAGUAAGUUGAAAUUGAGUAUGAACAAAUAUUUCUUUCUUUGGGAUGUUCUUCUAGUAGGUGCUGAUGAAACUGUUCUUUCUACUGCCAAUGUCACAUAUCAGCCAGAAAUUGAAAAUUUCAGUCAAGGUGUCCUCUGUUUUAGUGGUGAGGAAAGCUAGAAAUUUUAAGGUGAAGUUUUGUUAAAAACCUUAAGUAGCUGGGAUAUCAGGCCUGUUUUGCUUGAAAAAAAAAGUUGCAAGAUAACUCAUAUGCCAAACAGGUUCUGAUAUUGUGAAUCUAUCGGCAGACAUCAGUAAUCUCAUCUUCUGAGAUGGAUGUUGGGGGUGCAUGUGGUGGUGGAGGGGCAAGGUUUCAUUUGGUUUAUUUUGUUGAUGGAUAUUGUCUAGCCACCUGCGCCAAGUUUGAGGGGUGGUGGGUUGUGAUGACCCUACAAUUACUAUUAAUUUCUUCAUCUUUUACCGAUUAAAGUGUCCGAACAGUCGAAGUUACCCUUAUGCAUGUCAACUUGAUCACUUACCUCUUCAAUGGAGUUUAUGCUGGUUCAUUUAGGAACUGAUUUUUAUUGUUAUGUAUUAUAUGCUGAUGUUUAGGUCUCUCCAUCAUCACUAUAUACAAAAAUUCUAGGUUGAUACUAUAGGUUGAGAUUUAUUUUUUAAAUAAAAAAUAAUAAAAAUAAAAAUUAUGGUGAUGUUUAGUUGUUUUAUGGAAAAUUUUAACAAGUAAAAGUUAUUUUUGGGCAAGUUUUCAAACAAAAAGAAAAGUAAAAGUUGUUUUGACAAAAACAUAUAGAAAAAAAAAUCAUAGAAAAUAAAUAAUUUCCCCAUAUUCUAACUUUUUUGAAUUUUUCUCAAUGGGCAAAGGAAUAUCAAAUCAAGUUUGAGUAGGAUUUCUUAAUUUUUAAAAUAACUUACAAUUAAAAAAUUUUGGUGUUUUCAUUUUUGGACAAUUUUUUAUUAAGCAAAUGGACUCUGAGUCAUGCAAGAGAUAUGGUUCAUUAACCGGUCGAACAAUUUUUUUAAAUUAAUUUAAAAGUCAAAUACAUAAUCAAUUUCACAAAAUUUAUAAACAAAAAUAGGUUUAGAGAAGAUCUACACAUAAUUUUACUUUUCUAAUUUUAUUUUAUUUUAUUUUUUGUUGGAAAAUAGUCUUCAAAUCAUGUAAGAUUUAAUAGGUUAAAUUUGUUAACAAUAAAUUUUAAAUUAUAAAAUAUAAUCUGGAACUCAAAAAUCAAUUCAAGUAAUGCUAAAAAAAAAUCAAAUUUGGUAUAGAAUGACUUUGUAAAUUUUUUUACAAAACAAAUGAAUUUUAAAUCAAGUGAGAUUUAAUGCAUUAGAUUUUUAUCAAAUAUAGUAAUUUUAAAAAUAAAUUUGGAACUCAACAAUAGACACAAUAAAUACCAAAAAAUAAUGAACCAAAAUUGGUUUGGAAUAACUCCACAACCUUUUUUUUUUUUUUUUGGUGCACACGAAUUUUCUUACUAGGUAUAUUGCUUUCAAAUUGAGAAAGAUUUACCAUUUAGAUUUUUUUUUAAUGAGUUUAAUGGUAUUUUAAAAUAAUUCAAAAUUUAAAAAAUUGACUAAUUAAUAUUAUAAAUUGAUAAACCAAGACUAUUUCAAAAUGCAUUGGGGGCUAAGGGGGUUGAAAAUAGGGACAAUGGGAUGGGUUUGGGACAUGACACUCAUAUCUCAUUUCCAUUCCAAUUACACAGUUAUCUCCCAUCCUUAUCCCAAACUUGUGUUGGAGCAAGUUGAUUUGUUCCCAUCUUUGUUGACGAAAUGACUAAUAACCUCAUCCCCUCCUUAUCUUAGAUGUACAUUUUGUCAAAUUUGAUCAGGUAUGAUUGAUCCAAGCCCUAACCCUAAUUGGUAAUGAGUGAAUACUACACCUAAUUGCAUUCUUCUUUCAUUGCAAAAUAAUGAGAUUAUAAUAAUCUAGCAAAUAAGAAAAAAUAGUAUGGAAGUUCAAAUUAACACCAUAACUAUCAAUAAUUUUAAGCUUAUAGAUGACUUAAAUGAUUAAAAACUAAUGCAAAAUCCUAAAAAAAAUAAAAAUCAUAUAAAGAAUUCACAAGAGAACAGAAUGAACAAAAACCAAAUAUGAACAUGGGUCAACAUUAGUUAUGGAUUUGGAUUCCUUUCAAGGCCAAUCUUUGAACCAAGACUUCAUCAAAUCAACUACUUCAAAGGCUUUUGUGUUCUUCUUGGGUUGUGCUCUCAAACAAAGACUUCGAGGUGAUGUUCUAGAUGAUUGAAUUACACAUAUUUAGGGUGGAGAGAUUGGAGAAGCUUGAAGAUGCCAACGAUGGGUACAAUUGAGUGGUCAAUAAGAACAAUGUAGCCUAUGACUAGUUUGAUGUCAUGGUACAAGAGUUUUAGGCAUUGAGGUUAAAGCAAGAGCAACAUGGAAUUGAUUUCGGAGUCUUUCAGUUAGUGUAAAGGAGGAAGAAGUGGUGUUGAUUCUAGAAAUAGGGUUUUAAGUGGUGCGUGAUUACUACUCAAAAAGUGCUAUUUGAUAGCCUUUAAUUAAUCCUUUUUAACACUUUUGAGUAGUAGUUUAGGCCUUUUAACUCAAUUGGCAUGUUAAGGAUCCUUUAAAGCAAUUUUGAUCACUUUGUGCAAGUUUUGGUGUUUUUGUUAGUAUUUUGAUCACCAAAGCAAGUCAAGAAUGAGGAGAACUAUGAGGAAUCAUGGGCAAAGCUUAGAAUUCAAUUGCCAAGAGUGAAUCCGGAUUGCAAGGAGAAAAAGCAAAGAGAAUCUGUCAUGAAGCCUAUUCUUGAUGACAGUCGUAGCAGCCACUUUUGGAGCACUUUCUGAAGUCCAAAUGAUGCAAGCUAUAUACCAUUUCAAAGAUCAGGAAGUCAACAAUCCAAUGCUUCAAACGGUGCGCGAUUCGGAGUUGAAACGAAGAAGUUGCAGCCAUUACAAGCCAGUCACUCUAAAGUGUUGCGGAAUCAGCCUUUUGUUGCGAGAAUUUCGCAGCACUUUUGUACAGUAAGGUGUUUCUCCUUCUGACGAUGCACGAACCAUGCCGCGAGAGGGAAGCUAGGAACUUCAAGAUGGAAGCCAACUUUGCAGCCUGGUGAAGAUAGCUUGGUCUUGCGAAAUAAUUUCGCAGCCCUCUUGGGUGUCUGCGAAAUUUCGCAGGCACCACUUUUUUCCUGCGAAAUGGCUCCGGAAGCCUCCCGAAGCUUGCUACCGACAUUGGGAGAUAUUUUCCAUUAGAUUUUUGUUGUCUAAAUUCCAAAAUACUCCUUGUAAACCACCAAUUACAUGAUUCCUUAGUUUUUAAGUUAGUAAAAAGACCAAAUAUCUAUGUAAUAAUUAGUUUUAUAUUAGUUUGCUAUAAAUACCUCUCGGGAGCAUGUUCUCAGAGAGGAGUUCCUUCUGUAACCAUUUUGGUAAGCAAGUAAAGUCUUUUCUUUCUACUGCCUUACCUUCUCACUUUGUAUUUUCAUUUUAUUUCUAAGUUAUGAAUUCUCUGAGGAGCUUUCCCCAGAGAAUGAGUAACUAAACCUCCAAUUCCUUGGAGCUAAGGUUGCCGGGGAAGGUUCCAAGUGCAAGAAUGCAAAGCUCUGUGGUUUUAGCUAGUAAUGAAGAGGAAGUGAAAUCCUUUAGUGAUUUCAAUGUUUUUAGUUAACUUAAAACACCUUGGAGUCACCUGGGCCAACACUUGGUAAGGCAAGUGAUUUCCAACCGUGGAAAUGCACUAGUUUACCCCUUGCGAGCCUCUGGUAGGUGACUUCAAGGUAGGAUUUUCUGGAAUUACCAACACUUGGUAAGCUUUUGGACUCCUAGGAGACAUCCAUUAGUUAUCUCUUGCGAGUUUGUGAAGGGGAAUCCAAGGUUAAAGAUCACCUUGAAUGGUAAGUGCUCGUGAGAGGCAUGAACCAUUGCAAGUUGUAUCAGUGAGAGAAUUAAAGUGAAAUCUAAUUGAAGGAGUCUCUGUACAUCACCGGUUAGAGAAUUGACUAUAAGUUGAAUCUCUAAUGCGAGGAAAUGAACCAUCUGACCGGAGCUAUGUCUUUUGCAUGAGGAACCACCCCAGUGAACCUAAAUCUCCAAGGAAUGCUUUUCUUCCUAAAUUAUUCCAAACUUCUGUUAAGUUAGUUAGUUUAAGUCUAAACCUUUACCAAUCAAACUUUGUGUUUUAUUUCUUAAGCUAACCGUGAAAUGAAACAAAACCAAUUCACUUGGAAUUGGUAUCCUUGAUUGCUUGCAAAUCAUUCCCAGUGAACGAUCCUUAGAGCCACUAUACUAUAGUAGCUUUGUAUUUGCUACCCUAGUGUAUGGUGUUAUAGGUAUAAAUUUUGUUGAUCACUUCCUCAAUCAAGGAACACCAGCUGAACACAAAUCAGCUGAGACACCAAUUGGGCAUGAGUCAAAUGGCGCCGUUGCCGGGGAAUGAGUGUCAAGAUCAUUGUGAUACCAUUUUUGAGCACUUGUGAUUUUCAUCACAAGUUGGUAAAGUUUCUUUCACUUUACUAAUUUUCAUUCUCUCUUUGUUUAUUUACAAUCUAAGUUUAUCUUUUUAAAAUUUAGUCUAGUUUAAUUUUGCUAUUGUAGCCUUGUUUCUCUUGUUGUCCUCUGUUCUUGUUGUCCUCUGUUUUCAUUUUAGUUGCAGCUGAAUACUAGUUGUGUAUGCCAAAGUGGAUACGAGACAUUGGAGGUAGGCUUAUUAAGUGUGAUACACCUCAGAGAGGAGAAUUGGAAGUAAUCUUGAAUAUCAUGGAGGCUGCACCUGAAGAUCAGCAUAGUCACCAAGGUCGUCAAGACAAUCUCAAUGAAUUCAGAUCAAUGAGGGACCGUAUGCAUCCACCUCGUAUGAGUGCACCAUCAUGUAUAGUGCCCCCUACAGAGCAACUAGUGAUCAGACCAUAUCUUGUUCCACUUCUACCAACUUUCCAUGGGAUGGAAAGUGAGAAUCCGUAUGCACACAUCAAGGAAUUUGAAGAUGUUUGUAAUACAUUCCAAGAGGGAGGAGCUUCAAUUGAUUUGAUGAGGCUUAAGUUAUUUCCUUUUAAUUUAAAGGAUAAGGCCAAAAUUUGGCUUAAUUCUUUAAGGCCAAGGAGUAUCCGCUCUUGGACUGAUUUACAAGCUGAAUUCCUCAAGAAAUUUUUUCCUACUCAUAGAACAAAUGGCUUGAAAAGGCAAAUUUCAAACUUCUCAGCUAAAGAGAAUGAGAAAUUCUAUGAGUGUUGGGAAAGAUACAUGGAAGCUAUAAAUGCUUGUCCUCACCAUGGCUUUGAUACUUGGCUACUGGUGAGUUAUUUUUAUGAUGGUAUGUCCUCCUCAAUGAAGCAACUCCUCGAGAAAAUGUGUGGAGAAGAUUUCAUGAGCAAAAAUCCAGAGGAAGCUAUGGAUUUCUUGAGCUAUGUAGCUGAUGUUUCAAGGGGAUGGGAUGAACCAACUAAAGGAGAAGUGGGAAAGAUGAAGUCUCAGUUGAAUGCUUACAAUGCAAAGGCUGGGAUGUAUACUUUAAAAGAGGAUGAUGACAUGAAAGCAAAGUUGGCAGCUAUGACAAGAAGAUUGGAGGAGCUGGAGCUGAAAAGAAUGCAUGAAGUGCAAGCUGUUGCUGAAGCACCAGUGCAAGUGAAGUUGUGUCCCAAUUGUCAAUCGUUUGAACAUUUGGUAGAGGAAUGCCCUGCAAUUUCAGCUGAAAGGGAAAUGUAUAGAGAUCAAGCAAAUGUUGUUGGACAAUUCAGGCCCAAUAACAAUGCUCCUUAUGGAAAUACCUACAAUUCAAGUUGGAGGAAUCAUCCAAAUUUUUCAUGGAAGGCCAGAGCAACUCAAUACCAACAGCCGGAUCCACCAUCUCAACAAUCUUCAAGUAUUGAACAAAUAAUAGCUAAUCUCAGCAAGGUAGUGGGAGAUUUUGUGGGAAAGCAAGAAGCCACCAAUGCUCGAGUGGAUCAAAGAAUGGACAGAGUGGAUCAAAGAAUGGACAGAAUGGAGAGUAUGUUGAACAAAAGAAUGGAUGGAAUGCAAAAUGAUAUGAAUCAAAAAUUUGAUAACAUCCAAUAUUCAAUUUCAAGGCUUACAAAUUUGAAUACACUGCAAGAAAAGGGAAGAUUUCCUUCUCAACCUAACCAAAAUCCCAAAGGUGUCCAUGAAGUGGAAAGCCAUGAGGGAGAAUCAUCACAGGUGAAAGAUGUGAAAGCUUUGAUCACUCUAAGGAGUGGUAAGAAAAUUGAGCAGCCAACACCCAAGCCACAUGUUGAGAAAGAAGAAGAGAUGAAGAAAGGGAAGGAAAUGGAAGAUAAAGGCAGUGAGAUCAGUGAAGAAAAGAAGGACUCUGAUGCAACAAUGAAAGUAAUUCCAGAGAAGGAGCUUCUGAAGGAAGAAAUGCUGAAGAAAUCAACUUUUCCACCUUUUCCUCAAGCAUUACAGGGGAAAAAGGGGGUUAGAAAUGCAGCUGAAAUCCUAGAAGUAUUGAGGCAAGUGAAAGUUAAUAUUCCACUGCUGGAUAUGAUCAAACAAGUUCCAACGUAUGCAAAAUUCCUAAAGGACUUGUGUACUAUCAAAAGAGGGUUGACUGUAAACAAGAAAGCCUUCUUGACUGAGCAAGUAAGUGCAAUCUUACAGUGUAAGUCUCCUUUGAAGUACAAAGACCCUGGAAGUCCUACCAUUUCAGUCAUGAUUGGAGGAAAGGUAGUGGAGAAAGCCUUGCUAGACUUGGGAGCAAGUGUGAAUUUGCUUCCAUAUUCUGUCUACAAGCAACUGGGACUUGGAGAGUUGAAGCCAACAGCAAUCACUUUGUCUCUGGCAGAUAGAUCAGUGAAAAUUCCAAGAGGGGUAAUUGAGGAUGUAUUGGUUCAAGUAGAUAAUUUCUACUAUCCUGUAGAUUUUGUUGUUCUUGAUACAGAUCCUACUGUAAAGGAAGCUAAUUUAGUUCCUAUCAUCCUUGGAAGGCCAUUUCUUGCAACUUCAAAUGCAAUCAUCAACUGUAGAAAUGGGCUUAUGCAACUCACUUUUGGUAACAUGACACUGGAUCUAAAUAUUUUCUAUAUGUCUAAAAAGCAAAUCACUCCAGAAGAAGAAGAGGGUCCAGAAGAGCUAUGUAUUAUUGAUACUUUGGUGGAGGAGCACUGCAAUCAACAUAUGCAAGAUAAGUUGAAUGAAAGUUUUGUGGAUAUUGAGGAAGGUUUUUCUGAAUCUCCUAAUGGGCUUGCUACUCUACAAAGUUGGAGAAAGAUAGAAGGAAUUCUACCUUUGUUCAAUGAAGAAGAGGAGGCAGCUGUUGAAAAAGAAAUUCCAAAACUCAAUCUGAAGCCUUUACCUAUGGAGCUGAAAUAUACAUAUCUUGAAGAAAAUAAUCAAUGUCCUGUCGUAAUAUCUUCAUCUCAAACCAAGUCUCAAGUGAAGGAUGCAAGCUUCAAAUGGGAUCCGGGCAAACUGAAUCAGGAAGGGCAAAAAGUUUUGAUGUAUGACACAAGACUCCAUAUCUUUCCUGGGAAGCUCAAGUCAAGGUGGAUUGGUCCAUUUGUUAUUCACCGAGUAUAUUCCAAUGGAGUGGUGGACUUAUUGAAUUCCAAUGGCAAGGACAGCUUUAGAGUCAAUGGAUAUCGUCUUAAGCCGUUCAUGGAGUCAUUCAAAUCAGAAAAGGAGGCAAUCAACCUCCUUGAACCUCAAAAAGCCUAAGUGAAAUGGGUUUGCUGGACGUGGUUUUACCACAGUCCAAAAAUUUUUGUAAAUUUUGUAAAUUUUCAAGUUGUUUCCAUGCUUUUAAUCUUAGUUUUUGAUUUUAAAUCAUGUUUUUAGGUGUGUUUUAAUCGUUUUAUAUGAUCCCAGGCGGAAGAAAUUUCAAGGGGAUUGAAAAGAAAAAAAUCGGGUCGAAAUUGGAGCCGAAACAGAGCAAAAACAGGGGAAAAACAGAGCUCUGCGAAAUUUCGCAGGGUGAAGGAAACUUCUGCGAAAUUGGCAUUUUGCUGCCAAACCAUUCCGCAGCACUGUAGAAGCCUCUGCGAGUGUAUUUCGCAAUUGCGAAAGUGGAUUUGGCACACGAGUGCCACUUCGCAGCACAGUGACAUCAAUUUCGCAGCUGCGAAACUCACUGCGAAGUUGCUGCGAAAAUGGCAAGUUGCUGCGAAAUUGGCGUUUUGUUGCGAAACGUAAUCUGACCCCUGGGCUUCCGUUUUUCCUAUUUAUACCUGUCAAAAGUGCUGCGAAAAAGGUUUCAAAAAUUAGAGCACCAUUCUCGCAGCCCUUUCAUCUUCUUCGCCAAGCCACGCCGUCCGUUUCUCCGGUCGUCUUCUCCGUUUAGCAGCGCCGGCCAAAGAUCGAUAGCCCAAAAAUGGCACGAACGCGAGGGGCAAAGUCUUCAUCCCCUUCGAACCGCAAAAGGAGUCUGCGAAAGGAGCCAAGUUCAGGCUCUGUUCCAGAACCUGCUCCAAAGCCUUCGCCGUCGAGACCACAACCUUCUCCAGUGAAGCCGGCGCCACCAAAGCCGCCGGCAAGGCGAUAUUUAACCAGGUCAGGUGGUCAGCCAUUGAAGAAGAAAGCCAGAGUUGAGAGCUCUGAACCAAUCGAUUUGACUGAGCAAUCCCCUGAGAAAUCACCAAAUCCUUCACCGGUACAAAUUCCAGUGCCAUCACCGGUUCCCUCGCCAAUUCCCUCACCAGAAGCAACUCCAAUUCCAUCGCCGGUACCAUCUCCGGCACCCCAAGAAAAAGCUCAGGAGCCUCAAGCGCCAAUUCCAGAGCCCCAAAUUGCAGCUGAAGCACCUCUGGAAGAAGUGAUCCGAAGGCCAAUGCUGCCUCAGCCCCCAAUCGAAGGAAACCUGGAUUGCCGAACUCGGGCAUUCCAUUCUGAGCUUUGCUUCGAUUUAACAGCAUUCAGAGUGAGGCCAGAGCUUGCCCAAUCCUUCCAACUGCUGAGGAGAUAUCAUAUGGAGCAUCUGCUAGCUCCAAGGGAUUUUUUCUAUCCCCGGGUAGUCACGGAUUUCUACCAAACCAUGACAACCAAAGAAGUAAGAAAUCCAACUCUGAUUCAUUUCAUAAUUGAUGGAAGGCAUGGUAUUUUGGGAGCAAGACAUAUUGCUGAAGCCCUGCAAAUUCCUUUUGAGCCAACUCAAUUCGACAAUUUUAAAGCUUGGACAAAUCCUACUGAGUUAGAGAUGGUUAGCACACUAACCAGAGGAGCUGCAAAUCGAUCGCAUUUGUUGAGGGGGGAGCUACCUCCAGUUAUGUUUUUGAUUGAUGCCUUUUUGAGGCAUAAUAUCUAUCCCCUGCAGCAUUGGACCCAAAGAAGGGGAAUUCUCCUAGAAGCCUUGUACAAAAUGUCUGAAGGAUUCUUCUUUGGGCCUCAUCAUCUGAUCAUGGCAGCCCUUCUAUACUUUGAGGAGAAGGUUCACAAGAAGAAGCUUCAAAGAGCAGAUUGCAUUCCACUCCUCUUCCCAAGGCUGCUAUGCCAAGUUUUGGAGCAUCUCGGAUACCCCUCUGAGCCUCAGCAGGAAAGAAAGAGAAUAUGCCGUGAGCCUUUUACCCUUGAUAAAUGGAAUAAUAUGACGGCCUACAAAAUUGAUCAGCCUGGGCAGCCUCAGCCAGCAGCAAGGAGAGUCUCCCCAAGACAUAUACCUGAAGGUAUAACACUUGCUACUCCUGCCAUCCCUCGAGCUCCACCAGCUGCACCUGCUCCAUCACAGCCAUCCACAUCAGCUGAGCCGAGGAUGGCCAUCCCUAUAUCCGAAUAUCGAGAGCUGUGCCGUGCAUUGGAGACUCUUACAGCUUCUCAGAGCAAUCUUGCUCAGGAGUUGGCAGCCAUUAAAGCAUGCCAGGAGCAGAUGUUAGCCUCUCAGACUCAACAAGCUGCCAUCCUAAGGCAGCUUCAAGUCCAUUUCGAUCUGCCACAAGCUGUAGAGCCCUCUAUUCCUACUCCACCAGAGCCACACUCUCAGCCUUCAGAGUCUCAUCCUCCAGAACCCGAAGCACCAGCUGAUCCACCUACUGAGGAGGCAGAUCCUUCUGCCUAGCACCAUCACCCCCCUCAUCAGACAUUAUAUAUAUAUUUGCUGUUUAUGUUUUUAUGCAUGUUUGUUUUGUUUUAGUUGAAAAGAAAUCCCAGUAUUUUGGUACUAUAUAUGGGAUUCCUUGUGUUACUUGUCUUUAGUAUUGUAAUCACAUGAACUCAAAGUAAUACAAGUUGACUAUUUCUUGUUAAAAGUUAGCAUUAAAGUUUCCUUAUUUCCUUUUCUCACAUAUUCUAUUCUUUUUGAAACAUGUGGUUUUCCCCAAUCAAUAUUCGAAUUUGAUAUCAGCAUGGAGGUACCACUUCCUCCCUUUUAUUACAGUCACUCAAAUCACAUUGAGGACAAUGCUCAGUUCGGUUGGGGGGUAUGAGGAAGGAAGUAUUCUAAACCUUUUUGGUAUUGCAAUUAUAUUGGUUAAUUAGUUGUAGAUUUUACUUUUUACUAGUGUUACUCUAUUCUCCAUGAAUUUUGAGGAAAAAUUUUCAAAUUAAACCAAGAGAAAUUGAACUGUUGUUUUUCACUUGACUUAGAGUAUGGAUUAUGCUUACUAAAGUGGUUCAAUUGUUGAAACUUCUACUGAAAUUGAAUUGAGUUCUUCCACUUUAAGCUAUCCACACACUGUGCACAUUAGUUUCCGAUUAUAAGAUGAAAAGCUAUUUCCCUCUUGACUUAGUAUAUUUUUGGGACUUGGUAUAUUUGACCUCAUUUGAUAAAAAUUGAAACACCCUGCAAAAGGCCAAUGAGCCUUUGAAAUAAAGAAAGUUGUUUGCUUGCCUUGAAACCCGAGCAAGGUCUGAGGGGUAUAUGGUGAAAAUCUUUAAAGCCUGGUGCCCUAAGCCUUAAUUGGUUGGGAGUCACCGACCUCAAUGCUCGUUACAAGGGUGAAUAGGUAGAGUUAGCAUAUGGUAGAUGCUUGGGUAUUAGAAAUUCAUUCUUAAAAGUCCGGGGAAAAAUCCGAGGAGUUAGUGGUUGAAAGAUCCUUAAAACUUGGUGCCCUAAACCUUAAUUGGUUGGGAGUCAUCGAUGGACCCCCAUUACAUGGACAAGUCAGAAAGAGUACCCCAUAAAGCUACCUUAAAAAAAAAAAAAAAAAAAAAAAAAAAAAAAAAGAUGAAAGUGUGUUCUUUUCUUAUUGAUUUUGGUCAGUUUGCUAAAGUGUUGAAAAGAGAUAGGUUGGGGGGUGAGAUUAGUAGCAUAUUAUUCUCGGAACCUAAGGAACCAAUACACAUAGAUUUUUGUGGAAGAUUGAAGUUUAGUUCUUAGAAAAUGAAAUGAUUUUAAAACUUCAGUUUGCAUAAUGCACUCCCUUGAUUGACAGUGUUUAGCAUAGGUGUUAUGACUCUUGUUGAGAUUUGGGUUUGUAUUUCUUUAAUGAUUCAUGUGAGAAAUAGAUCAUCAUGCCACUUGAGAAUUAUUUUCCUUUUAGCAUGAUGUUGUAAAUUUUAGAUUAGUUUGCUAUUUAUUUUUUAUUUUCUCUCCUAUAUUGCUAAGGGACUAGCAAUAUGUCGGUUGGGGGGAGUGAUUACUACUCAAAAAGUGCUAUUUGAUAGCCUUUAAUUAAUCCUUUUUAACACUUUUGAGUAGUAGUUUAGGCCUUUUAACUCAAUUGGCAUGUUAAGGAUCCUUUAAAGCAAUUUUGAUCACUUUGUGCAAGUUUUGGUGUUUUUGUUAGUAUUUUGAUCACCAAAGCAAGUCAAGAAUGAGGAGAACUAUGAGGAAUCAUGGGCAAAGCUUAGAAUUCAAUUGCCAAGAGUGAAUCCGGAUUGCAAGGAGAAAAAGCAAAGAGAAUCUGUCAUGAAGCCUAUUCUUGAUGACAGUCGUAGCAGCCACUUUUGGAGCACUUUCUGAAGUCCAAAUGAUGCAAGCUAUAUACCAUUUCAAAGCUCAGGAAGUCAACAAUCCAAUGCUUCAAACGGUGCGCGAUUCGGAGUUGAAACGAAGAAGUUGCAGCCAUUACAAGCCAGUCACUCUAAAGUGUUGCGGAAUCAGCCUUUUGUUGCGAGAAUUUCGCAGCACUUUUGUACAGUAAGGUGUUUCUCCUUCUGACGAUGCACGAACCAUGCCGCGAGAGGGAAGCUAGGAACUUCAAGAUGGAAGCCAACUUUGCAGCCUGGUGAAGAUAGCUUGGUCUUGCGAAAUAAUUUCGCAGCCCUCUUGGGUGUCUGCGAAAUUUCGCAGGCACCACUUUUUUCCUGCGAAAUGGCUCCGGAAGCCUCCCGAAGCUUGCUACCGACAUUGGGAGAUAUUUUCCAUUAGAUUUUUGUUGUCUAAAUUCCAAAAUACUCCUUGUAAACCACCAAUUACAUGAUUCCUUAGUUUUUAAGUUAGUAAAAAGACCAAAUAUCUAUGUAAUAAUUAGUUUUAUAUUAGUUUGCUAUAAAUACCUCUCGGGAGCAUGUUCUCAGAGAGGAGUUCCUUCUGUAACCAUUUUGGUAAGCAAGUAAAGUCUUUUCUUUCUACUGCCUUACCUUCUCACUUUGUAUUUUCAUUUUAUUUCUAAGUUAUGAAUUCUCUGAGGAGCUUUCCCCAGAGAAUGAGUAACUAAACCUCCAAUUCCUUGGAGCUAAGGUUGCCGGGGAAGGUUCCAAGUGCAAGAAUGCAAAGCUCUGUGGUUUUAGCUAGUAAUGAAGAGGAAGUGAAAUCCUUUAGUGAUUUCAAUGUUUUUAGUUAACUUAAAACACCUUGGAGUCACCUGGGCCAACACUUGGUAAGGCAAGUGAUUUCCAACCGUGGAAAUGCACUAGUUUACCCCUUGCGAGCCUCUGGUAGGUGACUUCAAGGUAGGAUUUUCUGGAAUUACCAACACUUGGUAAGCUUUUGGACUCCUAGGAGACAUCCAUUAGUUAUCUCUUGCGAGUUUGUGAAGGGGAAUCCAAGGUUAAAGAUCACCUUGAAUGGUAAGUGCUCGUGAGAGGCAUGAACCAUUGCAAGUUGUAUCAGUGAGAGAAUUAAAGUGAAAUCUAAUUGAAGGAGUCUCUGUACAUCACCGGUUAGAGAAUUGACUAUAAGUUGAAUCUCUAAUGCGAGGAAAUGAACCAUCUGACCGGAGCUAUGUCUUUUGCAUGAGGAACCACCCCAGUGAACCUAAAUCUCCAAGGAAUGCUUUUCUUCCUAAAUUAUUCCAAACUUCUGUUAAGUUAGUUAGUUUAAGUCUAAACCUUUACCAAUCAAACUUUGUGUUUUAUUCCUUAAGCUAACCGUGAAAUGAAACAAAACCAAUUCACUUGGAAUUGGUAUCCUUGAUUGCUUGCAAAUCAUUCCCAGUGAACGAUCCUUAGAGCCACUAUACUAUAGUAGCUUUGUAUUUGCUACCCUAGUGUAUGGUGUUAUAGGUAUAAAUUUUGUUGAUCACUUCCUCAAUCAAGGAACACCAGCUGAACACAAAUCAGCUGAGACACCAAUUGGGCAUGAGUCAGUGCGUUAGAGGAUCAAGAAGAAGAAAAAGAAGGAACUGUUGGAAUUAGUAUGAGUGUGAAGAGAAAAGUAUAUAAAUAAGGGGAAGUAAAAGCAAAGUUCAAAAAGCUAUAUUUUUUUAUUGUUGGUGUAUGGUUGCAUGAUUAUCCCUAUAAAUAAUAGGAGUUUUUUGGUAUUCUACUAGUAGUUGAAGCAUAAUUUCAUAAAUUAAUAUUUAGAGCGGGGUGGGGUGAGUUGUGACAAAAUUCAUACCCGUCCCAAACCUUGGUUCAGAUUUUUAAAAUAUUCUCAAACUUAUCAUAUACCCAACUUUUAUAUUUCAUACUUGUCCUAAUAGAGGCACGUUAGGCCGGGUUACUUGAGUAACCUACAUAAUUGUCAUCCCUAGUUGAAAUACACUUUUUGGCAGUGGCCACCAACUGAGCUAGAAGCUUGAUUGAUUGACCUACAAGAUUAGUUCUCAUCAUUUUAAAAAAAGUUCUGGCUUUGGUUGUGAGUGCAAUUGAAUCUAAACUGGCAUUUGCUUAAUGCAUCUACUUCAAUCCUAAACUUCUUACUUCUUAAGCCUCAAUUGUUGUUAGGAUUUUGGAAAACCCAUUUCCUUAAAUUGUAAAUUUAAGAUAAAAUAAAAUAAAAGUGAGACAUUUCUUGAUUGAAUAUUGUUAAAGGUCCCUUGGCAUUAAGACUUGGUUGAAGCCUUGGAAGAUUAGUGGAACUCUCAACAUGUGUUUGAAUCUUGAGGAGAGUGGAUGUAAGCCAAAAUUUUGUCAAACCAUUAUACAAAUUGAGUUUGAAUCCUCAUUUCUUGAUUUCUUAUUUAUUUGCUUUUUCUUAUUAUUACUUGAAUUGUCAUUUGCAUUCAUUAAUGUUAAAAUUGGUUAUAAUUAACCAACACUAAUUCUCUUUCCCCUUCCCUUUCUUGGGUGUAAACCUAGGUUGGAUUAACUAGAUAAAUCUAUUAAGAUGGUAAAAGAAUAAUUAUUCUUAACAUACAUAAGAUCAUCUUCAAUCAAAUGACUCAUUGGCUAAUAUGUUGAAUUUGCUUAUUACUUGCAACUCAAAAUUGUGUUCUAGUUGUGUCAAGUCCCCAGUGUAUGGACAUUAAAUUUGUAGUACGUGAUGAGUAAUUAGAUGGUCCAACUCCAAGAAAGUGAUUGAAAAGUAGUUCAAGAAAGGUGCAAAAGGGAAUUGUUUUGGUAUUUUCGUUUUUAUUCUUGAAGGUGGCAGAGCUAAAAUUUGAGAAAUCAAGCAAAACAUACUGAAAUUACAUUGAAAGAAAGAAGAUGGGAGUUAAUGUCUUGCAGUACAUGAUAAGGACUUCAUGCAUGUAGUGUGACCCAUGUCUUGGACUGAUGCCAACUCACGGUUACACUUAUACCCUUGGUUCUCUCUUUACUACCUUGGCUAACCUAGAUCAGGCUAUGAGAUAGGCUCCUCACCACACCAUUACUUGCCCAUUAAUUAGAGACAUUUUCAAGCAAUGAGGUAACAUGGUGACACCAAGAGGGUCUAUUCCUCGCCCGGAACAAGUCUAGACUUGGUCUCAAAAAAAUGGAGAAAAAUGAGGUGUCGUUAUGUAGAAAUACAACAACCAUGCCUUCCUCAUUACUUAGAUUCAGAAUGUGAAGGUGAAAUUGAGAAACAGAAACUCUUGAAACCAAAAUGAAAAUUGAUACUUUUACGAAGAAUUACAACAACAUUAGAGGAAGACUACAUUCUUCCUCUUUAUUCCUACAUUUCUACACUACUUCUACUCCACUCCAUAUUUCUACAUACAUCUUUAAUCAGUCUUCCCUCCUUUAUAUAGAGCCAUCUUCACACAAAUUUCGCAAGGUAGAAAAGAGGAAUGAAACUUGGAGCAAGGUUCGACUACUGGUUGUAGCUUGUCAAGGCUGGAAGUGAACUUUUCUUGGCUUUCUGGGCAUGGGUAGUAACUUGUGGGUUCCUGUUUGGCAUAAAAAUGGCUAGAACAUGUGGCACUAUCUUGUUGGAUGAUGUGUCAAGCAUGUGGCAGCCAUCUAGUGGCGAUUAUGUCAAUUUUGGGAUGGAGAGUUGGCAUCCAAUUGCAAAGAAAUAUGACGUCUACCAACAUGCAAUGUAAACCUAUGUAGAUCAUAUGAAGAUAGAGAGGAAAAAUAUAGAAAUGGAUAUAUACCUAGAACUAGCUUUUUAUUAAAUGAAACGGAGAGACAACAAUGAAGGAAAAUAAAAUUUUUUGGCUUAUAUCAAAGAGUUCACAUUGUGUUACCCUAGGUUUUCUUAAAACUUACUUUUAUGAUAACAAAAAAGAAAAAACCAUUAUUGUUUAAUCCUUUGUUUUAAACGCAUGUAAGGUGUAAUUAAGUUAGUUCAAUGCAUUAAUUUAAGAAACUUGACCUAUCAAAAGUACAAAAUUAGAUGAAAUCCAUUUCAAUGGUUAAAAUGAUCAAAAUCAAACUUUUUCUAAGUAUUUUUUAAAAGCAUCAAUAGUGAAAGACAAUUUUAUAUUUAGUCGGAGUUUGGACAAAACUGAAAAACACACAAAAUCCAAGCGACCAUCUCUAGCUUGGAUGGUCGCUUGAUCCCACCUAGAGAUGUGCAUGAGUAAAAGGAUUUGAAAAUGGAAAUUGACUAUGUAGUCGAUCAAUUAACUUUGCAACAUCAUAUGCAAUCCUAAUUGCUAGUCAUCUAAUCAAUUAGGUAGUCAAUCAACAGGCCAAAAAUAUGUUUAUAAUGACUAUUUUGUACAAAAACCACCUGUAUAGUUAAAUAUAAUGCAUUUCAUUUAUAAAUCUUCUAAUUCUUGAAUAACGAUCCUAUCAUCCUUUGAAAGUUUUUAUUACACUUUUUUUACUUUUGUUCUAAAACUUACACAUCACCCUUAAUUGUACCAUGAGAACCUAGCUAUUUUUUAUUUUUUUUUUUGUAAUUCAUCAAAGUUAGCUUUUGUAUUCAUUGUUGUAUUAUUUUUAGUAUAACUUAGAAAGCUAGUGUUUUCAAGUGAGUAAAAUUAACUUGUAAAUAUUGUAAAGAUUCAUCGACAUGUAUCUUAAACUAAGUGUACAAGUUAAAACAUUUGCUAGUAGAUUUUCUCAAAAUUUAGAAUAGAGCUUGAGACUAUUGAAAUAGGUGGGGUUGCACCAAACCACAUCACAUCGUUGUUUGCACCUUUUUUCACUCUCUUUUACUUAGUUGCUCUAUAUUUGUUGUCUAGUAAUAUCCUAUAGGCUUGAUGGGUUAGGGAGCAUCCCUUUGUGAAAAAAUUUUAUUCAAUCCUUAGUUGUAUCACGCAUAUAUAAAAUGCCUCAUUGUUUUAAUGGUAUUCAGUCGUGGCAUCACAGAUAUGGGCAUCUAAAUUUUAAAAGUUUGAAACUUUUAUCUAAAGAAAAUAUGGUGCUUUGCCUUUUUGUAAAGCAUGUUGAUGAAAUCCAUGAGAAUUGUGUACUUGGGAAGCAACACCGAGAUGACUUUUUUUUUUUUUUUAUAAUAUUGUUUGUCCAAAUUCCCUACAAAUUAGGCCACCAGAUGUUCAUAAUUCUCCCUUCUUGAAUUUGAAAACUCGGACAAUUGGACAAUGCGACACCUAAGUCCGGUUUCUAAAUGCUAAAGUGAAAGGGUAGGUAUGGACCAUUGAAAUGUGAUCACAACUUUUCUCUGUAGCCAUGUUGUCUCUUUUUUCUUUUGCAUGAUUUUCUUACCUUAACAGAAUCAUAGACUUGUUUAGUCUCUAAAUGGGAUUAAUUUCAUCCAGCUUUAAGCUACUAUAUUAUAUCUAGGUGGAGGACUUUUAAGAGUGCAACCGACAUAGAGCACAUGGAAGUGGGUAUAUGGGACAUGAAAUUUCUUCUUAUAAAGAUUGCAUGAUUUUUAUAUUAGAGUUGUUGAGGCGCUAUGUAUUUAGCUUGUUUUGCAGUUAAAUUAAUUGGAUAAGUAGACAUUGGCGUUUCUAAAUCUACUGUGAAGUGCUUCAUGUACGUGUGAAGUAUUAGAAAUUUCUUUCUUGGCAACUUGUUUUUCUUUGCGGUCUACUGAUAGGUUUGACUAAAAUUAUAUUCCCUGUCAUGCUAAUUAAUUUUCACGUGCAUGCUCAAAAGAAAAGUAUGACCUUAGUGCACCAAAAUCACUUUGAUUAAUUUGUGAUAGGUUUUUGUGCAUCAUGACAUUAGCCUUAUUCAUUUAGAUAAUGUUUAGUUUUUAGAAAGUAUUAAGAAAAGGAAAAUAAAUAUUAAGAAAAAUAUUCUUAUAUUUGAUUGUAUUAUGAAAAAUAUCAUAAAAAAAUCAAAUAUAAUUUAAAUUAAUUAAUAAUUUAUACAUUUUCAAAUUAUUUAAUCUUUAUAUUGAAGAUAUAAUAUAAAUGAAAUGAGUUUUAAGUAUUAUAUAAAAGUGAUUUAUUGAUCUUACAUAUAUAUAUUUCUUUUUUUUUUCCUUCUAUUUUUUCUCUUUAUUUUAUUUUCCUUAUGUUUUCCUCAACAUUUUCCGGAACCAAACAUAGCCUUAGGAAAUCCACAAUUACCUUCAACUGAGUAGAUUCUGUUGUUUUAGCAAUGUUAGGCUGCUAACUUGUGUUGGUACGAACCUAUUAAGCCUAAAGAUGUAAUUAGUUAGGAUAUUCUUUUCCCUCUAGUCUUGUAGCUCCACGUGUACAGUUGGUUAGGACCUCAUUGUAUAUAAUGCUUGCCCUGUUAUUGUAGAAGACAACAAAGAUAAAUAAUAUUAACAUUUUUCCUCUCAUCUCUCUCUGUUUCCCUCUGUUUUCAUCUCCUCUCUCAUCUUGGUAUCAGAGCCUCCAUGGCUUCUUUCAAAGAAACCUCCGAAUCACCUUCUGCUAGCAUUGUUAAUGUGCAAAACCCAUUAUCUCAAUCAAACAACCUUCCUUCACCAGUAGCCACACCCUCUUUUUCUUUCUCGUCUAUGAAUCAACCUCUCACAGUGAAGCUGGAUAAUGGGAACUACCUCAUAUGGAAGAAUUAGCUUCUAAAUGUCAUCAUUGCUAACGGACUCGAUGAUUUCAUUGACGGAUCUCGACCCUGCCCUCCUCGAUUUCUCGAUCUGCAACAACAAACCCUCAAUCCAGAGUACUCAGCUUGGCAGAGAUACAAUCGACUUCUGAUGAGUUGGCUGUACGCAUCCUUGUCCAAAGAUAUAAUGGCUCAGAUUGUUGGGUAUUCAACAGCUAUGGAGAUUUGGAAUGCCCUUAAUCAGAUUUACUCUGCCUCUUCUAUGGCGCGGUUUACUGAGCUUCGCACCAAGCUUCAAACGCUCAAGAAAGAUGGACUCUCAGUUGGUGAAUAUAUUCAAAGGCUCAAAUCCAUUUGCAAUAGUCUUGCAGCAAUAGGAGAACCAGUUUCUGAGAAAGACCAUCUUAUCUAUUUGUUCAAUGGAUUAGAUUGUGAGUAUUAUUCUUUUGUUACCUCCAUUCAAAAUCGAUCUGACCAACCAACUAUUGACAAAAUCCAUAGCCUAUUGCUUAGCUAUGACUUCCGGCUUGAACAACAAAACUCUGUUUCUCUCCAUUCUGCCCAAGUCCAUAUGGCUCAUCUGAACAAGAAACCUUAUAAAUCAACUCCUCAACCUACAUUCAAUCAUAUUCACAUUCAACCUAGAUACUCUUCUCCACCUUUUAAGCCAACCACUAGUCAAUAUCAACCCAACAUUUUGGGCAAACCACAACCACAACCAUGACAGCCUCAACCUCAAUGGAAACCACAUUUUUCAAUCUAAAAUCAAAAGCCUCAGCGCCAAAUUUGUGGUAAAUUUGGACACACUGCUCUUAUUUGCUUCCAUCACACAAAUUUGAACUAUUCACCCCAACCUUCUCCUAAAUCUUUCAAUACUGUUCUCACCACAAAUUCCCAGCUCCCUAAUCCUCCAAAAUUUUCUUACCCUACAAUGGCUCAUCCUGCUGCUACGCAUAACACGGUUCCCGAUACAAAUUGGUACAUGGACUCAGGUGCUACACAUCACUUUACUCUGGACAUCAACGUGCUUGACACUGUGACACCAUUUAGUGGUUCAGAACAGGUGACAGUUGGGAAUGGUAAGCAACUCUGUAUCUCACAUCUUGGUACUGCAAAACUACCAUCUUCGUAUUCUCCUCCUGUUCUACAUCAGGUAUAUCACACUCCAAAAAUUUCAAAUAAUCUUAUUAGUGUUAAAAAAUUGUGUUCUGAUAAUAAAGUUUUUGUUGAAUUUUAUGCCACUCAUUUUCUUGUCAAGGAUCAGGUUUCGAAGAGAGUUCUCCUUUAGGGUCAACUUGAUAAUGGCUUAUACAAAGUUCAGUCGUCAUGCUCUCCUUCUGCUGUUUCCUUUCCUCCUCAAGUUUUCAUAGCCAACAUCAAGUAUCCAAAUCUGUGGCACAAGAGACUAGGCCACCCAGCUUUAUCUGUUGUUAAUCAAAUCUUGGAUUCUUGUAACAUUGCUCGAACACAGAAAAUUUGUUUUAAUUUUUUAAAUUCUUGUCAAUUAGCAAAGAGCCACAGGCUUCCUUUUUCUCUGUCUCCAUCCAUUGCAGAAAAACCUUUUGAGUUAAUUCAUACAGACCUAUGGGGUCUUUCGCUCGUUCGCUCUAUUUCUGGUGCUCUUUAUUUUUUACUUUUCAUUGAUGAUCAUACUCGUUUUACUUGGUUUUAUUUGCUCAAAACAAAAGAUGAAGCAUAUCCUACUUUUCUCAAGUUUCAAGCUCUCAUUGAAAAUCAAUUUAAUACCAAGAUUAAGGCUGUCCAAUCUGAUUGGGGAGGUGAGUUUCGAUCUCUCUCCAUACCGUUUUCAAAUAUGGGCAUUGUCUAUUGUUUAUCGUGUCCAUACACCUCACAACAGAAUGGGCGAGUUGAGCGAAAAAAUCGCCAUGCGAUUGUCCUUUCUUGCUUGCUCUAUGCCCUUAUCUUAUUGGCCUUAUGCCUUUCAAACUGCCACUUACCUUAUUAAUCGUCUCUCUACCCCUGUGCUGCAUCAUCAAUCCUCUUACUUCGCACUCUAUCACAAACUCCCAACUUAUACUCAUCUUAAGGUCUUUGGUUCCUCUUGUUUUCCGUAUUUGCACCCUUAUAAUACCCAUAAACUCCAAUACAGGUCACUAGAGUGUGCUUUUCUUGGUUACAGUUCACACCACAAAGGUUAUCUAUGUCUUGACAUUCAUUCUAGCAGGGUGUAUAUUUCUCGCCAUGUGAUUUUUAAUGAAGAUUCUUUUCCAUUCAAGAAUUUGAAAUCUUCUCUCUCUCAGUCUAUUUCUUCUUCCUCUUCUUUAUAAGUUCCUCUGUUCAUUCUCUUGCCUCCCCUUUCCCCAUCUCCUCUUAUUUCUUCAUCUAUACCUCAUUCUUUUCCCUCUUCUUCUUCUACCUCUAGUACUUGUUCCCCUCUCGUUGCUCCUACCUCUCUUCCUUCCUCUUCACACUCUGUGUCUCCAUCUAUUCCACCUCCUUCUCCACCUUCUCCGAGUGUGGACCUGCUUGCACCUUGUGUGAAUACAAAUUUACAUACUUCUUCUCGCACUCACAAUAUUCAUCCUAUGGUGACUAGAUCUAAGGUUUGUAUCUAUAAACCUAAGUUGUUGUUGAGUGUCUCCAUAGGUUCUCUCACUAAGCCUACUUCCUUUCUUCAAGCUAUUAAAGAUCCUUCAUGGAAGCAAUCCAUGGAAUUCGAGUUUGCUACCCUUCAACACAACAAGACCUGGCAUUUGGUUCCUUCACCUUCCUCAGGCGAAGUAAUCGGUUGUAAAUGGGUCUAUAAGCUAAAGCUUCAGCCUGAUGGCUAAAUUGAGAGAUACAGCCUGCUUAGUAGCUAAGGGUAUCAUCAAAUUGAAGUAUGGACUACUUCGAAACAUUCAGCCUGAUNNNNNNNNNNNNNNNNNNNNNNNNNNNNNNNNNNNNNNNNNNNNNNNNNNNNNNNNNNNNNNNNNNNNNNNNNNNNNNNNNNNNNNNNNNNNNNNNNNNNAGCUUCAGCCUGAUGGCUAAAUUGAGAGAUACAAGGCCUGCUUAGUAGCUAAGGGUUAUCAUCAAAUUGAAGGUAUUGACUACUUCGAAACAUUCAGCCUGAUUGUCAAGCUUUCUACUAUCUGUAUUGUGCUCAGUCUUACUUUUUCCCAGAAUUGGUGUAUUAGACAGCUGGAUGUUCAUAAUGCCUUCUUACAUGGUGACUUAGCUAAAGACGUUUUCAUGGAACAACUGCCUGGAUUUGUUGAUCCUCUCUAUCCUACUCAUGUCUGCAAGUUGGAUAAGUCUCUCUACUGUCUUAAAUAGUCACCUCGGGCUUGGUAUACUAAGCUGAGUACUUCUCGCUACACUUGGGAUUUGUUACUUCUAAGAAUGACUCUUCCUUAUUUAUUUGUCAUUCGUCUCAUGGGUUACUUCUUGUUCUUGUCUAUGUGGAUGAUAUAAUCGUCAUUGGGAGCCACUCUCCUCAGGUUACUCACCUUAUCCAACAGUUGCAUCAUUAGCUUUCUUUAAAGGAUCUUGGUCCUUUACAUUAUUUUCUGGGCUUGGAGGUUCAUCACACCCCUACUGGUAUUCACCUCAGCCAAGCAAAGUAUAUCACUGAUCUCCUUACCCGGGCGGCUAUGUUGGAUGCCAAGCCAUGUCCCACUCCUAUGUCCUCCAACACAUAUCUCUCUUUUCAUGAUGGAGUGGCUCUUGAAAAUGGUUCAGAUUAUCGAAGUUUUGUUGGUGCCCUUUAGUAUUGUACCAUGACACGCCCAGAUAUAGCUUUUGCAAUAAAUAAAGUGUGUCAAUUCAUGCACCAUCCCUCUAAUGUUCACUGGCAGGCUAUAAAACGUAUUCUCCGGUACUUAAAGGGCACAUCUCAUUUUGGUCUCUUCCUACAGCCUUCCUAUGACUUCAACAUCACUUGCUAUACAAAUGCCGACUGGGCUUCCUGUCCUGAUGACAAGUGUAGCACCAGUGGCUACUGCCUCUUUCUUGCCUCUAAUCUGGUUUCUUGGUCAUCUUCCAAACAAAAAGUGGUCUCCCGCUCCAGCGCCGAAUCAGAGUACCGAGGGGUAGCAAAUGGGGCUGCUGAAAUUGCUUGGACUGAAUCUCUUCUUUGUGAACUUUCCAUUACUCCCCCUCCCCUCAUUCUCUGUGACAAUAUCAGUGCCACGUACUUAGCUGCCAAUCCUAUUUUGCAUGCCCGCACCAAACAUGUGGAAAUCGACUAUCACUUUGUCACGGAACGUGUUCUUCAAUGCUCUCUUUUUGUCCAGUUUACACCUUCUGAUGAUCAACUUGCUGAUUGCAUGACCAAGCCUCUCUCCACCCAACGUUUCAUCACUCUACGCUCCAAGCUCACUGUUCUCACUAGACCAAUGAGCUUGAGGGGGGAUGUUAAGCCUAAAGAUGUAAUUAGUUAGGAUAUUCUUUUCCCUCUAGUCUUGUAGCUCCACGUGUACAGUUGGUUAGGACCUCAUUGUAUAUAAUGCCUGCCCUGUUAUUGUAGAAGACAACAGAGAUAAAUAAUAUUAACAUUUUUCCUCUCAUCUCUCUCUCUGUUUCCCUCUGUUUUCAUCUCCUCUCUCAUCUGAACCAAAUGAUCCAUGUUAACCUUGGCUUGGUUUGAUUUGGCUCUAUCUUAGAGAGCUCAAGGAUCACGUCAACUCUGGUUUCUACUAUUCAGGUCCAUUCCCAUAUGAACUGGUUCAAAUUUGAGAAAAUGGUAACAGACCUUUAGUGAUGUUGGUUUGGAGCCAGUUGCCAAACCCGCCCUGAGCUUUACCACUAAUGUCAAGGGAGAAAGCCAUUUGAACAAAAACAAUAGCUUCAAGGGACUGAAUCGUGGAUGAAAUCUGAUCCACAUUUCUUCUCAUUUUGGAAACAAAUGAGAACUUAACUAAGAAGAUUCUACGGCCUCAUAGUGCUUUUCCUGAUCUAAGGUUGGUUCGUUUCCCAAACUGUGAGAUGCACGUGCCAGACUUCAGAACUCUCACGCUCAGGAGUGUAUCCACGUGGUGGACAUAAGAUGGUGGCUUAAGAUCUGGUGUCGGUGGCUUUACUUUACUAGGAGAGUAGUGUGUCUUCAUCUCAUUCACUGCCGGAGGGUGGCGUAAGCAGUGACGCUAAGGUGGGGCACAGUCAAUAUCAUUUGCAUUUGACCAUUAUAGUUUUCUCCCGGCUUUAAAGUAACCUUAUCGUGAUAAAGGAUUACUAGCACUAGUUCAGAUGAUAGUCAUGUUAAAUUCGGACCAUGUUUGUGUCACAUUAUCAGCAACCAUGUGUUUAUGGUUCAUGCUUUCUGCAACUAAAAUUGAUAUAUAACCAGGUGAACUUCAAUCUAAAUUCUGAAAGUACUCAUGUGAUAGAUGGUGCCCGUCUGCAGAGUCCAUCAAUUGAAAAAUGGAGUGAGUGUAUCUAUAAGAGGGAAGGCUUGGAAAAUGUUCAGUUUUCUGGGAAUUCAACAAGGAUCUAAAAUAGAUUGUUUUCUUUGCUGAUUUCAAUGGUUGAAAUUUGAGAAGAUUGUGUCCACAUAACACAACUAUUACUGGUCCUUCUGUUGCAAUUUAUCCUCUAAAGCUCUAGCAUGUCUUCCAAUUCCCACUUCCCUGUUACUCCAGGAAAGCUAUUUCUGUCAUUGUGAAGAAGAAAAGAGAAUGUACAUAUCGAUGCUUUUAAGUGACUGGAGCAUUUAUAUCAGGUGGUCUGCAGCCAUAUAUGCCACUUUGUGAAGAUUGGAACAGUCAAUCACUAGGCUAUAUAUUAGUGUGGCCCAGCCACUUUAAUCAAGGACAAGUCUUCAUACUUAAAGUCAAAUUCUGCCUUUAGUCUCAUUAUAAAUUUCUGUUUAAAUAUUAAGCAAACAUUUGUUUAAUGCGAUUAAGACAGUACUAACUCAAUACCUGUUCUAUUUUUGGAUGCAAAUGCUUGAUGGUUUCAUCAUUGGAUGGGAUAAAGGUGCAUUCAUGAUUAGGAAUACUAGUAGUUAUAUUUUAAUUCUCUUUUUUCUCAAUGAGACUUGUUGGCACAAUUUUGCUGUUGAGAAACCUACCUCUCCAUGGAAAAUAAGUUGUGAUUGAUAGUACUGGAUAUAUUCAAGAAAUCUAAAUAUAGAUAGCACAAAAUAUUAUCGACAUAAAUAGCAUUAACAGCGUACGUAUGUCUCAGUGCUCAUCAGCUAUAAGCAUGGGGCAAACACUUACUAUGAGCAACUUACGUCAAAAUUCCAGAAUAGGACAUAGAAGUGACAGAUAUAGAACAUUGCAUAUGAGUCACAAGAAAGGAAAUUACGGGUGCAUAGCAGCUCUUAUUUUACAUACUACUACUCAUACUGAUCAAAGUCACUCAGUUGGGAUGGGUGGGAGUAGGAGGUUUGUGGGGUGGCUUGUGCGGAGGAGUUGGCAGCUUCUUUCCAGGACCUGGUUGCUUCUCUGCUGGAGUUGAAGGAGGCUUAAUCUUCCGAGGUGGCUUGUAUGAGUCUUCAGCAUUCUCAGCUGGAGGGUGACCAGGGUUGUGACCAUAAUGUGGUGGCUUCUCUCCCUUAGGUGGUUUGCCAACUGGGGUUGGUGGCUUGUAUGAGUCUUCAGCAUUCUCAGCAGGAGGGUGACCAGGGUUGUGACCAUAAUGUGGUGGCUUCUCUCCCUUAGGUGGUUUGCCAACUGGGGUUGGUGGCUUGUGUUCUGGGAGUGGCUUCUCCCCCUUGGGAGGUUUUUCCAAUGGGGUUGGUUUGUGUUCAGGAGGUGGCUUCUCCACUGGAGGCUUGUGUUCAGGAGGUGGCUUCUCCACCGGAGGCUUGUGUUCAGGUGGUGGCUUCUCCACCGGAGGCUUAUGCUCUGGUGGUGGCUUCUCGAAUGGGGGAUGCUUAGGAUAAUCAGCAAGUGAGGGGGCGGUGAGAACCACCAGGCCAAGCAACACCACUAGCAAAUAUGUAGGAGACAUCUUUGGGUUUGGGCUCAGAUGGUGCAAAACUAGGAGAAUUGGCUAGCCUUUUAUAGCGGAUCGUACCCAAUAAUGAAAUGACACGUGUCAUUAUGACCCAUGUGUAAUGGGGUCGAUUUGGGUCCUACAGUGUUGAAAACUUCGACAUCCACUUUUGGCCUUUUGCUUUCUCUACAGCCGCCUUGCUUUUUCCCUCUUUCCUUUUGUUUUCCUCCUGCCCCAUUCUAUCAACUAAACACAAUUAUGUAGUUGUUUAAUUCUUAAAUGAGAUAUUAUCCGUCAAUCGUAUUAUAUUUUAUCAAGAGAGAACGGAGUGCAAUGUGGCUGUAAUUUUAUCGUUUAGUUUUAUCUCUUGGACCACUGCAUUUUUGUUAAGAGGUGCAAUAAUACACGUCUUUAUCUGCCAUUCAAUAUUUACAGUAAAGAGAGGGCACAAAACUCUUCACUUCGCACCAUAAUUAUUUUGUUUUCUGGACACCCCGGGGCCCUUUGGUUGGUUUGGGGGUCAGAAAGUGAACAUCAUAGGGGGUUUUUCCCUUAUGUGCAUUUGUAUCUGAUGGCUUUAACUCGCCUUGUUACUACAAAGAAACUGUCACAGAUAGGAACUUAUUCCAGGCUGAGUAUCUCCUCAUAGACCCUAUAAAAGAAGACAAGUCAUAAUGAACAUCUAACCUUUGUUCAAUUUGAUUCAAUGCCCCCAUUGUGUCCAUCUCACAAAUCUGAAUUAUUAUAUCCAUUGAAUACAUAAAUUAAUGAAGAAAAUAUGAAACCCAAGAUACAUCUCUGCACAACCUCAACCCUGGUUGCUAUGUUUCCCUUCUAUUCACAUGAUUUGAUGCUAAUUGCCAAACUUGCAACAAGCCCUGAGUUUGACACCUAGUAUCGAUGGGCGAAUUUAAAGUCUCCUCCAAACAUAUAUUCCACAGCUUGAAGCUCACAGAAGAUGUUACAGGCAGGGAAAAACCUUCAGAGUUCGCUACCAAAGAUAAUUAUUAAGGAGAUAUCACAAAGAGAAUUCCAAGGGGUCUGAAUCAAAGACAAAUUGGUCGUUCGUGGGGGUUCUUACUUUCUUUUGGGUAUAACUCACUGAGGGCACUGUCUUUGUUAUUUGCAUUUCACAUUUAGAGUUCUGUUCUGGAAACAUAUAAAAGGAGCAUCAUUUUGUUCUUGGGUAACCCAUAGUCGUGAGUGGGUCCAUUUGCAUGCUACUUAGUUGAAAAGUUGGACCAUUUGCUCCGACGCCUACCUCCCGGAUUCCAUGCUCGGAUAAAACAAGAAUAAAAAAAAUAUUUAUAAUUUACAAAUGGGGGAAAGAAAAAAAUGUCAACAACAAACCAGGAAAAAAGAGUAGUAAAAUUCAUGUCACAUGCUAGUGAGAGAAGGGGUUGUUACACUCACUCGAAGUUCUUUCCAAAAUAUCGCAUGGUAUUUUAUUUUAUGUGUCAGCGCAGUUGUGAAUGGAACGUGCAAAAGUCCAAAUUGGCGUUUUUCCUUUUCCCGUGUAGGAUGGCGACCUUUAAUAAAUAUUUAAAACAAAAAACGAAAAAAAGGAGGGAAAAGGGAUCAGAAAAGAUAAAACAAUGUGUACAAGAGCUCAAUUAGUUUGCAAAUUACUGUUUGGAUUUUGAUAGUAUUUUAUUUGUCCAUCUAUAUUUGAUGGAAAAGAGAAUUUAAGAUAUUUCUGAAACAAAAGCAUUAGUGUAAAACUAAAUUAAGGUAUAAUUAAGUUAGUUCAAUGCAUUAAUUUAAGAAACUUGAUCUAUCCAAAGUACAAAAUUAGAUGAAAUCCAUUUCAAUGGUUAAAAUGAUCAAAAUCAAACUUUUUCUAAGUAUUUUUUAAAAGCAUCAAUAUUAAAAGACAAUUUUAUAUUUAGUCGGAGUUUGGACAAAACCAAAAAGCACACAAAAUCCAAGCGACCAUCUCUAGCUUGGAUAGUCACUUGAUCCCACCUAGAGAUGUGCAUGAGUAAAAGGAUUUGAAAAUGGAAAUUGACUAAAUAUUUAGUUGAUCAAUUAAAUUUGCAAUGUCAUAUGCAAUCCUAAUAGCUAGUCAUCUAAUCAAUUAGGUAGUCAAUCAAGUGUUUGUAAUGACUAUUUUGUACAAAAAACCACAUGUAUAGUUAAAUAUAAUGCAUUUCAUUUAUAAAUCUUCUAAUUCUUGAAUAACGAUCCUAUCAUCCUUUGAAAAUUUUUAUUACACCUUUUUUACUUUUGUUCUAAAACUUACAUAUCACCCUUAAUUGUACCAUGAGAACCUAGCUAUUUUUUUUUUUUUUGUAAUUCAUCAAAGUUAGCUUUUGUAUUCAUUGUUGUAUUAUUUUUAGUAUAACUUAGAAAGCUAGUGUUUUCAAGUGAGUAAAAUUAACUUGUAAAUAUUGUAAAGAUUCAUUGAUAUGUAUCUUAAACUAAGUGUACAAAUUAAAACAUUUGCUAGUAGAUUUUCUCAAAAUUUAGAAUAGAGCUUGAGGCUAUUGAAAUAGGUGGGGUUACACCAAACCACAUCACAUCGUUGUUUGCACCUUUUUUCACUCUCUUUUACUUAGUUUCUCUAUAUUUGUUGUCUAGUAAUAUCCUAUAGGCUUGAUGGGUUAGGGAGCAUCCCUUUGUGAAAAAAUUUCAUUCAAUUCUUAGUUGUAUUACGCAUAUAUAAAAUGCCUCAUUGUUUUAAUGGUAUUCAGUCGUGGCAUCACAGAUAUGGGCAUCUAAAUUUUAAAAGUUUGAAACUUUUGUAAAGCAUGUUGAUAAAAUCCAUGAGAGUUGUGUACUUGGGAAGCAACAUCGAGGUGACUUUAUUUUUUUUUCCUUUUAUAAUGCCACACCUAAGUCCGGUUUCUAAAUGCUAAAGUGAAAGGGUAGGUAUGGACCAUUGAAAUGUGAUCACAACUUUUGGCCUUUUCCUUUCUCUGCAGCCAUGUUGUCUCUUUUUUCUUUUGCAUGAUUUUCUUACCAAAACAGAAUCAUAGACUUGUUUAGUCUCUAAGCUACUAUAUUAUAUCUCGGUGGACUUUUAAGAGUGCAACCGACAUAGAGCACAUGCAAGUGGGCAUAUGGGACAUGAAAUUUCUUCUUACAAAGAUUGCAUGAUUUUUAUAUUAGAGUUGUUCACGUGCAAUGUAUUUAGCUUGUUUUGCAGUUAAAUUAAUUGGAUAAGUAAACAUUGGCAUUUCUAAAUCGACUGUGAAGUGCUUCAUGUACGUGUAAAGUAUUAGAAAUUUCUUUCUUGGCAACUUGUUUUUUCCUUGCCAUCUACUGGUAGGUUUGACUAAAAUUAUAUUCCCUGUCAUGCUAAUUAAUUUUCAUGUGCAUGCUCAAAAGAAGAGUAUGACCUUAGUGCACCAAAAUCACUUUGAUUAAUUUGUGAUAGGUUUUUUUGCAUCAUUUAGAUAAUGUUUAGUUCUAAGAAAAAUUUAUAUAAAAAUGGUUUAUUUAUCUUACAUAUAUAUAUAUAUAUAUAUAUUUUUUUUUUUUUCAUUUUUUUUUCUUCUAUUUUAUUUAUUUAUUUUAUUUUCCUUAUGUUUUCCUCACAUUUUCCGGAACUAAACAUAGUCUUACGAAAUCAACAAUUGCCUUCAACUGAGUAGAUUCUGUUGUUUUAGCAAUGUUAGGCUGCUAACUUGUGGUGGUACGAACCAAAUGACCCAUGUUAAUCUUGGCUUGGUUUGAUUUGGCUCUAUCUCAGAGAGCUAAAGGAUCACGUCAACUCUGGUUUCUACUAUUCAGGUCCAUUCCCAGAUGAACUGGUUCAAAUUUGAGAAAAUGGUAACAGACCUUUAGUGAUGUUGGUUUGGAGCCAGUUGCCAAACCCGCCCUGAGCUUUACCACUAAUGUCAAGGGAGAAAGCCAUUUGAACAAAAACAAUAGCUUCAAGAGACUGAAUCGUGGAUGAAAUCUGAUCCACAUUUCUUCUCAUUUUGGGAAAAAAUGAGAACUUAACUACAAAGAUUCUACUGCCUCAUUCAUAGUGCUUUUCCUGAUCCAAGGUUGGUUCGUUUCCCAAAUUGUGAGGUGCACGUGCCACUCUCACGCUCAGGAGUGUAUCCACGUGGUGGACAUCAGAUGGUGGCUUAAUAUCUGGUGUCGGUGGCUUUACUUUACUAGGAGAGUAGUGUGUCUUCAUCUCAUUCACUGCCGGAGGGUGGCGUAAGCAGUGACGCUAAGGUGGGGCACAGUCAAUAUCAUUUGCAUUUGACCAUUAUAGUUUUCUCCCGGCUUGAAAGUAACCUUAUCGUGAUAAAGGAUUACUAGCACUAGUUCAGAUGACCGUCAUGUUAAUUCGGACCAUGUUUGUGUCACAUUAUCAGCAACCAUGUGUUUAUGGUUCAUGCUAUCUGCAACUAAACUUGAUAUAUAACCAGGUGAACUUCAAUCAAAAUUCUGGAAGUACUCUUGUGAUAGAUGGUGCCUGUCUGCAGAGUCCAUCAAUUGAAAAAUGGAGUGAGUGUAUCUAUAAGAGGGAAGGCUUGGCAAAUGUUCAGUUUUCUGGGAAUUCAACAAGGAUCUAAAAUAGAUUGUUUUCUUUGCCGACUUCAAUGGUUGAAAUUUGAGAAGAUUGUGUCCACAUAUCACAACUAUUACUGGUCCUUCUGUUGCAAUUUAUCCUGUAAGGCUCUAACAUGUCUUCCAAUUCCCACUUCCCUGUUACUCCAGGAAAGCUAUUUCUGUCAUUGUGAAGAAGAAAAGAGAAUGUACAUAUCGAUGCUUUUAAGUGACUGGAGCAUUCAUAUCAGGUGGUCUGCAGCCAUAUAUGCCACUUUGUGAAGGUUGGAACAGUCAAUCACUAGGCUAUAUAUUGGUGUGGCCCAGCCACUUCAAUCAAGGACAAGUCUUCAUACUUAAAGUCAAAUUCUGCCUUUAGUCUCAUUAUAAAUUGCUGUUUAAAUAUUAAGCAAACUUUUGUUUAAUGCGAUUAAGACAGUACUAACUCAAUACUUGUUCUAUUUUUGGAUGCAAAUGCUUGAUGGUUUCAUCAUUGGAUGGGAUAAAGGUGCAUUCAUGAUUAUGAAUACUUGUAGUUAUAUUUUCAUUCUCUUUUUUCUCAAUGAGACUUGUUGGCACAAUGUUGCUGUUCAGAAACCUACCUCUCCAUGGAAAAUAAGUUGCGAUUGAUAGUACUGGAUAUGUUCAAGAAAGCUAAAUAUAGAUAGCACAAAAUAUUAUCGAUAUAAAUAGCAUUAACAGCGUACGUAUGUCUCAAUGCUCAUCAGCUAUAAGCAUGGGACAAACACUUACUAUGAGCAACUUACGUCAAAAUUCCAGAAUAGGACAUAGAAGUGACAGAUCUAUAUAUAUAGAACACUGCAUAUGAGUCACAAGAAAGGAAAUUACGGGUGCAUAGCAGCUCUUAUUUUACAUACUACUACUCAUACUGAUCAAAGUCACUCAGUUGGGAUGGGUGGGAGUAGGAGGUUUGUGGGGUGGCUUGUGCGGAGGAGUUGGCAGCUUCUUUCCAGGACCUGGUUGCUUCUCUGCUGGAGUUGAAGGAGGCUUAAUCUUCCGAGGUGGCUUGUAUGAGUCUUCAGCAUUCUCAGCUGGAGGGUGACCAGGGUUGUGACCAUAAUGUGGUGGCUUCUCUCCCUUAGGUGGUUUGCCAACUGGGGUUGGUGGCUUGUAUGAGUCUUCAGCAUUCUCAGCAGGAGGGUGACCAGGGUUGUGACCAUAAUGUGGUGGCUUCUCUCCCUUAGGUGGUUUGCCAACUGGGGUUGGUGGCUUGUGUUCUGGGAGUGGCUUCUCCCCCUUGGGAGGUUUUUCCAAUGGGGUUGGUUUGUGUUCAGGAGGUGGCUUCUCCACUGGAGGCUUGUGUUCAGGAGGUGGCUUCUCCACCGGUGGCUUGUGUUCAGGAGGUGGCUUCUCCACCGGAGGCUUAUGCUCUGGUGGUGGCUUCUCCACCGGAGGCUUAUGCUCUGGUGGUGGCUUCUUGAAUGGGGGAUGCUGAGGGUAAUCAGCAAGUGAGGGGGCGGUGAGAACCACCAGGCCAAGCAACACCACUAGCAAAUAUGUAGGAGACAUCUUUGGGUUUGGGCUCAGAUGGUGCAAAACUAGGAGAAUUGGCUAGCCUUUUAUAGCGGAUCGUACUCAAUAAUGAAAUGACACGUGUCAUUAUGACCCAUGUGUAAUGGGGUCGAUUUGGGUCCUACAGUGUUGAAAACUUCGACAUCCAGUUUUGGCCUUUUGCUUUCUCUACAGCCGCCUUGCUUUUUCCCUCUUUCCUUUUGUUUUCCUCCUGCCCCAUUCUAUCAACUAAACACAAUUAUGUAGUUGUUUAAUUCUUAAAUGAGAUAUUAUCGGUCAAUCGUAUUAUAUUUUAUCAAGAGAGAACGGAGUGCAAUGCAGCUGUAAUUUUAUCGUUUACUUUUAUCUCUUGGACCACUGCAUUUUUGUUAAGAGGUGCAAUAAUACACGUCUUUAUCUGCCAUUCAAUGUUUACAGUAAAGAGAGGGCACAAAACUCUUCACUGCUCUGCAUGUGUCCCAAAAAUGCGAUUGGACAAAUUAUGAUUUGCAUGCUAAAAAGAGGCAAAUGAGGUUAAUUCGCACCAUAAUUAUUUGGUUUUCUGGACACCAUAAAAAGAUGUUAUACAGGCAGGGAAAAACCUUCAGAGUUAGCUACCAAAGAUAAUUAUCAAGCAGAUAUCACCAAGAGAAUUCCAUAGAGUCUGAAUCAAAGACAGAUUGCUCGCUCGUGGGGGUUCUUACUUUCUUUUGGGUAUAACUCACUGAGGUCACUGUCUUUUUUAUUUGCAUUUCACAGUUAGAGUUCUGCUCUGGAAGGUUUGUUCUGGAAACAUAUAAAAGGAGCAUCAUUUUGUUCUUGGGUAACCCAUAGUCGUGAGUGGGUCCAUUUGCAUGCUACUUAGUUGAAAAGUUGGACAAUUUGCUCCGACGCCUACCUCCUGGAUUCCAUGCUCGGUAAAACAAGAAUAAAAAAAAAUAUAUAAUUUACAAAUGGGGGAAAGAAAAAAUGUCGGAAAAAAUAGUAAAAUUCAUGUCACAUGCUAGUGAGAGAAGGGGUUGUUACACUCACUCGAAGUUCUUUUCAAAAUAUCGAAUGGUAUUUUACUUUAUGUGUCAGCGCAGUUGUGAAUGGAACGUGCAAAAGUCCAAAUUGGCGUUUUUAUUUUUCCCAUGUAGGAUGGUGACCUUUAAUAAAUAUUUAAAACAAAAGACGAAAAAAAAAAGGAGGGAAAAGGGAUCACAAAAGAUAAAAUAAUGUUUACAAAAGCUCAAUUAGUUUGCAAAUUACUGUUUGGAUUUUGAUAGUAUUUUAUUUGUCGUUCUAUAUUUGAUGUAAAAGAGAAUUUAAGAUAUUUCCGAAGCAAAAGCAUUAGUUUGCUCUGUGAUGUCCCACAUCGAAUAGGGGAGAAAGUUUCUGGCGCUAUAUAUGUAGAGGCUCCUCUUAACCAAGUAGAUGCGUUUUAAAACCAUGAGGGCCCCCUUAGGUCCAAAGCGGACAAUAUCUACAUGAUUGGGUGUAAGUCAUUACAAAUGGUAUCAGAGCCGAUCCCCGACCCCGGUGUGGGGGUUUGUUUGGCCCUGUAAGGGGUGUUUGUCUGUUUGACCCCACAAUCCCAUGGGACACAACGAGGACGUUGUGUCUGCAUGGGGGGGCGUUUGUGAUGUCCCACAUCGGAUAGGGGAGAAAGUUCCUAGUGCUAUAUAUGUAGAUGUUUCUCUUAACCAAGUAGAUGCAUUUUAAAAUUGUGAGGGCCUCUUUGGGCCCAAAGCGGACAAUAUCUACAUGGUUGAGUGUAAGUCAUUACAUGCUCCAUGUCAAUUUCAGCAUUUCUCAUAUGUUUCACACAUACACAGAAGAGCAUCGUUUUUUAAAGCAUGCAUUUAUGUUGGAUUAAUUUGGAUUUUGUGGGAACUGGGGCAAGGAUCACAUGGAAGAGAGGUUGACUUUUUUCAGUACUUCAAUGGUUGAAAUAUGUGAAGGCUUGAUUGAUACUAAAGCUUGAAAUUGCGACUCUGUCAUUUGUAAAAAAAUAUGACAGCUUCCAUGCUCUCGUUUGGUUGCAUUGUCCGGUCGAGAGGUGCAAAAAGCAUUCUCUCUCUUCUAAUAGUCUUUUCGUUUAAAUCAAGGGAUUUGCCUUCCCGGUCGAGGUCCAAUAGAGGGUAACGGUCACCUACUAAACAUUAAAUGCUCCAACAACUAGUGAACUGAUCGACCCCAGCUCGACUAGUUGAGGUUACUUUUUGGUUUUCUUGUCUCCCGAGGUUAGAAACCUAUAAAUAGAGAGCUUCACUUCAUUUAUGAGUAAGAGAACACCUAAAUUUAUUUGUUUACCUACUUGUUUUUGCCAUAAAAGCUCUCAUUUCUUUUCUUGGUGUAUUAAAUCUCCAUUUGCAUAUCCUUUAGUGCACCUUUGUGAUUCAUUCUAGCCUUGAGUUGUAUUUAAGCCUUUGUUGAGCUAGGUUGAGAGUUUCAUACUUGUUUAUUGAGUGUUAAAGCCUUCAAGUGAGUUAAAACUUGAAGAGAUUGUGUAAGAGCCCAUUGGAGUCGGAAUCCAAGUGUAAAGGUGAUUAAAAGCUUGGUUGAAGCUUCAAGUUAGUGGAACUCUCACUCGGUUAUGAGCUUGAGAAGAGUGGACAUAGACAAGGCAGUGUCGAACCACUAUAAAAUCUGAGUUUGAUUUCUCUAACCUUAUCUCUUUAUAUUUGCUUCUCUUGUGCUUAAAUUUUUUGUGUUUAAAAAGAAUUUUUAAAAACUCAAUUCACCCCCUUCUUGGGAGUUUUUCUCUUUUAAGAUCAGCUUUUAUUUUCUCAAUUGGUAUCAGAACUAUGCCUCUUGUUUAAGACUUAAUCGUCUAAGAGGAAAUGGCUAAUCCAUCAAGUUCAUCUCACAUUGAAAGUUUUGCAACCAAUAGACUUCUUUUUUUUUUUUUGCGGGAACUGAUUAUCCCUAUUGGAAAACUAAAAUGACUUGGUUUUUACAAUCAAUUGAUUUAGAUGUAUGAGAUGCCAUUGAAGAUGACCUAACUUUUCCUUCAAAACUAGUUGAUGGAGUCAUGGUUCCAAAACCUAAGCAAGAAUGGGAUGAGCGUGAUUGAAGAAAUUUUCAAUUAAAUGCUAAAGUCGUUUAUACUUUGCAAUGCUCUAUGGACAGAAAUGAAUAUAAUAGAAUAUGUCAAUGCAAAUCGGUUAAAGAAAUUUGGAGAUUGCUUGAAAUAACUCAUAAAGGAACAAAUCAAGUUAAAGAGUCAAAAAUCAAUUUACUUGUUCAUAGAUAUGAAUUGUUUUUUAUGAAAGAUAAUGAAACUAUUGUUAAGAUGAUCACUAGGUUCACCAACAUUGUUAAUGGUCUUAAAGCCUUGGGAAAGACCUACAAGGAAUCCGAAAACGUGAUGAAGAUCUUGAGGUCACUUCCAUCAAAGUGGCAUACCAAGGUCACCGCAAUUUAAGAAGCAAAAGACUUGAUCAAGCUACCUUUGGAGGAGUUCAUAGGGUCAUUGAUGACAUAUGAAAUCAAUUUGGCAAAGAAGUAACAAAAAGGUGAAGACAAAAAGAAGAAGAACAUAACUCUCAAAGCUACAACUAAGGAAGAAGAAGUUGAAGAAGAAAAACAAAUUGAAGAAGAUGAAGAUUUAGCCCUCAUCACAAGAAAGUUCAACAAAUUCAUGAGGGGUGAAAGGUUUAGAAGAAGAAGGUUCACUUCUAGAAGAGACUUUUCUAAAAAGGAAUCUUCAUCUAAUGGUGACAAAAAGAGAUGGGAAGAGAAAAGAGACUUGGUGUGUUUCAAGUGCAAGAAACCGGGACACAUUAAAUAUGAUUGUCCUCUCUACAAAAGUGAAGUCAAGAGGAAAAAGAAUAAGGCAAUGAUGGCCACUUAGAGUGAAAGUGAAGAUGAAUCAUCCGAAGAAGAAAAUGAGAAAGAAGUGGCAAACAUGUGUUUCAUGGCAAUAGAUGAACUUGAUGAGGUAAAAUCUAACCUUAGUGAUUAAGAUAUACAUGAUGCAUUUGAAGAAUUGUAUGAGGAUUUUUAAAAACUUAGUUUGAAAAAUAUUUCUCUUAAAAAGAAAGUUCAACAACUUGACAAAGAACUUAGAGAAGUAAAAGAAAAAUUUUCAAAUGUUAAAGUUUCUAAAACUCAUCUUGAAAAAGAAAAUGAGAUUCUAAGAAAGAAAAAUGAAUAGUUGAACUCCUCUCUUUCAAUCUUUUCUUCUAGACAAAAAUCUUUUGAAAUGAUUCUAACUAGCUAAAAAUGUGUUUUUGACAAACAAGGGUUAAGAUUUAAAUCUUCAAAAAAUCAAAAGUAUUUUAAAAACUAUUUUGUAAAGGAAUCCACAAGUGCAAGUCCUUCCACUACUUGCAACUUUUGUGGAAGAGAAUGGCACAUUAGUAGUACGCCCUUUAAGAAAUGGUUCUCAAAAGAAUUUAAAUGCAAAAACUAAAAAAGAUUUGGAUUGAGAAAUCCAAGGUCACUAACCCUCAAGGACCCAAAAAGAUAUAGGUACCUAAAUCAACUUGAGUUUUAUGUUGUAAGGUUCAAAGAAUGAUAAGUGGUUCUUAGAUAAUGGUUGCUCAAGACACAUGACCGGAGAUGAAUCCAAGUUUGCUUUUCUUAAAAAGAAAAAUGGAGGAUAUGUUACCUUUGGAGACAAUGCAAAAGAAAGGAUGAUUGGUCAAGGCAACAUUGGUAAUGGCACAUCCUCUCUCAUUGAAAGUGUUUUAUUAGUAGAUGGUUUCAAACAUAACCUUUUAAGCAUUAGUCAAUUUUGCGACAAAGGUUUUUAAGUGAUUUUUUAAGCAUCUCAUUGCAUCAUCAAGGAUAUUCAAAAUGAUAAAACCAUUUUCAUGGGCCAUAGAUGUGAUAAUGUUUAUGCUAUAAAUAUUUCAAAAUAUGAUGGCCAUGAUAGAUGUUUUUCAAGCAUGCAUGAUCAAAGUUGGUUGUGCCAUAGGAGAUUGAGACAUGCUAACAUAGACCUCAUUUCCCAACUCAACAAAGAUGAACUUGUUAGAGGCCUUCCCAAAAUAAUUUUUUAAAAAGAUAAAGUUUGUGAAGCUUGUCAAGUGGGAAAGUAAAUCAAAAACUCUUUUAAAAACAAAAACUUCAUUUCCACAUCUAGGCCACUUGAGUUGUUGCAUAUGGAUUUAUUUGGUCCCUCUAGGACACCAAGUCUUAGAGGAAAUUCUUAUGCAUAUGCUAUUGUGGACGACUUCUCUAGAUACACAUGAGUCUUGUUUUUUAGUCAAAAGAAUAAAGUUUUUUAUGAGUUUUCAAAGUUUUGCAAUAAGAUUCAAAAUGAAAAAGGUUUUUCAAUUACUUAUAUAAGAAGUGAUCAUGGGAGAGAAUUCGAAAAUAUUGAUUUUGAAGAGUAUUGCAAUGAGCAUGGAAUUGACCACAAUUUUUUGGCUCUUAGAACUCCUCAACAAAAUGGGGUAGUUGAAAGGAAAAAUAGAACUCUUCAAAAAAUGACAAGAACCAUACUAAAUGAAAACAACUUACCAAAAUAUUUUUAGGCCAAAACGGUUAACACUUCUUGUUAUGUUUUAAAUAGAGUAUUAUUGAGGCUCAUACUUAAGAAAACUCCCUAUGAGCUUUGGAAAAACAAAAAACCCAACAUUAGUUAUUCCAAAGUCUUUGGAUGCAAUAUUUUAUAAUAAACACCAAAGACAAUCUUGGAAAAUUUGAUGCAAAAUUGGAUGUUGGAAUUUUCCUUGGUUACUCAACUUCAAGUAAAGCUUUUCGAGUUUUAACAAAAGAACCAUGGUUGUAGAGGAGUCCAUCCAUGUUAUUUUUUAUGAAUCUCCAAGAAAGAGAGAGGAUUGAUGAUGAUUUAGGUUUGAAGACCUCUAUAGGAAGAUUGCAAAUCGAAGAUAGAAGACAACAAGAAGAAAAUGGAGAGAAUCCAAAGAAAGAAGGAUCACCAUUGGCACUACCCCCUCAUCAACAAGCGCAAGGUGAAUCAAGUCAAGAGCUUCCUAAAGAAUGGAAGUUUGUCAUCAAUCACCCACAAGAUCAAAUUAUAGGCAAUCCAUCUAGUGGGGUAAGAACUAGAUCCUCUCUUAGAAAUAUUUGCAAUAAUCUAGCUUUUAUCUCUCAAAUUGAGCCUAAAAAUAUAAAUGAUGUUUUAGAUGAUGAAAAUUGGAUAAUUGCAAUGCAAGAAGAGUUAAAUCCAUUUGAAAGAAGUGGAGUAUGGGAAUUAGUACCAAGACCUUCAAAUCAAAGUGUUAUUGGAACUAGAUGGAUCUUUAGAAAUAAAAUGGAUGAAAAUAGCAUAAUUGUUAGAAAUAAAGCAAGAUUGGUAGCCCAAGGUUUUAAUCAAGAAGAAAUGAUAGAUUAUGAAGAAACCUUUGCCCCCGUAGCUAGGUUGGAAGCCAUUAGGAUGCUACUUGCCUUUGCAUGUUUUAAAGACUUUGUUUUAUAUCAAAUGGAUGUGAAAAGUGCUUUUUUAAAUGGUUUUAUAAAUGAAGAAGUAUAUGUUGAACAACCACCCGGUUUUCAAAGUUUCAACUUUCCUAACCAUGUUUUUAAACUUAAAAAGACACUUUAUGGUUUGAAACAAGCACCUAGAUCAUGGUAUGAAAAAUUGAGUAAAUUUCUUUUGAAAAAAAUGUUUUAAAAUGGGAAAAAUUGACACAACUCUUUUUAUAAAAACCAAAGAAAAUGAUAUGCUCUUAGUUCAAAUAUAUAUUGAUGAUAUCAUUUUUGGUGCUACUAAUGUCUCUCUUUAUGAAGAAUUUUCUAAGUGCAUGCAUAGUGAGUUUGAAAUGAGCAUGAUAGGAGAACUCAACUUCUUCCUUGGACUUCAAAUCAAGCAACUAAAGGAAUGAACCUUCAUCAAUCAAGCAAAGUAUAUAAGAGAUCUUCUCAAAAGGUUCAACAUGGAAGAAGCCAAAACAAUGAAGACUCUAAUGAGCUCAUCCAUUAAGCUUGAUAAGGAUGAGAAAGGUAAAUCCAUUGACUCUAUUAUGUAUAGAGGCAUGAUAGGUUCUUUGCUCUAUUUGACCACUAGUAGACCUUACAUUAUGUAUAGUGUGUGUUUGUGUACUAGAUUUCAAUCUUGUCUUAAAAAAUCUCACUUAAGUGUCGUGAAAAGAAUCCUCAAAUAUUUGAAAGGGACAAUGGACAUAGGCUUAUGGUAUCCUAAGAGUGAUAACUUUGAAUUAAUUGGUUUUUUGGAUGCUGAUUUUGUCAGUUGUAGGGUUGAAAAAUAAAACACUAGUGGCACUUUUCAUUUCUUAAGACACUUACUUGUCUCAUGGCAUAAUAAGAAGCAAAAUUUGGUAGCUUUGUCAACAGCAGAAGCUAAAUACAUAGCAACUGGUUUAUGUUGUGCACAAAUCCUUUGGAUGAAAUAAACACUUAGUGAUUUUGAUUUAUCUUUUGAGCAUAUUCCUAUUAAAUGUGAUAAUAGUAGUGCCAUAAGUAUAUCAAAAAAUCUCGUGCAACACUCUAGGACUAAGCAUAUAGAGAUUAGACAUAAUUUUCUUAGAUAUCAUACACAAAAGGAUGAUAUAACACUUGAAUUUGUAAGCAUAAAAGACCAACUUGCCGAUAUCUUUACAAAACCUCUAAGAACAUUUUGUUGAUAUUAGAGGACAAUUAGGAGUGAUUUCUUUAUGAUCUAAUGUGAUGAAUUCUUGAUGAAUAUACUUUUUGAUUGCAUGAAUUUCAUGUCAUAUAUGCAUCAUAUAGAAAUAUACUUAGAUAAUGGUCAAAUUUCGACCAAAAAUCAAAAUUCCCAUGGCAUUAGGCAUAAAAAUUUUGGAAUUUCAACUGAAAAUGGUAGGAGGAGGAUCACAAAAUGAGAAAGUAUGCAAAAAUUGAAAAAUCAAAACGUUGACCAAGCGGUCAAUCGGACUAGACCGAUCGACUAGUUUGUCGAGAUUUAGGAUUUUUAAGAGACUCCAACGCUUCAAUUUUUGCACCGUUCUCCUCUAUUUCUUCACGGUUUCUCUGAUUUUGUCUUUUAGAGACUAAUUUGAGUGCGUUUUGGAUCAAUUGAAGCAUUUUGGAUUGGAUUUUAGGAAGAUUGAAAGUUAAGGUUUCGGAUUUGGGUCGCCUUCUCUUCCUCUCGCGUGUCACAAUCAGCUUUAGCAUUGUUCUCUUUCCAUUUUCACACACCUAGGGUUUCAGUUGUGAGCAUCUCUCUCUCUUUACCAACCACUACUCCCUUGCUUCUUCCAUAUGGCUCCUAGGCGAGAGUCCGCUACUUCUAGGGCACAAGGCAAGCACCCAACUGAGUCGUCUCAGUCAAAGGCACGUCGAAAAGUGAGAUUUGACAUUGCCUUGUUCAGUUCCAUGGAGGACUACCAACUAUACAAGCAACACUUUGCUUAGAGACGAGUAGUUCCCAAGAGAAAUAUUAAUUUUCCUCAACUUCAGCAUUUCGAAUUUAAGGGUCUAUUUACUAGGAUGGUUGGUUGUCUAUUGUCACAAUUUCGGAGCCGGUUUUCCUGACCUUAGUGCGAGUUUUUUACUCGAGGGCGACUUAUGGCAUGGGUGGCAUGAUCAUUUCUACUGUUGGAGGAGUUGAGAUCUGUCUGGACCCAGAGAGCAUCUGCCAUAUUUUCGAUAUUGCUCUGGUUGGACUCAAAGUAUACAAGUCCAAAAUGUGGCCCAUUGUGCCAGGAUUUGAGCUUAGAGAGGUCAUUCAGAGGAUUUGUGAACUUCCAGACGCCCAGGAGAUGGGCAAACCAUUGCCACACAGUUUGACGGUCAUCAACAGGGUGCUACACCAUAUAUUGUGCUCUAUCUUUCUACCACGAAGUGGACAUUGAGAUGAGGUCUCUUAUUAUGAGGCAUUCCUUAUUGACUCCAUUCUAACGGAGAGACGAAUUCAUCUACUAUGUCAUCAUUCACUAAGCCUCCUCACAGUGACAUACCACCUCAUCAGGCACCUCUUGCUCCUGACCAUGCUCCAUUGAUGGAUUUAUUUACUCAUAUUAGCUCUCUAGGCACUCGCAUGAAGGAGUUUGUUGUAGUUAGUGAUACAUGGUUCUACUCCAUAGAGGAUCGCAUGGAUCAGUAUCAGACUGGCUUCACGUCACAGUUUGAGUAUCUCCAAUAGAGGAUUGAGCAUAUUGAGGAUCACUUGAGCAUGAGAAGAUGAUGGCUUUUCUAUGCUCUGUGUUUCCACCUCCACCUCGUCAACCUUGAUUUCUUAGAGACCCAUUGUUUUCAUUUUGUAAUGUUGCCAAAAGGGGGAGAUAUUUAGGAUCUAGGACUCUAUAGGAGACUUACAUGCAUAUCAUUUUCAUAUCAUUGUUUGGAUCGUACAUAUUGGAUAGUGAUACUUUUUACUUAUAUAUGAUAUGCCUAUAUGUUUCAUGUCUUACAUUGUUUCUUAUUGCAAAUUAUCUCUAACAUGUCUUGAUUAUCUUUUUUUUAACUUCAUAAAUUUUGAUUGUUAACCCAUGAUUGGUUUGAGGGGAAGAUUCUUCUUCUCCUAGAUAACCAAGGUUUGUCAUCAUAAAAAAAUUGGAGAUUGUUAGCCCAAGGGUUCUCCUAAUCAUGUUUUGAUGAUAACAAACCAUGCUUAAGUUACUAAUUGGUUUGAAUUAUAAAGAAUUUCAAGUGUUAAUUUGAAAAUUCAUCAAAGAACCUAAUGGAUGCAAGAUCAAGAUUUUUGGAAGACCUUUAAUCAUAAGAAACAUAUGUAAGAUGAAUGCAUGGGUGCACUUAAGAUUUGCAUAUCAUUUCAUGCAUAUUUGGAAAACACGGUUUAUGCUUUAAAGUUACAUUUCCAUCAAAAUUUGAGAUCCAUCAAAUGAACCUUAGGAAAAAUGUUUUAAAAUUGGCAUAUAAUUUUACCUAAAGACCUUGCCUAAGUGUUAGAAGCAAAAGGACAAAAAAAAUAUAGGUUUUCUGGUCAAAAAUGGUGAACCAGUCAAGGCAUUGUCUAAAUCAGCUCAAUCGGCCAAGGUACCGGUCGAUCGGUUUCCCUUUCCCUGUCGAGAUCUAGUCAAGAGGUACAAAAAUCACAAUCUCUGUCUCUUUCUCUCUUUGUCUAUCUUCCAGUAGUCUUUCCUUCCCGGUCGAGGGAUUUGCCUUCCCGAUUGAGGUCCGAUUGAGAGUAAUAGUCACUUGCCAAAUAUUAAAUGCUCCAACAGUUAGUGAACUGGUCGACCCCCACCUUGCCCAGUUGAGGUUACUUUUUGGUUUUCUUGGCUCCCGAUGUUAGAAACCUAUAAAUAGAGAGUUCCACUUCAUUUAUGAGCAAGAGAACACUUGCAUUUAUUUGUUUACCUACUUGUUCUUGCCUUAAAAGCUCUCAUUUCUUUUCUUGGUGCAUUAAAUCUCCAUUUUGAUAUCCUUUAGUGCACCUUUGUGAUUCAUCUUAGCCUUGAGUUGUAUUUGAGCCCUUUUUUUAGCUAGGUUGAGAGUUUCAUACUUGUUAAUUGAGUGUUAAAGCCUUCAAGUGAGUUGAAACUUGUAGAGAUUAUGUGAGAGUCGAUUGGAGCCGAAAUCCAAGUGUAAAGGUGAUUAGAAGCUUGGUUGAAGCUUCAAGUUAGUGGAAUCCUCACUCAAUUAGGAGCUUGAGGAGAGUGGACGUAGCCAAGGAAGUGUCGAACCACUAUAAAAUUUGAGUUUGAUUUCUCUAACAUUGUCUCUUUAUAUUUGUUUAUCUUGUGCUUAAAUUUAUUGUGUUUAAAAAGAAUUUUUAAAUACCCAAUUCACCCCCCUCUUGGGUGUUUUUCUCUUUUAAAAUUAGCCUUUAUUUUCUCACAAACUAUUGUAGUAUAGUGGUUUUUAGGUGUCAUCCAUUAGGAUGAAUUGUUCUCGGUAAUUAAGGCGUGAAUGAGAGGAGAAUUAAUGAUUGUGAUUAAGUAAAAUUGAUUUGAAAAUUCAUGGUGAAAAAUCAAUUUAACAAUGGUUUCUAAUUGAGAAAAACAAUGAAAUGUGAAAUAAAAUAAAAUUAAUAGGAAAUGAAAUUCUCGAAGUUAGAAUUUUCUAAAAAACAAAUUCCAUGGUGAAUGGAUGUUGAGAUCUAAUUUUCAUCAAGUUAGAUUGAAAACCGAAAUUUUCAUAUAAACUGAUUUUUUAUUUAGUUUUAGGUCUAGAUUUAAUUUCCCUUAAAAUUAGGUUAUUUAAUCCAAGAAAUCAAUUCAAAUCAUAUAUUCAAUUCAUCUUAAAUUAUCUUCCAAUUAUUCACACAAUGCAACUAUUCAAUCUCAUCAAAUCUAGCUUUUAAGAAUUUAAUGAAUCUACCUAGUUUGCAUUGUAAUAGUCAUCCAUGACAAUUUGAAGAGAAAAAUAAUUCAAUUAAUCAAUCACUUGGAUCAAAUUACCUUUGCAAUUAAAGUUCAUUUCUCUAAUUCACCACAGAUUUUGUCUCUAGAUCCUCCUUUCUCAAAGAAAAAUGAGAUUUAGCCACACAUGAUUGGAGAUUUGGUCUCAUAAGGCAUGUUUAGCUAGUGAUAAAAUGAGAGAAAAUAAAGAAAAAUAGAGAAUUCGAUUAAGAAAGAAAAUCUAAAAAAUUCUACAAUUAGAAAUGUCCAAAAAGCUUUUUCAUGAGAAAAUCAAGUUUCUAUUUAUAGGCCAAGGUCAAGUGGACACUUGACAUCAUCUAAGAGGUCUUCCGGAAGCUUCUUCAUCAAGAAAUCUGGAGUUUAAUAAUAAAAUGGUCAUUUCACAAGAGCUCAAACAAUUUCGCAUGAUUAUGUGAAAUAAAAAAUGCAACAACAGCAAUUUACAUCUUCUUGGAGCAUUUCGCAUGACUGUGUGAAAUUUUCACAUGAUCAUGUGGAAUCGACUUGACAACUCUCAUUUAGCCUACAACAUAAUUCCACCUUUUGGUCCAUUUUUCAUAGUCAUGCGAAAUGGAAAUAUUUGAUUUUUAAGUUUUCUUUUGUCAUUUCUUUCAUUUCCUUCUCUUGAUUCCACUUCAACUACCUCCGAAUCCUGGUCCAAACCAAUUGCAUUACUUCUUUCAUUAUGCAUUUGGAUCAUCAUCAACAUUAUUUGUUCUCUUCAAUUUGAUUCAUCUCUUUUGUCACCAAUUUAUCAAAAUCAUACCUUGAAAUGACUCCAAAACUUCAUAAAACUUGUUAGUAACUCUUGCAAGGGCAACAACAUAUUAAUUAAGUGUUUUAGGCAUAGUUACUACUCAAAAGAUGCGAAACUCAUGAUAAUUAUUAUAUAAAAUAUGCUCUUUUUGAGUAGUAAUCAACUUUCUUGCAUAAGCAGACCUUUUAGGGUGGAGUACUAAAGACCAAUAUGCUUGUCCUUGUUGUAAUAAAGAAACUUGCUCUUAUUGAUUGCACCAUGGGAGAAAAUUUUGCUACAUGAGUUAUCAUCAAUUUCUUCCCACCAAUCAUAGAUUUAGACGUGACAAGAGGCCUCUUAAUGGCAAGGAGGAACUGACACUCACACUUAUACAAUUAUCGGGCAUUGAUGUGUUGCAACAAUUAGAAUAACUUACACCAAUUAUGUUGGGGAAGUCACAAAAGGCAAACAUGAAAACUAAAAGGAAAAAAGAAAAAUGUUACAUAUCACCACAACUGGAAAGAAAAAAGUAUUUACUUUCAUUUGCCAUAUUGGAAAGCACUUAUUUUACAUCAUAAUAAUUUAGACAUAAUGCAUAUUGAGAAAAAUGUGUGACAAUAUAAUUGAGACAUUGUUCAGUAUUGACGAAGAAACAAGGACAACCUAAAUAGUCAUCUCGAUUUACAAGCUCUAACUAUUAGAAAUGAGAUUCACCCAAUAGAAAGCAGGACCAAAUUUAUUUUGCUUGCAACAUGCUACUCACUCACCCCAAAUGAGAUUAAGGAAUUUUGCAAGUUUUUGAAAUCAAUAAAGGUCCCCAAUGGCUAUUCUUUCAAUAUCUCUCGUUAUGUGCAACUCAAUGAAAGGAAGAUAUAUGAGCUCAAAUUGUAUGAUUGUCAUGUCCUAAUGCAACAACUUCUCUCACUUGUAGUUCGUGGAGUUCUACAUAAGAAUGUUUGUGGAGUUAUCAUAGAAUUGCGUAAUUUUUUCAAGCAAUUGUGCUCAAAGGUGUUAGAAACAAAUCACUUACACCAACUUGAGAACAAUAUUAUUGUCAUACUAUGUAAAAUGGAGCAAAUAUUUCUUCCAUCAUUCUUUGAUAUUAUGGUGCAUUUACUUGUGCAUCUAGUAAGGCAAAGGUUGCAAGACUUGUGCAAUAUUGUUGGAUGUACCUAAUUGAACGAUAUUGUUAUAAUUUCAUAUGAAUCAUUUAAUUUUAUUUUAUAUUAUGUUCAGUUCAUUAACAUGUACAUUGGUCUACAUAUGGAUGAUGAUAGGUACCUAAGCACUUUAAAGUCAUAUGUGCGUAAUAGAACUUUUCUAGAAGGUUCUAUUGUAGAAAGGUACCUUGCAAAAGAAUGUACAACAUUUUAUUCUAGGUACUUGAAUGAUGUGGAAAUAAAGUAUAAUCACAAUGAUAGAAACUUUGUUGGUUUCAACACUAGAGGAGAUGAAAGGGGUUAUCUUUAAACAUAUUGGACAUGCAUUGGGAAAGCCCAUAUUUCAUUAACUUAGUUCAAAAGAGUGGUCACAAGCACAUUUAUAUGUGUUGACAAAUUGCGAAGAUGUCAUACCAUUCAUUGAGUAAAAAAUUUAUUUGAAUUUUAAUUAAAGCUCUAGUUUAUAUCCUUAAUCAAUGUUUUUUAAAUUCACAAGGAGCACAAGCAAACCAUCAAGGCUAGACCACAUAUACGUGUUUGAGACGUAGAUUUAAUUCAUAACAAGGAAUUUAUCAAGUGGUUUGAAAGACAUGUAAGUAUAUUCCUUAUUAUAAGGGAUUUAUUUCACAUUAUGUUUAUAUUGAAUCCAAACCUAUUAUUGAAUUGUAGGUUGAACAAUUACAUAAUGAAGGUCAUAUAUCUGAACACCUUCUCACAUUAUCAUGUGUUCCAAAUUCAUUAGUUACAUGCUUCAAAUGAUAUAUUGUCAAUGGAUUUAGAUCCCACAUUAAAGAACGUGAUAAAAAAGUUUUUAAAAAAAGACUCAGAAUAAUGGAAUUGUUGUAGUUGCAAAAACGUCAAGCUUUACAAGUGCAUGUGAUAUGAGUCCAAUUAUUAGUGAUGCUCUCUACUAUGGUGUUCUAACUAAAGUUGUUGAGUUACAUUAUCUUGGUGAAAAUAAGGUUGUUUUAUUCGAGUUUGAUUGGUGGGAUGUUACAAAUAUUGGAAAAUUGAUAAAAGAUGAUGAGUACAAUUACACAUUUGUUAACUUUGCAUGAAUUCUAACCACGAACGAACGAUUUGUACUUGCAUCUCCAGCAAAGUAAGUGUUCUAUGUGAAGAAUGCGAAUGAAUCAGAUUGGCAUACUAUCAUGGAGAUGCAACCUCAAGACCUCUAUAAGAUGAACGGGAUAGGAUCCAAUGGUGAUUUUGAACCAUUUCAACAAAGUGAACUACAUGAUCACUAAUAUAUCUCAGAUUUAGUUGAUGAAGAUAUAAUCAAGUGGAACAAAAGUGAUGUUUUAGGACUAAUCAUCCUAAAAAAUAUUGUAGUUUCUUAAAAAAAAAAUGAAAAUGAAGAAGAUAAUUGAACCUUUGUCAUACUUUAAAAAGCAACUAUGCAUUGUUCAUUUUGUAUGUUUUGGUUUUCUUCAUUUAAUUUCCUGAUUUUUGUGAUUCAAUGUCAUAUUAUUGAUCUUGAAAUAUUUUUCUAAUUUUUCAUUCUACGAUGGUUUCAACAAGGAUGACAUCAAGUCAAAAAAGGAAAUGUGGUCCCACACACAAUAUUGCAUUACAGGGAUUAAGGUCAGGGAAGAAGGUAAAAGUUGCAUUUAAUGAGUACAAUCAAUUGGUUAAACAGAAAAAUGGAAAACACUUAUCGAGCUACAUAGGGACACUUGUAUCUAACCAACACAAUGUACCUCUCCAAGCUAGUGAUUGGAAAAAUGUUCCAAAUGAUGCAAAAGAGAAAGUAUGGCCUUUGUUUUGGUAUGUUGUAUUUCUCACUAUAUGAUGUCAUUUCACUGUUAUUCUAUUUUGUGACUAACGUUUGAAUCAUAUGUAAGAAAAAUUUGAAGUAGAUAAAGACUGAAAAGAUUACAUGUUGGGUAUAGCCUCAAAUAAAUAUAGAAGCUAUAAAAAUAUGAUGAAUGCAAAAUACUAUGACCCUUGGCAUAAGGAUGCAUGAGGAGAGGUUAAUACAUAAAUCACCAUUUGUCUCUGAUGUUGAUUGGAAGUGGCUUGUCUCUGAUGCAUAAACCAAAUCCCCCACUGAAUGUUUGAUAUUUGAUAGCAGGAAAAACACACCCGCAGCUAUACACCUCCAUCAUUCAGAUAAUUAUAGUGGGGGAGAUGAUUCAUGGUUGCCCUUAUACCCUUUAUUUGCACCAUCUAUUGAGAUUCUUUAUCAUGGCCAGGUUUUACUGCAGCAAUAAGAUAUGGUGGCAACAAUUUUAUCUAUAGGUGCGGUUCCAGACCGCCUCCAUAGGUGCGGUUCCUGACUGCCUCCAUAGGUGCCUCUUCUUGUAAUGUUUGUUCUGGGAAUUACACUUGAAAGCCUUAUCGUGAUAAGGGAUUACAAACACUAGUUCAGAGGACAGCCAUGUUAAACUUCCACUAUGUUUGUGUCACAUUAUCAGCAGCCUAGUGUUUAUUGGUCAUGCUAUCUGCAACUAAUAUAACCCGGUGAACUUCAAUCUAAAUUCUGAAAGUACUCAUGUGACAGAUGGUGCCUUUCAGCAGAUAUCAUCAAUUUAAAAGUAGUGUGUGUGCCUAUAGGUGGGAAGGCCUUGGCAAAUGUUCAGUAUUCCGGUAAUUCAAGAAGGAUAUAUCUAAAAUAGAUUUUCUUCUUGCCCAUUUCAAUAGUUAAAAUUUGAGAAGAUUGUGUCCACAUCACACAAAUAUUAUUGGUCCUUCUGUUGCAAUUUACCUCUGAACAUGUCUUCCAAUUCCCACGGUCCUGUUACUCCAGGAAAACUAUUUCGGUCAUAUUGAAAAAAAAAAUAUUAAAGAAGGUACACAUGCUUUUAAGUGGACUGGGGCAUUCAUAUCAGGUGGUCUGUAUCCACAUAUGCCACUUCGUGAAAGGUGGAACAGCCUAAUCACUAGGCUAUUUAGUGUGGCCCAGCCACGUUAAUCAAGCACAAGUCUUCAUACUUAAAGUCAAAUGGUGUCUUUAGUCUCAUUACACAUCGCUAUUUGAAGAUUAACUCAUCACUAGUGUAAUGCGAUUAAGACAGUCCUAACUCAAUAUUUGUUCUAGUUUUGGAUGCAAAUGCUUGCUGGUUUCAUCAUUGGAUGGGAUAAAGGUGCAAUCAGGACUAUGAAUACGUGCAGUAAUACUUCAUUCUCUUUUUUCUCAAUGAGACUUCUUGGCACAAUUUUGCUGCUCAGCAACCUACCUUUCCAUGGAAAAUCAGUUGUGACUGAUAGUAAUGGAUAUAUUCUAGAAAGCUAAACAUAGAUAGCAUUCAAUAUUAUCGAUAUAACAUUAACAGCGUAUGUCUCAAUGCUCAUCAGCUACAAGCAAUGGACAAACACUUUGAGUAACUCACAGCAGUCAAAAUUCCUAAACAGGACAGACGUGACAGAUCUAUAUAUAGAACACUGCAUAUGAGUCACAGGAAAAGAUAAUACGGGUACAUAGAAGCUCUUAUUUUACAUAUUACUCAUACUGAUCAAAGUCGCUCAGUUGGGAUGGAUGGGAGAAGGAGGUUUGAGGGGUGGCUUGUGCGGGGAAGUUGGCAGCUUCUUUCCGGGAGCUGGUUGCUUCUUUGCUGGAGUUGAAGGAGGCUUAAUCUUCCGAGGUGGCUUGUAUGAGUCUUCAGCAUUCUCAGCAGGAGGGUGACCAGGGUUGUGACCAUAAUGUGGUGGCUUCUCUCCCUUAGGUGGUUUGCCAACUGGGGUUGGUGGCUUGUUUUCUGGGAGUGGCUUCUCUCCCUUGGGUGGUUUGCCAACUGGGGUUGGUGGCUUGUGUUCUGGGAGUGGCUUCUCCCCCUUGGGAGGUUUUUCGAAUGGGGUGGGUUUGUGUCCUGGUGGUGGCUUCUCUCCCUUGGGAGGUUUACCAAUUGGGGUCGGUGGCUUGUGUUCUGGGAGGGGCUUCUCUCCCUGGGGAGGUUUAGUGGGUGGCUUGUGUUCUGGAGGUGGCUUCUCCACCGGAGGCUUAUGCUCUGGUGGUGGCUUCUCGAAGGGGGGAUGCUCAGGGUAAUCACCAAGUGAGGGGGUGGUGAGAACCACCAUGCCAAGCAACAACACUAGCAAGUAUGUAGUAGACAUCUUUGGGUUUGGACUCAGACAGUGCAAAACUACGAGAAAUCGCUAGCCCUUUAUAGCGGCUCGGACCUAAUACUGACAUAAUAUAAAAUAAAUAUUAUAUUUUAUCAAGAGAGAACAGAGUGUAAUUUUAUCAUUAAUACCGAUCGAGGCCAAAGAAAGAAGACCCAUAAUCCAUUUCCCACAAGCAUACACAAUGCAGCUGUAAUUUUAUCAUUUACUUUUAUCCCUUGGACCACUGCAUUUUUGUUGAGAGACACAAUAACACAUUUUUAUCUGUCAUUCAACAUUUACAGUAAAGAGAGGGCACAAAACGCAAUUAGAUAAAUUAUGUUUUGCCUGCUAAAAAGAGGCAAAUAACUUUAUUUGCAACAUAAUUAUUUUGGUUUCUAGUGACCCCGGGGCCUUUCGGUUGGUUUGGGAUCGGAAAAUGAACAUCAUAGGGGGGGUUGUGCCCUUAUGGGCAUAUAUAUCUGAUAGCUUCAACUGGCCUUGUUCCUAGAAAGAAAUUGCCAAAGAUAUAAACUUAUUCCAGGCUGAAAGUAGAUGAGAGUCAUAAUGAACAUCAACCUUUGUUCAGUUUGAUUCAAUGCCCCCAUAGUGUUCAUUUCACAGAUCUGAAUGAUUAUAUCCGUUGAAUACAUAAAUUAAUGAAGACAAAUAUGAAACCCAAGAUACAUCUCUGCAUAACAACCCCAACCCUGGUUGCUAUGUUUCCCUUCUUCUAUUCACAUGAGGAUACUGGUUAUAAUUGUCAAACUUGCAACAAGCCCUUUGACACCUAACGUCAAUGGACGAAUUAAAAGUCUCCUUCAAACGUCUAUUUCACAGCAUGAAGCUUAUAAAGGAUGCUGACAACCUUCAGAGUUAGCGACAAAAGAUAAUUAUCAAGGAGAGAUAGUUCCAUGAGAAUUCCAAGGAGUCUGAAUCAAAGACAAAUUGCUCACUCAAGGGUUCUUAUUUUCUUUUAGGUACAAAUCUCUUGAGUGUUGUUAAAGAAACACGUCACUGUCAUUUUGAUUUGCAUUUAACAUUUCACUUUUGUUCUGGAAGGUUUGUUCCGGAAACAUAUCAAAUGAGCAUCAUUUUCUUCUUCGGUGACACAUGGUCGCGAGUACGUGGGUCCAUUUUCAUGCCACUUAGUUGAAAAGUUGGAAAGAAAAAACAUGCCAACAAGAAGAUAGUGAGAGAAGGGGCACUUCAAGCCUUUAACAUGAACAAACAGUAAAUAAAAGAUGUUUCUCCACUCAUAAAAGUGUGUUAGAUAGCAAUAUAACGAAUCACAUCCAAAAUCUUUACUAGGCUCAAACAUAAAGAAGACUCAUUUUUAAGAAAAGAUAAAAAUGGCAUUGUCUGAUAGUAUCCAAUACACGAGAUGGCACUUAAUUUGUACAAGAUCUGUCAAUGCUGACGCACAUUUUCUGAUUAAAAAAAAACUGAUCAGUCAAAAGCAAUGAAGAGAAGUGAUGACAAUGAAUGAUGCUUCCAAUAUUUUCACCCCUUAUAGUGUUCUUCAUGAUUCAGAUAUAUAAUUGGAAAUAGAACAACCCUAUGCCAUACAUUCGUCUAAGUAUGGUGUCUAAUUUUUUGUGUCAGCGGUUGCGAAUGGAGCGUGCAAAAGUCCAAAUUGGCGUCUCUCCAUUUCCACAUAGGAAGGUGACCUUUAUUGACAAAUACCCAAUAUUUGUAGACAUUCCUUAAAUAUCAUAACUUCUUGUUGAUUUGAAAAUCAUUUUUCAACUACCAUGUUUUAAUAAAUAUUUUUUAAAAUGUAUUUUUAUCAAAGUCCACCAUGAUGGAUAAUAUUCACCAUGCAAUAAUUAAUAAAGUACAAACUAAGCGAAAUGAAAAGCAUUUUCUUUGCUUUGAGUUGAUUUUGGUUGCAUUGAGUUGAUUUUGGUUUCAUGGUUUUUUCAACUCUUAUUUUGAUUGGAAGAUGUCAAGAAAAGAAAACAUAAAGAAAAAUUAAAAGGGAAAAAAGAAGAAAAAUAAAAAAAAAUAGAUUUAAAAGUUAAUAAAUUAUUUUUUAUAUUUAUUUUAAUUCAUUUCACUUAUUUUUCUUUUACUAUAUAAAAUUUAAAUAAUUUAAAUUUUAUAAUUAAUUUAAUUACAUUUCAUUUUCUUCUAUAUUUAAAUAUUGGAAAAAUAUUUUACUUAAUAUUUUUUUCUUUAAUUUCUUUGGCAUUUUGGGAACCAAACUUAGCCUUUAAAAUAAAAAACAAAAAAAAAAUGAAAAUAAGGAGGGAAAAGUGAGAAAAGAUAAAAACAAUAUGUAAAGGAUUUGAAAAGUAUUAGUUUGUAAUUACUAUUUGGAUUUCAAUAGUAUUUUAUUUGUCUUUCUAUAUUUCAUGUAAGAGAGAAUUUAAGAUAUUCCCCAAGGCAAAGCAUUAGUUACCUGCAAUCAGUGGUGAUAAGGCUCCAAGCCAAUUUUGGGCCCCAUAUCUUAAGACAGUACAAUUUCCAUUUCAACAUUUCUGAUUUCUCAGAUGUUUCACAUACCACAGAAGAACAUUGUUUGUGAAAAUAUGCAUUUAUGUUGGAUUUUGUAUGCUGUGGGGACUGGGGCAAGGAUCAUAUGGAAGAGUGGUUGACUUUUUCUGUACUUUAACGGUUGAAAUAGGAUAAGCACGGGCAUUUGUGAGGCUUAAUUGAUUUUGAAGCCUGAAAUUGCGUUUCUGUCAUUUUGUCAAAAAAAUGGCAGAUUCCAUACUCAUAUGUUUGGCCUGUGGCCAUGUACAGAUGCCAUUUAGUGACCAGUUUGUAACUGUCAAUCGUUGCGUUUUGACUCUGCCUCAACAACAUCUGCCAUUGACGGGUUUUCAUACUUGCAAAUCAAAUAGUCUUUCGUCCCAUCAGGAAUUUCGGUUUAAAUAUUAUUAAGCAUACGUUUGGCUGACAAUCAUUAUCCAGUUCAUGAUUUGGUUUCUUACCCUUAAUCAAUGGUUUCUAAGUGAAUAUAUGUAGAAGGAAAUCCGAAGUGUAGACAGUAGUAUCGAUAACUCUCAAUAUUCUCUAUAUAAUAGAAUAAACAGCGUCAUAGUGAUCGUCGCCUACAAGCAAGGUACAAAUACCAAAACGAGUGACUCACAUAGACAUCUCCCAACAAGAUGUAGUAGUGACUGACACAUGGACACAAUUAACUCGUAGAAAAGGAUAAGACCAUUGCACAGCAGCUCUUAUUUUACAUACUACUUAUGCUAACCAAAGUCAAUUAGUUGGGAUGGGUGGGAGAUGGAGGUUUGUGCGGUGGCUUGUGGGGCGGAGUUGAUGGCUUCUUUCCAGGAGCUUCUGGCUUUUUCAUCGGAGCUGAAGGAGGCUCAAUCUUAUGAGGCGGCUUGUAUGAGUCUUCUUUACUCUCGACAGGAGGGUGGCCAGGGUUGUGAUCAUAAUGUGGUGGCUUCUCUCCCUUAGGUGGCUUGCCAACUGGGGUUGGUGGCUUGUGUUCAGGAAGUGGUUUCUCUCCCAUGGGAGGUUUAGCAAUUGGGGUUGGUGGCUUGUGUUCUGGGAGUGGCUUCUCUCCCUUGGGAGGUUUAGUAGGUGACUUGUGUUCUGGAGGUGGCUUCUCCACCGGAGGCUUGUGCUCCGGUGGUGGCUUCUUGGUUGGAGGGGGCUUGGGGUAAUCAGCAAGAGAUGGGGUGGUGAGAACCACCAGUCCAAGGAACAACACUAGCAAGUAUGUGGGAGACAUUUUUGAGUUUGGGCUGAUCAGAUGAUGCAAAACUAAAGCAUUACGUGACCUUUUAUAGCAUGUAGCUCCCAAUACCCACUAAGUAUUGUGGGGUCCAUUUGUGCCCUACGGGGUUGAAAACUUAGACAAUUGGGCAAGGACCCACCUGACUAUGGAGGACUAGUGAGGUGUGAUCAUAGCUUUAGGAUUUUUCUUCCUCUGCAGCCGUCGUGCCGUUGGCAUGAUUUUCUUAAUCUUAAAUAAAGGCAUAGUUAUAGAGUUGUUUAAUCUCUAAAUGGGAUUUUAUAUAUAUCUUCAGAUAGCCAUUAAUAUAUUUGAUGAAGAAAGAAAGACAAGUGCAUACAACAUGUAUACGACUAGCUUUCAUGGAGUUCAUUUAUGAUCAGUUUUCCUGUACAUGUAAACCAGGAUCAUAUAUAUGUUUCUGUUCCACAACUAUUUUGGAAUCUUGUUUAUCAGUUUUUAUCAUUAUAAUGUCACAUAGGCUGCCAACUUGGGCGCUAAAAGAACCAGUUGGGCUAGUUCGUUUCAGAAUUUCAAUGUGGAUUCAGGAAUUGUUUUGUAAGAUAUGCGAAAUAGUAGAGGGAUGAAUAGUGUUUCAUUAAUAAAAGUGUCCUGUAAAUUAGAAGGUGUCAUAGAAACUAUAAUCAAUAAAUAACUUUUUUUCCCCACGGGUGGUGUUUCUUGUGGGGAUCAGUGACUGGUUUAGGUUCACCCAAAAUGAGUUCAGACUAAAAUUGGUUUGAGUCAAUGCCGUGUCUCUUUUUUCCAGAAAUCAACUAUUUUAUGCAUUGAAUAAAUCAUACAAAGAAAAUAUGAACGCCCGCAAAACCUAAACCCUGGUUGCUAACUUUCUAUGUUUCAGUUCUAUUCACGCAAGAAUAUUAGUUUAAGUUUGGGAAAAAUGGCAACUUACCUAGUGAUUACUUGGUUUUGGUUUGCGACUAUUUACGCAACCAACCAUGAGUUUGACUUUAACGUCAUGGGUUGAAGCCUCCUACAGGAAGGGAGAAAGCUCCACAGCUAGCUCCAAAAGAGAAUUAUCACAUUGAUAGCUCCAGAGAUUCCCAAGGGGACUGAAUCAAAGACAAGUUCCUCACUUUUUCUUCUUUUGAGGCCAAAUAUGAACCAAGGAUCACACAACCUCAUUCAACUUCAUAAGUUUGAUUUCAUGCAGUUGAACACUGGGUGAAGGCCAUGACAAGAAUUGAUUCAAAAAUUCUAUCACUCUUUUAAGUAAUGGAAGAUUAUUAUCUCUGAUUGGCAUCACAACAGCACAUGCUCCUAGAUCUUUCUAGACACUCCAUGCAAUGAAAGCACAAUGGAUCUUGUAACGAUAGAAACUAAGCCAUGCUACAGUACUAGAUGAUGAGGUAAAACUAGUAGACACGGGUGGCAGCCUAUAUGGGAGGGACACAAGUCUAAUUGAUUUGCAUUUCAGCAUUAUAGAUAGGUAUGUUUUGGAAGAUUUGUUCUGGAAAUACCGCACCAAGUAGGAUUCUUUUUCUCUUUAGUGGGUCCACUUGCAUGCCAAUUAACGAGUUGAAAAGUAUGAGCACCUACCUCGUGCUCGUGGAACCGAAGGUCAGUGAAGUGGGGCUCCUUUUGGCCUCGUGUAAACUUGAUUCAGAAGUGAAGUUAAUAGUCUUCCAUUCAGAUGGAUACAUGGGAAUUUUUCUCUUUUAUUUAUUUAUUUAUUUUUUUUUUGUGUGUGUAUGUCAAAGGAUAAUGAAUGAAGCGCGUUAGCUUGUUUUCUGACUGGAACCGCAGAUGUCCAAAUUGGAGUUCCUUCAUUUCUUACUUAGGAUUGUUACAUGUAUAAACAAGGUAUAAGAAAUAUGCCAACGUGUCUUGAGGAGUUAUUGAUUAGAAAUAACAAGUCACCCGACUGUAGAGUUCCAAGAUUUGAAUCUUCAGACCCUAUAGCAGCCUCUGGGGUACGUGGCAUCCUAUAGCAUAUUAAUGAAGGCUUUUUCGAUUUAGACUUCACAAUACCAAUUAAUAUGUAUGCACAAAAUGGAGAUGACCCCAAAAAAAACAGAAUCGCCAUAGUUUAUGAGGUUAAGGUGAUUCUCCACUUAAUAUCUACAUUAGCUAAUUAUGUAAAUCAAAUGAACUUCUAUUUUUCCUUUUUUUUUUUGGUUUAUGUCAAAUAGUAGCCCAUAAUUAACCCAACCAUUAGCCUGUUUGAAUUGAUUUCACAUGCACAAUGUUGUAGUAGUUCAUAUUUUGAAUUUUAUUUUUACAAAGGUAGUUAAGGAAAAUGAAGUAUAAUAAUUAUAAAAGCAGACUAUAUACACUACAAUAAUUGUUAGAAUGGUAUCUCAAAUUCUAAUUUAAAAUAUUAUUUUUUGUAAAAGAAAUAUUAUAUAGAAUAUUUCCUAAUUUUAUAAAUGAUUAUAAUUAGAUCUUUAUAAAAUAAGGAAAGUUGGUAAGAAUAUCUUUAUAAAUAUUUUAGGUCAUGAGAGAAAGAAAUGGGAUAAAAAUGUGAUGAAGAGGUGAAAUAAGAGAGUUGAUUAGGAUAUAGAUGUGAAGAAGAAAGGGAUUCAAUAUAUAUAUAUCUUUCAAUUACCACAUUAAAACCCUGUGAACCUUUUAUAUGGUUUACUUUAUUUUUAUAUUCCUCCUUUAAUAUAUUUACAUUAAUGCUUCCAUUGGCACAACAAUAACGAAUUACAAAUACAAGCAACAAGUCCCAUGUUUUAUUACCAAAAGCAGGUAAAAUCCACCUAAUAUAUUACAAUAUAUUCAUCCAAUAUUUUAGACCAAUUCUUCACCAUAAAUAUCAUAAUGUGGCUUUUGUUCUUUCUUAAAUUUAAAUUGAAUUGUCUUAUAUCAAUUUGUUUGUGAUUUUUUCAUUAACUUCACUUUCAUUUGGUUAUCUUUGGUUUUUGAAAAGUAUUAAGGAAUUAAUUAACAAAAUAAUGUUAAGAAAAAUAAUUUUCUCUCUUUUGAUUUUGAUUUUGUAGUAGAAAAAUAUAAUUAAAAUUAUUUAAAAAGUAUGUAAUUUUAAAUUAUUUAAUAUUUAGAUAAAAAAAAUAAGUCUAAUGAGUUUAAAAUAACAUAUAAAAAUAAUUUAUUUAUUUUAAAUUUAUUUUUUAUUUUCCAUUAUGUUCUCUUUCUCUUUUACUUUUUCAUAUUUUUUCUUACGAAGAAUCAAACACAACCUCAUAUUAUAUGUCAAGUGUUUGUCUAUAUUUGAGCAAUGUUAGAUACGGCCAUGGAUUCAUCAAACUAAACUGAUUUUAAUAGAUACUUCACAAAUUGAUUUAUACACUAAAUCAUUGGAUAGCAAUGAUGCAUUGGAAUUAAACGUAGGAUGAAGCUCGAAGAACACUGUUUGUGUAACAACAUAUUUAUGAAAUUAUGCAAAGGAUGAGCUUCGGGGUAGUAGUACAAGGUCAUUAAUGGAGAGCCGUGUUAAACCUUGAUUGUGAUUGGAUUCCGUUAUCAGCAACAGCAACCUUGUUUGUAACCUUGAAAGUCAUUCUGUCCACAUCGAAACUCCAAUUUGACGUUUGUAAUUACCAUUCCUGGAGUGUUCCUUGAUUGAAAUUUAAAUAAUAAUUGCGGCCCACAAGGAAUAUUUUCGAUUCUGUGGGAAUUUGACAAGGUUUGUUAGAGAAGACUGGUGACAUGUUGACUUCAAUGGUUCAAAUAGGAGACGUAUGUGGAUUUGGGGGGUUUAAUUGAAACUGAGUCCCUAUGGCUUUUUAAUAUUUGCAUUGAGCAGUCUCCAUGUGACUUCCUAAUUCCCACCAACCCUCCUGUCCAUGCUGUGAAACUAAAUUGUAAUUUAUCAGCCUUUGUCAAUGGUUUCUAAAUUAAAGAUAUAGACCAUGCAUGUACUUUAAUAAAAGCAAAUCUAAAGUGUAGAUAGCAGCAAUGGUGACACCCAAUAUUCUCCAUAAAAUAGAAUUAGAAUAAGCAGUGUUACAUUGUUCAUGAUCACCUACAAGCAUACAAGAACUUCCAUGAAUAACUCAUAGCAAUUGCCAACAGGGCGUCGUAGAGACUCAUACAUAGAACACUAUCCACCCAGAGGAAAGGACAAGACCAGUGCGCUGCAGCUCUUAUUUUUCACAUGUAUACCACCACUCGUAAUAACCAAAUUCACUCAGUUGGGAUAGGUGGGAGAUGGUGGUUUGUGGGGUGGCUUGUGGGGAGGAGUUGGAGGAGGCUUUAUUUUCUGAGGCGGCUUGUAUGAGUGUGCAGGAGGAUGCCCGGGAGUGUGACCAUAAUGUGGUGGCUUCUCUCCCGUAGGUGGUUUGCCAAAUGGGCUUGGUGGCUUCUCUCCCUUAGGAGGUUUACCAAUUGGGGUUGGUGGCUUGUGUUCUGGGAGUGGUUUCUCUCCCUUGGUAGGUUUGCCAAUUGGGGUUGGCGGCUUAUGUUCUGGGAGUGGCUUCUCUCCCUUGGGAGGUUUGCUAAUUGGGGUUGGCGGCUUAUGUUCUGGGGGCGGCUUCUCUCCCUUGGGAGGUUUGCCAAUUGGAGUUGGCGGCUUAUGUUCUGGGAGUGGCUUUUCUCCCUUGGGAGGCUUGCCAAUUGGGGUUGGCGGCUUAUGUUCUGGGGGUGGCUUCUCUCCUUUAGGAGGUUUGCCAAUUGGAGUCGGCGGCUUAUGUUCUGGAAGUGGCUUUUUUCCCUUGGGAGGUUUGCCAAUUGGGGUUGGCGGCUUAUGUUCUGGGGGUGGCUUCUCUCCCUUGGGAGGUUUGCCAAUUGGAGUCGGCGGCUUAUGUUCUGGGAGUGGCUUCUCUCCCUUGGGAGGUUUUGUUGGUGGCUUGUGUUCUGGAGAUGGCUUCUCCCCUGGAGGCUUGUGCUCCGGAGGUGGCUUCUGAAAUGGCGGGGGCUUGGGGUAAUGAGCAAGAGAUGGAGUACUGGUGAGAACCACCAUUCCAAGCAACAAUACUAGCAA
rnacentral:lncRNA from 1 species